UCAAGAGUACAUUUUACAAAUUAAUGACACAAAGGGAGUUUUGCAAAUGAUCAAUACACCAGUAGAUUAGUUAAAUAUAAGGUGCUUACAAAACAAAAAAAUCAGGGCAAUCAUCAAGCUCAGUGGACCUUCCAAAUUCACCAUGUCUCUGUCAAGGCAGUGAUGAAAAUAAUCAAAAUUUCUGUUAUUGGAACUUCCGUAGGCUGACACUUGAUGAUUUACAUCACUCUAAUUGCUUCAAUAGGGUCCCUGAAAUGAUGACACAUACAUAGUUGAUCAAUUAAUUUGCUUCUAGCAAUCAUUUCUCAAUUCGGGAAUUAAAUUUUUUGAGAAACAACUAAAACAUGCAGAUUAAACAAAACAACAAACCACGUGUAAAUUAAUUUAGGGAGAUUCACUAAAUUAGGCAGAUCAAAGUACCUUUCAUACUCAUUUGAAAAAUCCUCUUCAUAGAAAAAUCAUGAUAUCAUAAAUGCAAACAAUUACUUACAGUUUUAGCGAGUCACCAUCUCAAGAUCAUUGUUGGAGUUCAAUUACCCGGAGGAAAUGCGGAUGUUUGGGAUCUUAGCAGAAAUCUUGGCCCGCUCUCCACUGCCUUCUUCGUAAUGCUCUGCAAGUCUCCGACAUUUGGUGAUGUCAAGAGUCCGCAGUGGUGUUUUGAAGAUGAAGUCUGGCAGUGCUUUUAGCAAUUCGCAGUCGCCAAUUCUUAACUCAGAAAGGCAUGGCAUGAUUGUAAUUUCAGAAUCUUCUUUGGUCCACUCUUCCACGCCUUCCCACUCUUCCCAAUUCGACAUGUGGUAAAAGUGGAGUCGUUUCAAUUUUGGGAAUAAUCUGAUUCUGAAUGAGGUUUGAUGUUCUAAUCUCAAAAAUUCAACACCGACCUUUUUCAUUCCUUCGAUACCGAAUAUGGCCAGUCUUUCAAGGCAUUCCAAUUUCCCAAGAGGCCAAAAUUCACACAGUGUCCCCCAAGCAACAGUAAGGAAUCUCAAAUUGUGUAAAGACUGAAUCCAAUUGGGCCACGUGGUGCCAUUAUGUUCCAAAAUCUCUAAAGAUUCCAAAUCUGGGUGCGGUCGUAAGGCAUUCAGUAUUUCUACACUACUACUACUACUACUGUUUGUCCGCCCUGCAAAAUUAACACGGAGAUUAAAUAGCUUUUUGUCCCACAAUUGUGCUUUCUCAACCUCGCUCUUAUCUGUCGCAUCCCCCCCAAGUUGUAUUUCCAGACUUCCCUCAAGGUUCAAGUUUCUCAGAUCCCCAAUUUGGAAUGCUUCAUCUUUGUCGCCACCCCAUGAACACGCAUCUAGUGUUUGCAAACUUGUUAAUCUCCCUAUCACUUUGGGGAACGACUCCAGAAGACCACAAUACUUAACAUAAAGAUGCUUUAAGUUAAUCAAGUUUCCCAUGUUUUCAGGCAGUUUUGUAAGGCCAGAGCAGUACAUAAGGCGCAAGGUUGACAAAUUGUACAAACCACAAAUAGUGUCUGGUAAUUUCUUCAGUAUAGGAUUGGAAGACAAAUCAAUAUGCCUCAAAUGUAUCAAUUCACCAAUCUCCUUCGGGAGUUCUUCGAUGGGAUUAAAACUCAAAUUUAAUGUCCUAAGACAUUUCAAUUGUAAAAUUAAAUUUGGGUCUAUGGUAGUAAUUCUUGAAUUAAAAGUUGCGAGCGUACGGAGAUUUUUGCAAUCGUAAGAUGAGAUAAAAAGUGGAAGUGGACCUUCAGGAACAUAUCUCAAGGUCAAAUGACGAACCUUAUCACCAAAUACCUUUGGUUCGCUGGUAGUUUCCUCACCAUGAUCGAUAAUCAAACACUCAUUCUUGGUGAAAAAUUGUACAAAGUCAUGCACAAUAUCAUGCAUUUUGCAACUGGUAAUGGUACCGGUGUCAAAAUCUUUCUCAAAAUCUUGGAAAAAUGACCGUGCCACUAAAUUGUCAAAAACUGCAUAACCCGUUGUUUCCUUUUCUUUAUUCCCUUUCGAAAUAACAUAGUCUUGUGCCAUCCAAAGUUUAAUCAAAUCAUCUCGUUCAAACUGGUAAUCUUUUGGAAAAGUAGCACAAUAUAAAAGGCAACAUUUAAUUGUUGGGGCCAAAUCAUUAUAACUUAGGAAUAGGGGUUGGAAAACUUCUUGCUCGACCUUCUCUAGAUCCCAUAUCUUACUAUGCAAAACUUCUUUCCAUUCUCCCAUUUUUGUCUUAUUCUGCAUGAGACUACCCAAAGUCUUUGCAGCAAGAGGCAAACCUUUACACUUCUUUACAAUUUCCUUACUAAUAUCUCCAAACUCAUGUACAUCCCUAUCCAAAAAGGCCAUGUGAUUGAAGAUUGACAAACAACAUUCAUCAUUCAACUCUCCCAGAUUGAUCUUGUUUCUUGUUGCUCUCAUCAUGUCAGCAACCUCAUGUUUUCUUGUGGUCACCAAUAUUCUGUUGCCUUUAGCACCAUUUUGGAUUAAUGGUACCUUUAAUUGUUCCCACUUUUUAGGAUCAUCGGUCCAUACAUCAUCCAGGACAAGGAGAAACCUUUUGCCCUGGAUGGAUGUACACAUACAUUGCAAGACCUCAUCCAACUCAUUUGAAUUUGGGGCGUUUUUACCAAUAAUGGCUUUGGCAAUCUUAAUCUCAUCAAAAGGGUCUGAAACACAAACCCAUUUCCUCAAAUCAAAAUGGGUUUUGACUCGGUCAUCAUUAUAGGCUAGUUGGGUUAAAGUUGUUUUUCCCAUGCCUCCCAUCCCGACAAUAGGGAUGAUAAGGAACCCCUUCCCUUCCGCACUACUAUCACUCAACAAGUUUGUUAUCAAAACCUUUUUUUCAUUUUCUCGACCAAAUAUCUCAGAUAUAUCGACAAAAGAUGCAGUUUGAGGUCGUUGAGGUUGUUGAGGUUGUUGAAUGCCUAAUUCUUUGCUUAGAAACUGGUACUUUUUUCUUUCCUCAUAAAUCUCAGUUAACUUAUCAUUCAGAUCUUUUAUUUUCAGAGCAAUGUCAUGGCGAAGAAUCACCCGACUGACUUUGCCAAGACGAAAGUAACGGGUGAAACUAGAGAAACGUACCUUCUUCUUUGUAACAAGAGCAUUUGGAUCACCUUCUCUUUCUUGCUUCUCAACUUGUUGUCUGAGAAUGUUUGUGUUCCACUCAUCCAGCACAUCCACCAUCUGGUAGGAUACAUCUUUCAGCUCAUCCAACCAGAUUUUGACAGCUUGAUCCGUCACUUGGCGUUGCUCUGCAUCCUCAAGCACAGCUUGAAUAACUCGGAGAGUCCGAGUGAAUUUCUUAACAUCUUCCUUAACGUUCAAAACAAGUUUCACCCCUCCUUCUAUGUAUUCAUAGGUUGUCGAGGCCAACCGUUCUAGCAGCACGUAAAUGAGCGCAUCAGCCAUUAUUUUGAGCUUCAGAAAAUGGUUGACAGCAGUGUUUAUGAACAAGAACUGAUUUGGGGAUAAUUGUUUGUGUUGUGGUGUUCCCUUUCUUCUGCCCAGUUUAUAUGCUGAGUAAGUCUUCAAGGCAAACUCCGAGUCAAUUUUUAAGAUGCAUAACAGGGACACUAUAUUUUAAAGUGACAUGUUGACAUAUUAUAAAAGAAAUAUCUAAUCUGGGGCUGGUGAAUGUGCCAGACUGUCUUUCUUGACCUUACCAUACAAGACAAGAUUAACGCCUUGUUAAGGCGUGGAUGACAUCUGGCUUAAUAAUUGAUCGAGUUUUUAUACAUAUAAACUUUUUCCUUAUACUGUUACAUGAAGCAUUACCUGAACUCUACCUACUUGAAUAAAGAAAUGUAUCAAAGAUUGGUUGGACAAUUGAUUUACUUGUCACACACACCUUGUGACAUAUACUGUGAUCUGAACAAGAAGAAGAGGAUGAGAUUUAGGGAUUUCAAGAGAAGAAGGAAGAGAGAAAGCAAGAAGGAAGAGAGCCCUGUAAACCUGUAUAUCUGAUUAGAUUGUAAGUGAAAAAUGGUAAAAGCACAGCUUUAGUACAGUGCACAUCUCCUAAUAUUACGCUAACAAACUUAACAAAUACAGCUCUCUCACUAACAGACUUAACAGAGAGCACGUGAGCUGCACAUGAUGACUUAACAAUUUCUUAACUAAAACACAUGGUUAACAUUUUCCCUACCCAGCUGAACUCCUCAGUCUAAGAUGAAGACAGUGUUGUAAGAAAAUGGGACUGUGUAACCCCUUUGUAAAAACAUCUGCUAUUUGUUCUUCAGUAGGUAUAUACUGCACAAUAAGAUCCUUUCUUUGUACCUUCUCUCUCACAAAGUGGAAGUCUAUAUCCAAAUGCUUAAUUCGAGAAUGGUAUACUGGGUUUGAGCUUAAAGCUAGUGCUGAUAAGUUGUCACAGUACAUAGUAGGAGCAUCUGGCAAAAACAUCUUUAGAUCCAAGAGAACCUGUCGAAUCCAUGACAAGUCAGCAGCUGUGUUUGCUAGGGCCCUGUAUUCUGCCUCUGUUGAACUCCUAGACACAGAACCUUGCUUCUUGGACUGCCAGGAGAUAGGAUUACAACCCAAGAAUACUACACAUCCGGUUGUAGACCUUCUAGUAUUGAUAUUCCCUGCCCAGUUUGCAUCACUGUAUGCAUUAAGCUGCCAAGGACCCUUUGUAAAACUGAUUCCAUACUCUAAUGUACCCUGUACAUAUCUGAGAAUACGCUUCACCAAAAGAUAGUGAACCUCAGUUGGAUUAUUCAUAUAUUGACACACAUGAUUCACAGCAUAAGCCAGAUCAGGUCAUGUAAAUGUUAGAUACUGUAGAGCACCUACGAGACUGCGAAACACAGUAGGAUCAGCCAAGGGCUCACCGUCAGUCUGUAACACUUGAGUGUGUGGCUUACAUGGUGUUGCACAGGCUCUACAUGAACUCAUGCCUGCUUUAUGUAGUAGAUCCUUGGCAUACUUAGUUUGACUCACGAAUAUGUCACCAGAGGAAUUAUAGGAAAUCUGCAGACCUAAGAAAAAGGUGAGUUGCCCCAUAUCUUUCAUUUCAAACACCUCACUUAAGUCUGUAACCACUCUUUGAAUCAACUGAUCACUCGAACCUGUUAUAAUGAUAUCAUCAAAAUAUAAGAGUAGAAUGAUAAUAUCAUUCCCAGUAUGCUGCACAAACAGACUUGGAUCUGAAUGUGAAGAUUUAAAGCCAAGAGUAGGUAAGUAACCUGUGAAUUUAGCAUUCCAUGCCCUUGGAGCCUGUUUAAGACCAUACAAAGAUUUUUUCAGUUUACAUACAAACUGUGGAUGAGUAGAAUCUUCAAAACCAGGAGGCUGUUUCAUAAAAACUUCUUCUUCAAGAUCGCCAUGUAGGAAAGCGUUCUUGACAUCAAGUUGUCAUAGUUUCCAUUGGUUCAUAGCAGCUAUGCUUAAUACUAACCUCACUGUUGUGUGUCUAACAACAGGAUUGAAGGUUUCCCCAAAGUCAAAACUAGGCUCUUGACUGAACCCCUGAGCAACAAGUCUGGCCUUAUAUCUACCCACUGAACCAUCUGGAUUUCUCUUUAUUUUAUAAACCCACUUACUACCAAUAAUAUUUUUUAUCACCUGGACUAGGAACUAAGAUCCAUGUGCCUUGCAUAUGAAGAGCAUCAAUCUCCUCUUUCAUAGCUUGCCUCCACUCAGAAGAAAACGAAGCCACCUUAAAACUAGAAGGCUCAUCUAAUUCCGGAAUAGCAUGAAGACAGGUAAAAUAACCUUGAUAAUCUGGGAACUCUUUGUUUUGAACUAUACCACUUUUGGCCCGAGUAAUCAUAGGAUGAUCAUUGAUAGGAAAUAAAGAAACCGAUGAGUCCACAGUACUAACAGAAGAAGAGGAAACAUUAGAGACCUCAAACUGAAACAUAACCUGUAAUUGUUGUUCAUUCAACACAGGUACAGAACCUGCAGAAGCCACUGGAAUAUCAUCCAACGAAGCUUGAUGUUGGAUAGGAGAUAAAGACCCAGGAGUAGAUGAGAUGGACUGAGAUUGAGAAGUAGAUACUUGUGUAUCAGAGGCUAGAGACGAUGGAUCCUGAGAAUUAAGAGAAGCUUGAGAAGGCCUUGAAGCCAAAGAAACAAUGACAGAAGCUACUGAUGCAGUAGAAGAAAACUGAGAAGACUGCCUACAUAUGCUAGGGUUAAUGUGCUUAAAAGGAAAUACAGCUUCAUCAUGAGGAACAUGCCUUGAGAUUACACAUUUUGCAGUAAUUCGAUUGUAGCAAAUAACUCCUUUGUAACCAGGUGAAUAUCCCAAGAACACGCACUGAGUGGUUCACGGUUGUAACUUAUGCACAUUAUAAUGUCUUAGAUACGGAUAUACCGCAGUACCAAAUAUUCUCAAAGAAGCAAGAUCAGGAUGAUGACCAAAUAAACGAAAAUAAGGAGAUUGAUGAUGUAAAACAGAGCUGGGCAUUCGAUUUAUAAGAUACACAGCAUGAGCAGUAGCAUGAAACCAAAAUUGACCUGGCAAGGCUGCUAUAGUUAACAGGGUAAUGGCUGUUUCAAUAAUAUGCCUAUUCUUCCGCUCUGCCAGUCCAUUUUGCUGCGGAGUAUACGGGUAAGACAAACGACACACAAUUCCCUUGGAAGCCAAAAAAUCUGUAAAAACCUUGCUAAGAAACUCACCACCACCAUCACUCUGAAAACACUUAAUAGCAGCACUGAAUUGAUUUUGUAUCAAAGCAUGAAACUGUAGGAAUUUGGAGAAAACUUUUGAUUUAUUGAAAAUGGGAUAAACCCACAAAUAUCCAGUACAUUCAUCAAGGAAGAAAACAAAAUAUCUGUAACCUUCAACAGAUUUGUAAUGGGAAGGACCCCAUACGUCACUAUGAACGGUAUGAAAGGAAUUUCAGACCUACAAUGUCUAACAGGAAAUGGAAGCCGAUGCAUCUUCCCUUGAAGACAAGCUGAACACAAGGGAUUCAAAUUGGAAGAAUCAUUUGCACAUUGCAAACCAGAGGCUUUAAGCAUUGAUUGCACCACUUCAUUCGUUGGAUGGCCAAGUCUGUGAUGCCAAAUGGACGACUUAACAUGUUGACCAAGCAAAGCCACUUUCUUGGAUAGGUAAUGAGACCUAACCAAGCGUCACGAGCAGUCGUGGUGCCAAUAACAUACUCAAUGGCCUCAUCAGAGAGAGUGGCAAUGAGCAAACUGAGUAAAGCCUUAUUAGCGAGAAUCCAUUCCUUGUAAGCAGCAGUAACUUCAGAUGUAACACCCUCCUCAUCAACAAUAGCAAAGCGAGGAACAACUUCAGUUCCGUCAAAAUGCCCAAACAGAUCAUAACCCUGAAGAACAGAUUCCAAUUGAAAACUCCACUUGAGAAAAUUAUCGUCCCUGAGACGACGAGUAAUCAUCCCAAGCAAACCGUCAACUUUGACCGAAGAGGAAGAAGAAGAAGUCGCCAUUGAUGAACAGAAAUUAGAGAAAAGACAGAAAAAAAGAAGGAACAAUAGAGACAGAGCAAGAGAAGAGCACAGCGAGGAGACAGUUCAGAAAAAUCAGAAGCGGAUCGAAAGUGUCAAGCCACGAUGGGCUCUGAUACCAUCUUAACAAGAAGAAGAGGAUGAGAUUCAGGGAUUUCAAGAGAAGAAGGAAGAGAGCCAUGUAAACCUGUAUUUCUGAUUAGAUUGUAAAUGAAAAUUGGUAAAAGCACAGCUUUAGUACAGUGCACAUCUCCUAAUAUUACGCUAACAAACUUAACAAAUACAGCUCUCUCACUAACAGACUUAACAGAGAGCACGUGAGUUGCACAUGAUGACUUAACAAUUUCUUAACUAAAACACAUGGUUAACAUGUGAGUGUAGUUUAGUCAGUUCGUGCAUGUUCCCAGUAAAGAUCAUGUAAAUGAUGUAAGUCAUAUACUUAGAUAUUUGAAGUUAGCAACAAGAAAAUGACUUAUGUUCUCUAAGCAUGGGCAUUUAAAUGUGGAAAAGGUACACCGAUGUUGAUUGGGCAGGUAGUAUCAUUGCCAUGAGCUCUACAUCAAGUACAUUGGUUGGAGGUAAUUUCUCACUUGGCAUAGCAAUAAGCAAAAGAUGGUGGAAUACAGAAUAAUGGUACAAGGAAUCUAUGAACUAUUGUGAUUGAUAAUGUACAAAAUAAUGAUCGUACAUGUUGAAGCGGUAGACAUUUCAUUAAAAAAAUGAAGACAAUUAAUAUUCCAUUUGUGAAGACUAAAGACCAAUUAGUCCAUAUUCUGUCCAAGACAAUUAAAAAAAAAUAAGGUGUGCUACAACUCAUUGGUCAAGUUGAGGAUUGGAGGUAUGUGUUCACCAAUUUGAGCGUGAGUGUUAGUGUGAAUUCUAAAUAUAACCUAAUUUGUAGUCUCCUAUUUGGACUUUAUUAGGUUUAAUUACUUUACUUAAGGUCCACUUCUCGUAAAUCCUAUUUGUAACUAGGAGAAGAAUACAUAUUUGAGAGUUUUAUCGUAUUUGUUUCGACACCGAAAUUUUUUCUUAACGUAUGCACCUAAGUGAAACUCAUUCAGUUUUGCUCCAAAAGGAUUCCGUUGUGGACAUAAACCUUCUUGAUGAUUAUUAAACCUAAGUAAAGAUGAAGAUUAAAAGUAUAUUAAAUCAAUCCCAUUCAAAAUUUAAUCAACAAUGUUGUUUGUGCAAAUAAUCUCACGGGAGAAUAUUCGCUUCUAGAUCCCUCAACCUUCGACCUUCCUUCUCUCUCUUCCUCGUUUCCUGUAAAAAAGAUUGGAGUAAAUAGACCACACCUGGGGUGUGUUGGCCAAAGACCCUCCGAUGCCUAAGUUAGUUCGAGUGUUUGUAGGAAAACAAUAGCUAAGCAAAGGGUACGGAGUUGUAUGUAUGGUGUGAACCGGGAAGCCGAAGCCAUGUGUGGUGGCCGGAGCCGUGUGGAGAAAAUAUGGAGAGUGGAGAGGGAGAGAGAGCUUCAGGUAUUUUUCUCGGGUAUUAGGAGUAGGUUUAGAUGUACCUUGAAUGAUGAAUGAGGUCGUCUAUUUAUAGGAGCCUCGGGGGUAGGGUUUCGUAGAGAUCGAGUCGGACUUGAUAAUAUCCGAAUUAAUGAUAUUAUCUCUUAAGAAGAUAAUAUCUGAAUUAAAUGAUGUUAUCUUCUCUUUAUUAGGAUAAUAUCUGAAUUAAUGAUAUUAUCUCUUUAAAUAAAGAUAAUAUCAUAUUAAUUAAGAUAUUUAUCCCAAUUAAUUAAUUAGCCAGAUAAACUGGUUUAAUUAAUUAAUUUAAGAGAUAAUCUUCUUUUCCACGUGGUGUGCCCUAAUUGGAGACGAAAAUAUAUGCUCCCACAAAUGCCCCCCAGCUUCUGCGUAGCGCUUGUGCGGUAGGUAGGAGAUGAAAUUAUUUUUUUCGAACUCUCCAACUUUGUUUGGGCUUUCUUCUGUGAGUUGGACUCCUUUUGCAGAUCGGAUUCUCAAUUGGUGUAGGCUUCUGACUGUAGUUGGAGUUGGAUUCCCAGUAGGAAUGAGCUUGCGAUUCCUUCUUGACCCGGGUUGUCCAACUUGUAUAAAUACAUGGCUUCUCUUCACUCUUUCUCACAUCGCAAACUUAAUUUCUCUACUUUCUAGCUUGAGAAAGAUAUUGGAAAAUUUUGUACUGCUUGUCGAAGAGAGGAGUUGCCGUGCAUUCCAAGAUAAGUCGAGCACGUAUAUAUUUUCUUCAUCUUCUCUUUUUUGGGGUGAGGACCAGCUGGGUAGGACUAGGCUGGUUGACGUUGUGACUGGCGGUCAAAGACGGUUGGAGCGGCGGUGGCCGCUGGUUGCUGCUGAGCGAGUAUCGAAAAAAGUUGGUGGUCUGCCCCCUGCCCAAGGUGUUGAGAGAUGGAAGCAGAAUGGUCUAGUCUCUAAUGAUCUGCCGGCUGGGUAGGAGGAGUGUUCUGCCGGACCCCCAUAAAAAAGGAAGGCUGAUGUCAAGUCUUCAAUAAAUGAAGCUGCGACUUCGCGGGCGAAGGAUGUGUCACCGUUAAGAAGAAGCCAAGGAUUCCUUCUGUUGAGAAGAGUCAAGUAGGAGUUGUUCCCCCGUCGUCAGCUAGGGUUAAACAUCUCGUUGGUGCAGAUAGUAAGCAGAUUGGUGAUAUGCGCAAUAUUCGGGAUGUUCCACUCAAGCCUCCUGCAGACAAGCUUGGAGACCAUGAUCUGCUUCGUAAAGUAGUCCGUGCGCGAUCUAGUUCACCUGCUGUGAGGCAAUGAGAUGCAGAUAUUCUUCUUCGAAGUUCGGUCUUUUGCACCAGUUAAAGGAUGAAGGUCGAACUGGGAGGUCUUCUCAUCUACCCAACCGUCAUGAUCCAGUAGUUGAGUCACGAGCAGUCAAGUGUGGAGUAGAUUCAGCGUCGUUGGCUCAUUUGGAAGUGAGGACAGCGGCGACCAAGAAGAUGAAAGAGUCAUCUGCCCGGGUCGAGGGCUCUUCUGCAACGUCAGCGACUAAUCCGGAAGUGGACAAAUCCGCCCUUGCAGGGGAUGCAUGCAUGCCUGAUCUGCUUAAGACGAACUUUCUGUCAAGUCCAUCCACUUGUGCUGAGCUGGUUAAUCAAAUCUGUCAGCUGGCGAUCUUGGUCUUUUCUCAAGUCUUUUCUUGGAAAAACAAAGGGAAACAACAUUUCACAUGCUUCAAAAAAAAGGUGGUGGAAGAUGUCGCGAAUCAGGCAGGUGGAGCUGCUGAGAACGUGGCUGAUCAGACGGAUGUGGAAGAGACUGCAGAUCAAGGAUCUCUUGCUAGCGUCUCGGAGUAGAUGAAGACUCAUUUAUUUCUUUUCAGCUUUUGUAGUCUGCUCUCUGUUUAGAAUAAUCGGUCUUGUUUGACCAUCUUCUUUUUGUUGAACUUGGCCGGUUGAUCACUUUGCUAUGGAAAUUUCAGUUUUUUUUUGUUGAAUAACUUCAAUUCGCAUAAUGUCUUGUGAAUUGCUUGAGUGUUUCUGAGUUGUGGCAUGUUUAGCCUACGUCUAGAGACGUGUCGAUGAGAGUGGCCUGUUUGACUUACAUCAGGAGACGUGUCGAUAAUAGUGGCAUGUUUGGCCUACGUCCGGAGACGUGUCAAUGUGUAUAACUCGUUUACGUCUAGAGACGUGUCGAUGUGUAUGACCCGUUUGGCCUACGUCCGGAGACGUGUCGAUGAUAGUGGCCCGUUUGGCCUACGUCAGGAAACGUGUCGGUGAGAGUGGCCCGUUUGGCCUACGCCCAGAGACGUGUCGAUGAGUGUGGCCUGUUUGGCCUACGUCCGGAGACGUUCGAUGAGUGUGGCCUGUUUGGCCUACGUCUCGUCAGUAGACGUGUUGAUGAGUGUGGCCCGUUUGGCUUACGUCCAGAGACGUGUCGAUAAGUGUGGCCCGUUUGGCCUACGUCAGGAGACGUGUCGAUGAGAGUAGCCCGUUUGGCCUACGUCAGGAGACGUGUUGAUGAGUGUGGCCUGUUUGGCCUACGUCAGGAGACGUAUCGAUGAGACAGUGGCCCGUUUGGCCUACGUUUGGAAACGUGUCGAUGAGUAUGACUCGUUUGGCCUACAUCCGGAGACGUGUCGUUGAGAGUGGCCCGUGUGGCCUACGUCCUGAGACGUGUCGUUGAGUGGCCCGUUUGGCCUACGUCAGGAGACGUGUCAAUGAGAGUGGCCCGUUUGGCCUACGCCCGGAGACGUGUCGAUGAGUGUGACCCGUUUGGCCUACGUCCAGAGACAUGUCGUUGAGUGUGGCCUGUUUGGCCAACGUCCGGAGACGUGUCGGUGAGGGAGGCUUGGGUGCCUGCUUAGAGCCCAGCUGAUAGGUGAAGAGUUUUAUGGAUAGUCCCCUUGGAGGUGAUGGGCAUUACAUUGCCUUGGAACUUCCUUCCCAUUGAAAGAUGAUGAAAGGUUUUUCUUCCAUAAUUUGGUAGCUAGUGACCGCUUGGAAGACGAAAGUUGCCUGCUUGAUCUUUCUCUUCUGCCCCCUGGUGGUCAGCCCGGGCUCUUGGAGUCAGCUAGGAUCGUGUUGAUCCAUAUGGCUUUUUUCGUGGAGGCUCAUUGUUAGUUGCGUCACAAUCCUUGAUUUGCUGGAUAGCCCCCCUUGAGAUGAAUUCCAUGCAAUGGCCGUCUCUGACUAGAUCUUCGAGGUGCCUUUUUCGAGCGAAGCAGUCGUUUGUGUAAUGACCGUACCCUUCAUGGAAUCUGCAAUAUCUACUAGUAUCCUUCUCGGUUAGGUUUCCCUUUAAAGGUGAUGGUUUCUUCAACCAAGGCAUGUCCUUUACUUGGGCUAGGAUCUGGUGUAUCGGGAUAGUGAACUUGGUGUAGCUCUCUGUUGCUAGAGCACAUUCCUGAGGCUGUGAUCUGUGCUUGCCGUUCUCUUUGCUUGCCUGCUUAUUUGCUUGAUCAGCCUUCUUCGCGACAAUCUGGUCGUCGUCCCAUAGUGUGUAGCGCUCUGCUGUAGCAAAGACUUCUAUCAAUGUUUGGCGGGGAGAGAUGGUCAGCUCGCGAUACAGCUCACAUUCAAUUGGCAACCCCCUCUUGAAGGCGGAGGACGCAAUUUGGCCAUCACAUCCUACAAUGUUUGCCCUCUCCGCUUUGAACCUCUUGAUGUAGUCUCGGAGGGAUUCAUCGGACUUCUUGUGCAUGUUAGAUGGUCAGGGUUCUUCUUGAUCGUCCGAUAAGAAGUGUACUCUUUGGUGAAGACAUAUGCAAGCUCCUUGAAGCUGCUGAUCGACUCGGAUAGCAGGGUGUGAAACUAGUCCUGAGCUGCUCCUCGCAAAGUCAUUGCAAAAACCUUGCUCAUUAGCGCAUCUUUAGUUUUUUGUAGGAUCAUAAGGCUCUUGAAAUGCUUCAGAUGGCUUUCGGGAUCGGAAUCCCCUUCGAAGCAUGUGAAAGAGGGCGUUGAGAAUCGUUUCGGGGGAGCAGCUUGCUCGAUUUCGGUGGUGAAAGGUGAGGAGUUUGCUUGGUCUACCUCCAUGCGUAGUGCAUCUUCGAAAUUUUCUCCAAUCUUUAAGUCUUGAAGUCGGUUAUUCACAAGCUUCUCAACGUCUUCUGCACACAUGGCUGGUCGGCCACGUUGAUGACCUUUACGAUUUGGGCGAGGCUGAUUAACUUCCUCGUUGGUUUGCAAGGGUCGACUUUCUCGGUUGCGCUGCCUAGACGGCGUGUUGGUGGACUACGUUUGUGAGGAAUUUUCUGUAACUUGGCGACGAGAAGUGGUUCUUCGAGAGAAAGUAGUAAAGCGCAUUUCUUCACUGUUCUCAUUGUGAUGAUUAUCAGUUUGACCUCCUUGGGGGCCUAGGUGGGCAUGGAUGCCAAGUUGUGGGCCUAACAUAUUGUGCACGUUGGUCCUUAAAUUCAAUCUGGAUGGCAGACUUCGUCUGCUCUGAGUGUGGCUUGCGGAUGCUUGCGACAUGUUGGCGAGCUGAUUGCGUUGUUUUGCAUUUCCUUGUCUGCUUACUCUUGCUCGACCUGCUUGGUUCCCACCGAACUGCCUAUCGGUGCGUUCGUUCAUCCUUCUCUCUUCGCCCUGUUGUCCAACGCCAAGGUUUUGAGCCAAGUUUAUUUGAUUGAGGAAUUGCCUCAUUAAAUUGUUUUGGUCGUCCAUUCUCUGAGUUAGCUGGUCAACUCUCAGAUUAAGGUCUACUUGACUUCGUGGAUCGGGAGGAAAGAAAUGUGUGGAGCCUAAUUGCACACGGGCUAGGGUUUCAUUACAUGUGUACGUGGGUGCGCGUGUCGAGCGUGGAGGCAAUGGAGGGAAUGCUUGAAGUUGCUCCAAGAUUGGGCCAAAGUCGGCGGUGGUAGUGAGCCCACCUUGAUGCGAGGUUCCACCAUGCUCAACGGCGGUGCUAUGAAGGUGGCUAGAUCCGGCCACGGGGCCUUGAGAUGGUACGACGGCGGCAGAGGCCGGUGCGGUGGCCCUCGCUGCGAGUCUGGCAGGUGGCACGAUGAUUCCAGUCACACGGGGUGGCUGCUGAGGGUUCAUGGUGGCGAGAGGUGGUGGAGCCGCCAUGUCGAUUGUGCGAUCGUGGGAAGAGUAGCUUUGGGCCGUCACGGAUUGAGCCAUCGCGGCGGUCUUACUCUUCAUGCACUUGCUUCCAACCAUGGUUGUUUGGAAGGCUUCGGUGGAUUGGAAAAUAGGAGGAACGGAUUCCUUGAGCACGUGUUGAGUAUAACUCGUGCUCUCAACGAGAGCACCAAAUGUUUGUGCAAAUAAUCUCACGGGAGAAUAUUCGCUUCUAGAUCCCUCCACCUUCGACCUUCCUUCUCUCUCUUCCUCGUUUCCUGUAAAAAAGAUUGGAGUAAAUAGACCACACCCGGGGGUGUUGGCCAAAGGCCCUCCGAUGCCUAAGUUAGUUCGAGUGUUUGUAGGAAAACAAUAGCUAAGCAAAGGGUACGGAGUUGUAUGUAUAGUGUGAACCGGGCGGCCGGAGCCAUGUGUGGUGGCCGGAGCCGUGUGGAGAAAAUAUGGAGAGUGGAGAGGGAGAGAGAGCUUCAGGUAUUUUUCUCGGGUAUUAGGAGUAGGUUUAGAUGUACCUUGAAUGAUGAAUGAGGUCGUCUAUUUAUAGGAGCCUCGGGGGUAGGUUUCGUAGGGAUCGAGUCGGACUUGAUAAUAUCCAAAUUAAUGAUAUUAUCUCUUAAGAAGAUAAUAUCUGAAUUAAAUGAUGUUAUCUUCUCUUUAUUAGGAUAAUAUCUGAAUUAAUGAUAUUAUCUCUUUAAAUAAAGAUAAUAUCAUAUUAAUUAAGAUAUUUAUCCCAAUUAAUUAAUUAGCCAGAUAAACUGGUUUAAUUAAUUAAUUUAAGAGAUAAUCUUCUUUUCCACGUGGCGUGCCCUGAUUGGAGACGAAAAUAUAUGCUCCCACAAAUGUCUCAUAGACCACAUACAUAUCCACCCACGCAAACGUAGUGGUUAUAUGAAAUGAAAACUUAUCUUUGGCUAUAUGAUAUCCCACAACUUUCUUUUCCUCUCUUCUCUUAUCUUUUCACACACAUAUACAUUUAUACUAUAUAUGGUACAAUAAUUAGUAAUAUUUGGGUUAAUUCUAAAUUAGGGAAUGUAGGAAACAACUACUAUCUUGCCUUGGACAAUUGUAUAGCUUCUUGAUCAUGUGUAGACUCUUCAGCCCAGGCAAACUGGUGAUGAGACAGGAGUGAGAAUUCGCGAUUCCUUACAUCCUCAAGCUGCUCCCACUCUGCCCAUCUCUCUGCUAGAUCCACUCCCUGCAGCAAUCUAAUGACCAUAGCACCAUUUCAUGAUAAAGACAUUAUCAUACAGCUUUAGUGCUGGAACUCUCUCAAACCUCUUAGUUAGAAUUCUAAAUUUUUAAUGGGCUGGUCAGCCCAGUCCUACACCAACAGUAGGGGUGGGCGAAACCAGAUUGAACCAGACCGAACCGGCUAGUUUGAUUAGGAUUUUGACAAAAAUUAAGGUCAUACGGUUCAAAACCCAGCUCAGUUCAGCUGGUGGUUUCAAUUCCCUCAGGAACGAGAGAACAUAACCGAAUCAUUUCCCACUCUUUUUAUUAAUUCCGCCCGUAUCCCUCCUAUAAAAUCAUCUUUUUCCCCUAGCUCUAGCCACAUAAACCUAUCUCUCCAGUGAAGGAAGUAAACAAAGACAUCCUUCGCAUAACUCCUUUAGCAUGCAGACAAACACAAAACAAGGAUGUAUUUAAAAAUAAUAUAUAUUAUAUGAGUAUGAUAUAUAUAUAUAUAUAUAUUUUAGUAUGAUAUAUAUAUAUCCAAUUUUCUAUAACAGGUUAACCGUACUUGAGGAUAAUCAAGGUCGCCCGGCCAGUGCAUGUUGGUAAACUGGCCGUGCAAAAUCUGAUUAUCCACUAGUGUGGUUAACCAUAUUAUAGAAACACGGAUAUAUAUAAGUAAUCCCCAUUAACUCUCUUACAAUAAGAAUUCGUACUUAUUGCUGAUGCCAAUACAUCAAUACAAGGGAAUAUAAAAGGAAAUGAGAAUCAGAGUUUAAUGGGAUUUACUUGAAUUUUGGAAUUGUAAAGAAUUGCAUUGGAACUCUUCCGGUUAACUCAUUCGAUGAAAGAUCCCUGCCCAAAAAAAAAAGGAAUUUAUAAAUGGUAAAGAAUAUCACACAGUGUGCAAGCUCAGAUGGGCAUGCAAUUAUAUUUAGGCAAUAAGUCAAACAGCAGGAUUUCGAAAAAAAGGAAUUGCUUACAGUUCAGUCAACCCGCUAAUGUUUGAAAGUGAAUCCGGAAUAUGUCCAGAUAUGUGGUUACUGUUGAGAUUUGGAUUGUCAAGGGAGCUAGAGAGCAAAAGACUAAGAGAGGGAGAGAGAGCCUGAGCAAGAAGGAAUCAAUAUGGUUAUGACCACUACUCCUCUGCUUAUCCGUUGCAGCAGAGCAGACUAUAUUCAUACCCAAAAUGUGUUCUUACAUCAGCAAAUACAAUCUAACCGUUGUGAAGGAUAAACCAAUGUGAAUAUGACACAUGGCUUUACAAGCUUUACAACCGCUGAAAUAAGAGAGACAAUCCUAAGCCUUACACUUGGCAUAUGAGCUCAAGGUGCUCAGCUCACAGAUGACUUAAAUGGACUGAAUAUAAACUGACUAAGUACUUACUAACUAAUCAGAAAUAGCUAGGCAGUUUACAUUUUAACACUCCCUUUCUAAAGUGCUAGCUGAUUUCACUCCAAGCAUAUUCCUCAAAUAGCUGAACCUGUCUUUGGGAAGUGCCUUGGUGAAGAUGUCAGCAAUUUGCUCUUCUCCUUUGCAGUAGAGCAGCUCAAUCACUCCUUCUUGGAUUGCUUCUCUAAUAAAAUGGAACUUCCUCUUAAUAUGCUUGCUCCUUUGAUGAAAUACAGGAUUUUUAGCCAUUGCUAUUGCUGAAGUGUUGUCACGGAACACAGUUUUUGCAGCAGUCUGUUCUUCCCCAAAGUCUUCAAGAACAAACCUAAGCCAAAUGGCUUGUGAUGUAGCUUCUGCUGCACUCACAUACUCUGCUUCUGCUGUUGAAAGGGCCACACUAUGUUGUUUGACUGAUGCCCACGAAAAUGCACCACUUCUAAAUGAAAAUGCAUAUCCGGAAGUGCUUUUCAUAUCUUCCUCUGAUCCACUCCAGUCACUAUCACAAUAUCCUACUAGAAGUGCAGACUUUCCAGUCACAUACUCAAUUCCAUAAUCAAUUGUGCCUUGUAUGUACCUUAGAACUCUUUUGGCUGCCCCAUAGUGCAUCUUAGAGGGAGUGUGCAUGAAUCUUGCAAGCAGGCUAGCUGAAAACAUGAUAUCAGGUUUGGUUGCAGUUAGAUAUAGCAAGCUUCCUACAAUUUUUCUGUACAAGCUUUCAUCUGCUGCUUCACUUCCAUCUUCUCUUUGCAAUUUAUCAGUGGCAACUAAUGGAGUGCUCACUAAUUUGCAAUCCUUGAGUCCAAACUUAUCUAGGAGAGUGAGUGCAUACUUCUUUUGAUGGAUGAAAAUGCUCCCUUCAGUUUGUGUUACUCCCAUACCAAGAAAAUGAUGGAGUAAACCCAAGUCAGACAUUUCAUACUUGCACAUCAUCUCAACCUUGAAUUCUUUCACCAUUUCAUCACUGCUUCCAGUAUAUACUAUGUCAUCUACAUAGAUUGAUAUAAUUAAUGUUCCCACACCUUCCUUGGUUCUCACAUAGAGAGUUGCUUCACUUGGACUUCUGUGAAAACCACACUGAUAUAAGUAAGUGUCGAUUUCACUGUACCAGGCCCUUGGAGCCUGAUUUAGUCCAUAGAGAGCUUUUCUUAGUCUGUACACCUUAUCCUCAGCUCCUUUAAUCACAAAGCCUUCAGGUUGAUCCACAUAGACUUCCUCUUCAAGAACACCAUUUAAGAAAGCUGAUUUGACAUCCAAUUGCCAUAAUUUCCAGCUUUCUGUGCAGCUAGUGCAAUGAGAGUUCUAAUAGUGUCUAACCUUGCUACUGGAGCAAAGGUUUCAUUGAAAUCAAUCCCUGGUUUUUGUGUGUAACCCUUGGCUACAAGUCUUGCCUUGUGUUUUUGAAUGGAGCCAUCAAGGUUUAGUUUAGUUUUAUAUAUCCACUUCACUCCCACAAUUGGUUUGCUGCCUGGUCUAUCAACCAAUUUCCAAGUGGAAUUCUUCUCUAUCAUUGAUAUCUCUUCAGUCAUAGCCUUAUUCCAAGCUUCAUCUUUGGCUGCUUCAUGGAAACUCUCUGGUUCAAUAAUGCUCAGUUUACAUUGAGCAUAGACCUCACUUAAGUUCUUCCAUUUUUGUGAAGUAUGAUCAAAAGUUUCAGAGAUUGAAACUAAUGAAUCAUGUGUAGCUGAUUCUAGAGUGGUUUGCAGAUCAUUAGCCACUUGUGGUCUCUGAGGAGAUUGACUAGACUGAAGUGAUUCAUUUGAAUAUGAAUCAAUUUCUGAUAUUCUUGAACUUUCUUCUUCAUGCCAUGGAAUAGUCACUUGUACUUCUUCAUUCAACUCCUAAUUCCACAUUGCUAUCUCAUCAAAGAUAAUGCUCCUUGAGAGUUCAAUCUUUUUAGUUUCUAGAUUAAAGACUCUAUACCCUUUCUCACAAAUCCCAUAUCUGAGAAAUACUCCCUUCAUUCCAGUUUCUUCCAGCUUGUGUCUUUUCUGAGAAGGAAUAUGGAUAUAGCACAGUGAACCAAAUAUUCUCAAGUGCUUGACACCUGGUUUUCUCCCACUGAACUUCUCGAAUGGAGUUGUAUUAUCCUAAGCACUUGUUGGACUUCUAUUUUGCAGGUAUACAGCUGUAUUGAUAGCUUCUACCCAAAAUUUCAAAAGGAUUUUCUUCUCAUGCAUCAUUGUUCUUGCCAUUUCCAUCACAGUACGAUUCUUUCUCUCUGCAACUCCAUUCUGUUGCGGAGAGUAGGCUAUAGUUAGUUGCCUUUCUAAUCCCAUCUCUUCACAAAACUUUGAAAAUUCCAAAGAUGUAUAUUCUCCACCUCUAUCACUUCUUAGCUUCUUAAUUUGAUAACCACUUUGCAACUCAACCAUGUUUUUGAACCUUUUGAAUAUGUUGAAUGCUUGAGACUUAUGCUGCAAGAAAAACACCCAACACAUUCUAGUGUGAUCAUCAAUGAAGGUGAGAAAGUAUCUAUUCCUUCCAAGAGUGAUAGACUGCAUUGGACCAUAGAUAUCUGAGUGAAUCAGUUCUAGUGGUUGUGAGGCUCUCCAAGCUAUUUCCUUAUCAAAUGAACUUCUGUGACUCUUGCCUAUAGCACAACCCGAGCAAAUCUUCUCAGAUUCUUGUAACUUAGGUAGACCCUGAACCAUGUCUUUCUCUUGUAAGAGUCUCAAACUACAGUAGUUUAGAUGCCCAAAUCUUCUGUGCCACAAGCAAGAUGGUUCUCCAAAUGUUGCUCUAUUUGCCACAGGAGGAUUGACAUAUUUGAGAUCUAAGGGAAAACAUCUGUUCCCUUUCAUUUGAACUCUUGCAAUCAGCUCUUGCAAUUGCUUAUCUUCAUAAAUGUCAACCUCAUUAUCACCAAACACCAACCAAUGCCCAUGCUCUAUCAUCUGUCCUACGCUCAACAGAUUCUCAUCCAAACCAGGUACAAUCAUGACUUCUCUAAUAAAUCUAGUAACCCCUUGCACAUCUAUAGCCAAAGUACCUUUGCCUAUUGAUUGUACUAAAUCACCAGUGCCCAUCUUAACUUUACAAUUCACAUUUCUAUCUAUAUCAAUAAGUAAGGACUCAUAAGCAGUCAUAUGAUUACUACAAGCACUGUCCACAUACCAAACAUUCAUAUUUUUUUCAAUAGAAGCUGAAUGACAAGCAUAGAACAUAGUAGCAGGUUCUGUUACCUUGCUAGCCAAGUUCGCAAGUUUCUCAGUCUUAUUUGAUUGUUCAUAGUCUUUAAUGGGAUGCCCAAAACGAUUGUACCCAUAGCACUUUGGCUUUCCUUUAAACCAGCAUUCUCCAUAGUGAAGCUUAUCACAGUGCUUGCAUUUCCCUUUUGCUUGAUCUGAUUUUUCCCCUGGUUCAUGCUUUCCUCCUUGGUUGCCACUAUUUUGAGGUUUUGAAUCCCAUUUCUUACCCUUCGAUUUCCAGCUCUUCUUUGAUUUAUUAUUACCAAAACCAGAAUUGGACUGAGAUCCCUUUUGAUUUAUGCUCAUGCUGCUGAAGGCUUUCUCAGUGGUGUUCUCAGCAUGCCUAUCAAGGCGCUGAGCAAAACCCCUCAAUGCAGCAAUCACCUCUUGCACCUCAAUCAUUUCAAUAUCCUUAGUUUGUUCAAUUACAUAACAGGCAGGAUCAAACUCCUUAGUCAGGCUUAUAAGUAGUUUUUGAACUAACCUUCCUUUGGAUAGGUCUUCCCCAUAUCCCUUCAUCUGAUUCACAAGCUCAAGUAGGCGAGUGAGGUAUCCAGACAAGGUCUCAUCAUCCCUCAUCCUUGUGUACUCAAAAUCACGACGCAAACCCUGCAAUUUGAUGGAUCUGACCUGCUUAUCACCAUGAAAUUCCUGAUGUAAAAUAUCCCAUGCACCCUUUGAGGUUUCUUCAUUCGAAAUCCUAGGGAAAAUGUCUUCUGAGACAGCCUCUUGGAUAAUCCCAAGUGCCUUAGCAUCCUUCAUUAAUAGAGCUUCCUUCUCAGAAUCCGAUGACCCAGCAUCAUCCACCUUCUUCCCCUUUGAAUCUGGAAUUUGAAGCCCAUUUUCAACUAAAUCCCAGAUUCCAUGAGAUUUGAAAAUCGUUCUCAUUCGAAUCUUCCAAAAUCAUAGUUGUCCCCAUUGAAUAUUGGAGCUCUGAGAUCACUCCCACCUGACCCAGCCAUCUAAGACAGAAUCAAUGAACUGAGUCGGAAAUUUCUCCUCGGAUUUCCAAGCUCAGCCCACACACAGCUUCAACGCCCACUAUCCAGAUCCAACCUUCACUGUUGAUACCAUGUUGAGAUUUGGAUUGUCAAAGGGAGCUAGAGAGCAAAAGACUGAGAGAGGGAGAGAGAGCCUGAGCAAGAAGGAAUCAAUAUGGUUGUGACCACUACUCCUCUGCUUAUCCGUUGCAGCAGAGCAGACUAUAUUCAUACCCAAAAUGUGUUCUUACAUCAGCAAAUACAAUCUAACCGUUGUGAAGGAUAAACCAAUGUGAAUAUGACACAUGGCUUUACAAAGCUUUACAACCGUUGAAAUAAGAGAGACAAUCCUAAGCCUUACACUUGGCAUAUGAGCUCAAGGUGCUCAGCUCACAGAUGACUUAAAUGGACUGAAUAUAAACUGACUAAGUACUUACUAACUAAUCAGAAAUUAGCUAGGCAGUUUACAUUUUAACACCCCUCAAUACCCUGCAGCACAGGUGAGAUGAUUAAUUUUUCUUUUCUAGAGAACAGGAAAGUGUUCACAAGAUAGUACUUUCCAAUAUAAACAGUUGUAGAACACUCAGAUAAGACAACAGCAUAAGUAACUGCUACAUAUCAAGGCAAUUCCCCAAUAAAUACAAGAACAUUUUACAUUUAUAGACAAAAAAGAAAGUUGGAAUAUUUUAGGAAGGGAAAUGCAGCCUUACAAAUGCUUUAAAUUGGACAGUUGACCCCAGGUAUUGGGUAUAGGACCUCUGAAAUUAUUGUUUGCAAGAUUUAGAUUCUGUAGAUGUGUCAUGUUGGCAAGAUAAAUGGGUAACAGGCCUGUUAGACUAUUAUCCUGGAAGUCCCUGCAUAAAUAAAGUUAUUUUAUCAAAAUUCAUGACUGGAUGCAAAAAAAUAUAUUCUUCAGAAUUAAACAAACAAGUACAAUAAUGAAGGCGUUGGUAUUAUAUUCCACUUUUUUCUAUGACUCAGUUGACAGUAUGUAAAGUUACAAUGAUAAAGGGAAAACUUAAAUUCUCCCUCUCUCUCUCUCUCUCUCUCUCUCUCUCUCUCUCUCUCUGUAACACCCCGACUCCAAAUUAAAUGUCUAUUUUAACCUAUUUAUAUUAAAUUACGAAUUUACCCUUGGGGUAGGGGUAAAUUGGUCACUUUCUUAAUCAGAAGGAUUUUGGGACCACGGAUAGUAUUUCUGAGUAGGUAGUACUGAGACGAAUUCGUAGACACGCGGUAGGCUUGAAUCGGAAUUGUAACGAAAAAGUUACGGGAAAAACACUAUCAGUGGCAAAACUGUAAACAUUUCAAAAAGUUUGGUAAAAAUCAGAUUUUUCACCUCAGCUCUCUCUCUCUCUCUCCUCGCGCGCGCUCGACACUCUCUUUCUCCUCAGUCUCUCUCUCUCCCCGACACCGACUCUCUCUCUCCUCGGUUCUCUCAGCUCCGGCGACGGCAGGACACGAGACCGGUCCCGAUUGAUCCACCUUGACGUCCCGAUCAACACCUGCCCGUUUUCCCCGUCGAAAACCACGAACUCAAACCGCGAGCUCGACUGUUUUGAACCGGAGCUUUCCCGCCGUCGCGCCGCCUCCUCCGCCCCCCAAACCCGGUGAGUGAGGUAUGGUUUCUCAUCCAUUUUUCGAGUCCUAGCUGACUGUUGUAUAGGUUUGGACCGAUUCAUUGUCUAGGAAAUCGAUUAGAAAAUCUAGGUUUUGGCCGGAUUUCAAAAUGAAAUUUCGGCCAGUUGCCGCCCGAAUUGGACCUUCCCGUAGUUGAAUGAAGUGAUCUUGACCUUGAGUAGAAGCUAGGGUAGGAAAGGUGAGCUCGGCUGUGGAGUUUUUUCGUUCCCGGAAUUACUCUACACACCCACGCGCUACCGGCGCUUGUGGCGGCGCGUGGGCGAGGCUGGUGCGGUUGUAAAUUAAUCCAAUGAGAUCCUCAGGUUGUCACGAGCGCAUAGGAAUUCGCGGAUCUCAAUUCGGAUGUAGUUUGGCUAUCGAACGGAUUUUCGCAUAUUGUGCGUUAUCCGGGUUCGAUAGGUUCCGACCGUUAGAUCUUUCCCGAAUUAAAAUAUGUUGUUCUAGGUAUUUCUAGGACCAUAUGGGACUUUACGAAUUAUGAAUCGGAGCCCCGGAUGUUCCGAUUCAAUAAUGCAAAGUUUGCGGGUUAGCGAUAACUGUAAAAUCGCGAACGAUUCCUAAACCUGUAAUCGGACCUUAGGAUACCUUCUUCAACGUGCACGUAUGGGGAAUUUGGGAUUUAAGCAUUCAAUUUGUGAUUUCCGCUUCGACGUAAUUUUAUAUUAAGUAACGGUUCGUAUCUCGAAAUAGGUGUUUCGACUACACGUACUCAGCAGGCAGGACCCUCACGUGGUCAGGCAGCGUGGGAAUACUUGUGAGUGGACUUUGUUUUCAAUCAUAUGCAUGGUUUUAAUUGAUGAAAGAUUUUUGCAUAAUGUUUUAAUGGCUUAUUGAAUAUAUAUUAUAUUCAUGAGUUGAUUAUGUUGGUUGUAUAGCGCUUGGCAAUAUAUUGUGAGUUUGGCAUUGUGGGUUUUGAGAGUGCAUUUUAUAUGGUUGUGGGGAAGUAUAUUUAUAUAUUAUCUAUAGACGAAAUACUUGGGUUGUUGAAGGGUGUUGUGGAAGAAUUUGAUUUUUGAGAGAAGUUGUAUGAUUACACUAUGUAAGUACCUUCCCCAGUUAUCAGUAUCACUCGCGGCGUUGGAUGUUCCGGCAUGUGAGACACUUUCCAUAUGCGGCGUUGGAUAUUCCGGCGUAUGGAAAGACUUUGUGUAGUGUUUUGGGUCAUCACCAUGGCGUUGGAUGUUCCGGUGUGUGAUGAUCCAGUCUGCGCGCGUAAGACAUAGUUUGGGAGCUACACAUGGCGUUAGAUGUUCCGGUGUGGGAGCUUUGGAGUUUCGUCCCCUAGUUGGACCGCUCAUCCCUAGACGUAGGAUAGCACCUGGAAAUCCUGCGGACUAGUCAAACGAUCCCCCAGUUGGAUUGUUUCCCCGGUACCUAGGUGAUGUGAUGAGUAUAUCGUAUAGCUAUUUAUAGUUAUAUAUAUAUGUAUAUUUUUAUGUAUACGUAUAGUUGAGUGAGUGAAGAAUUAGAGUUUUUCGGUGGUUUGACAGGAGUUGUAAGAUUGAGAGAAUGGGAUUCUUUUUGAAGGAGAUAACUGGUGUUUUAGAAGAGUUUUAAUGAAUGUUGUUUUGAGUAAUUAUUUAUUGAAUUGUGAACCUGCAUGACUUGAGCAUUAUUUUUACAUGGUGGGGUUACUAUAUAUUUUUUAACUGCAAAUCUGGUUUUUGUCCACUCACAUAUUUUCUGUUUUGCGCCCCCAGCUAGUAGUCGCUCCAGGAAGCGUGCAAGUGGUGUACGAGGCUCGAACUGUGAAUCUUUCUAGUUAGGAACUGAGUAAUUUCUUCUACUCAACUGUUCUUAUAAUUUAAAUUCAGUAGAUGCUCUGUAUUGCCCAUGGUAGAUUUUACUUGUGAGGCCGGAGGCCACUCUAGUAUGACUUGUAGAAUUAAGAAAGCAUGCUGCUGGUUGGGAUUUUUAUUUUAUGUAUGUUGCAGGUUGAAUAGUUUUUGUUGGGAUUGCUUAAUUACAGGGGAGACUCUGCCAAAUUUUUAGUAGAAAGUCUCGGUUUCUUAGUAAGUGGGCCCGGCAUCGGAAAGAUGUCAGAAUAAAGACGGGGUCCACUUCGGUUUUCGGAAAAUUCCGGGGCGGGUCCUGUCACUCUCUCUCUCUCUUGGUACCAGAGCACAGACUAGUGAUCCAAAUCAGGUUUCAGCCAAUGGAUUAUGUUACAUUUUCUGACACCAUCAGCCACAGAAUACUAAUGCAUCAAGAAGUUGACUUACAGGCUAGCCAAACAUUUCAGUUUAGUAAUCGAAGGAGAAAGCGUUCCAGAAAAUCCAUUUGAUGCCAGGCUCCUGCAAAGUAGUACAUUCACAAACUAAAUGUACUGCAAUGAUAAAUGAUUUUCAAAGAUGGCGAUAUUAAUAAAAUAUAUAUUUUUCAUGAUCAUAAAAUUUAGUUUAACUUACAGGGAUAUGACAUUUCCAUUUCUACAAGUGACAUGAGACCAGCUAAAAUAGGGGCUAACGAGAUUAUUAUUCCAAUCUGUUAUUCGGCCACUGGAAUCAUUCAGUGCCCUAAGCAAAUCGAUCAAUGCUUCACCUGCACAUUAUCGUAAGUGAAGAACAAAAUUGUAUGUAGAACCAUAAAUGGCUGGUGAAAAGAACUUUUGUUUAUAUUACAAUUCUGAUAAAUGAAAAAUGAAAAAUUCUUGGACUUAGGUAAGGCAGAACACACAAACCAUGUGAGCACGGCAGUAGAUAAGGUAGAACACAUAAAGCCUGUGAGUACGACAGUAAAUAAGGCAGAAGCAAAGACAAGGGGCAAGGCCACAGCAACAACAACGACAAUGACCACAUCAAUGGAAAGCAAAGCAAGCAAAGACAACAUCAACGGCGGCAACAUCGACCACAACAGAAACACACCAGCAAAGGCAUGAGCAACAAUACUGGCACCAUAACAUGCAUGAGCAACAAUACUGGUACCGAACAACAGCAAUAUAAGGCACUGGCACCAGCAAGAGCAUUAAGGCCGGGACAUAAUAGGCAUCAUCAACAGUAAUCAACAUUGUCCCCAACAAGAGUCAUAAUAGGCAGGAGCAAUAAUAUUGUCCCCAACAAGAGACAUAACAGGGAUGAGCAACGGUACUGGCACCAGCAAAGGACAUAGUAGUUAGCAGCAAUAACAAUGACAAAUACUUCCAUUAUCGCACAAACAACUUAUCUUCACUCCCCCUCUUCCCCUGAAGAGAACGGGUCAUCAGAACCAUAAGAGAAGUGGCACUUAAGAAACAGAAGCUGACUUACGCUCAAAUGUAGAAGAAUCAGUCAUGGCAGAUAGGUAGCUAAAUUGCAGUGGAAUAGAUAAGCAGCGAUGUCACUCCCCCUCAAAUCCGACGAUGUAUGAGAGUCGAGAUUUGGAGAAAGCAACACCGAAAAAUAAAGUUGCAGCACCCAAAUAAAGUUGCAUCUAUUUCCCCAUCAAAUCUGACACUGGUAAAAGGUCGAGAUUUGGAAGAUGAUAAAUUGAAAUAAUAGUAAAGAGACUCAAACAUGCCAGUCUCGUGGCAGAAACAAAUGCAAGAGGGGAAGGUGGUAGCAUAAAGCUGUCCCAUGUAGAAAAAACUUUAGAAAAAGAGAAUAGUAAGGGAGGAAACCCAACAAAUCAUGAACAGAGACAAAGACAAAGAUAAGGUGCUCAAACAGGAAUUAGAGCAAAGGACACCGAAAAAAGGAAACCUUUCAUGUGUGGAAUAGGAAUAGAUAGAGUGCCCAUCAAAGGGAAGCAAUAUUAUAUAAGGGAGUUGUGAAAGCGAGAGAUAAUGCAGUGAGAAAACAACAAAAUGAAAGAGGUUGGUAAAAGAGAGAUGAGAAAUAGAGAGGACCUGAAAAGAGUUUGGUUGCAUAGCAGGGGAAACCACAUCGAUAGAUCAAAGAGGAAGAAACUAAAGAUAUUUAAAAAGUAAAGCAUGGGAAAUUGCAUGUGACAAUUUUUAAAAAGAAACUAGUGGAAGAAAGUGAGGUGCUAGAACCGAAAAAAGGAUAGAAUAAUGCUGUGAUUGAAGGAAAAUAAUGACAAAGGAAGGUAUCUGUGAGGAAAUAGACAAACAGAGAAAGGGAUGAAUAUUGGAAAGAGGCCAAAGGUAGAAAGAAAUAAGCAUAAGGGUAAAAGGGAAGGAGAUAGAAAAAUAAAUAAUAAACACCCAACGGGAAAGGCUAGAGUGACAAAGCUGGAGAGAUGGCGUGGGGAAAGAACACAACAAACACCAGCCAUUGGGCAUAGACAAACAAAAGAGAUAAACAUAAACAAAAGAGAGCUAAAUAGAGCAAAAAGAGAAACAAAGAAAGGGUGCUCAAAACUGAGAAGCGGAAAGGCAACUCAGGAGAACAGCCGAAGAUGACAGAGAUCGGCAGAACAAUCAAAGGAAAGGCUCGGUGAGUGGUGACAAGGCUCGCGGAGGAAAGCAACGGCUCGGUGAGCGGUGACGAGGCUCACGGAGUAAAAAGACCUGUUAUGAAGUUUCAAAGAUAAAGAAGCUGGGACAUCAAGAAAGACCAUCAGGCAUACAAAGAUUAAAAAUUAAAAAAUUUGGAACAAUAGCAAAGAAGCAUGUGAAGGCUAGGUGUGGUGAAAACACAUAUGAGAGGAUUGAUCAAAAGAAGAUGACUAUACAAGAUGAAGACCCAUGAUGGGUUAGGAAUGAGGAGUGCCAACGACUCUCAAUUUGACAGAGGUGAUCACAUGUUAGAAACUAGGCUCUGAUACUAUGUCAAACAAAGUAGGGUAAAUAUUCAAUUAUGCUCAGAUACGCUCAUAUUUUUAUUCUUCUCCAAUAUGGAGGUAUUUAUACAAGUACAAAGCUGUGUUAACCCUAAAUAAAAUAGGAAAUAUAUCUAAAUUACAAUAGGAAGUAAAUCUCUAUUACAAUAGGACUAAAUAAUAAUUGGUAAGUAACCAAAAUUCUAAUAAAAUAAGAAACCAAAAUCCUAACUAAGGAAGGAACCAAAAUCCUAACUAAAUAAGGACUUGCCAACAGCACGACCUUGAUGCACUAUGAGAAUCGAGGCGCUGGCCACAAUGUUGGACGAUGCCAAUGCAUCUCCCAAGGGUCCGAGCUCCGGGCAGUCACCCCACUCGGAUAGCCCGAACGUGAGUGGUGAGGAACCUGUUUGCCCUAUUCCCACGAUAUAAAGAUCAUAGUCAUUUCCCAUGGCGCUUAUCAAUUUGAGAGUUUCUUCUCCAUUGUUCAACACCUCGUGAAUUAAUUUUAUGGAAGGUUGGUUCCUAGCAUUGAGCACAAAGCUCUCUAUAUAUUGGUCGUCUAGUUGUUUCUCCUUCUCAUUUUCCUCUAUCAUCUCUAAAAUAUUCUUCUUUUCGUCCUCAUCAUGAUCGUGAUCAUUAUUAUUAGGAUUGUUGGGAGGGAGAUCUGAAUGAACUGCCGCAUCUUUACUGACAAUGAAACGAACCACAGUUAAGCUGAUAUUAGGUUUAGGGUUAGGAUUGCUGGCCAUCCUCCAUGCAUAUGCCAAUGCCUCGCGGUCAUCUGACCCACUAAUGAAGAGCAUGGCACAGCGGCAGCAGCCAUGGCCAUCUUCAUUUUUAAUGUUAGAUGAAUCGGUGAGUCCACGAUCCACGAAGAUGGCCACCGAACAAGAAGAGUUCUCUAGAAGGUUCUUGUUAAUGCCUCUAAAAGAGGGGUUUCCGUUGUCCAUUCCCCCGUCAAUGGUGGAUUGCUUGUGGAAAGGAAUGAUUAUGAGGUCUGCACUCUUGUCGUCCGCAAGGUUGCAAAUGUCCUCAUGCAUGGAGGCGUAAGAGGACACAACAGUUAGUGCGUCCACGAACAAGCUGCUUUCUUCACUUUCGGUCUCAAGUUUUUCAAAGGCAGCGACAAUUUGGUCAGAAGGCGAAGAAUGCUUUUGAUUUUUGGCUGUAAUUUUACUUGUCUUACGAAUAUUGCUGCAUGUGUCGUGGACUAUGAGCAUGGCAGAAGCAUGGCCACUGAGCUCCACCAGAUGGACCGCAAAGACGAACAUCGGGGAUUGUUUGGUGGGAUUGGAAAUCUCCAACAGAUUGAUGACGCUUGAAACAUUGCUUGUUCAAUGGAAGCAAGUAAGGAUUCGAAACUCUGAGUUGGCUUGUAUGCUUCUUAUGCUUCUGUGCGUGUGCUGCUUAGAUGGCACAUUCGACUUGUAAAUCAAAGCCAAAAUGGGUCCAACCGCUGCCGUCAUUAUCAAAAUUGCAAGCAUCAUUACUGAAAAAGUAUUGUGGUCCAAAACCUGCAUUUAUAUAUAUAUAUAUAUAUAUUUGCCAAUUAAAACAAUAUAAAAUCAGGAAUUUAACACAUGGUUUUAAGAUAUAUAUUUCUUAGAUGUAAUCUAUGUGUACUAUUAUUUAGGAGAACACUUGGUAUCAUUGUGUUAAAUUUCGGAGAGACGGGCCAGCGGUCCAUUACCAGCAACACCAAUAUUAUCCCCAACUUGAUUAAUUAAUCAUGGAAUAUUGUGUGUAUGUGGGUGUGGAAGAGGCAACUGCACAUGCAAUAAUGAAAUAGUUGUACAUAAUAGUAUAUACAUACAUGUAAGUCCCGCCCAGAAUUGAGGAUUAUUAUAGCCAGCAGGCCUUUGGUGUUCAUGACUAGUCCGAAAGCCAAACUGUCCCUCACCGACAUUUUGUUGAUGAUGGCAGCGACAAAAGUCGCAACAAAUUUAGCGAGGAAAGCCAGGGCAACAAUUGACAUGACAAUUAGAAGGCUUGUACUGCGAAAGACAACAACGACAUGCGUUCUCAUCCCAAGAAUCAAAAAGAAGAAGGCGACGUAGCACAAGCAACAAAGGUUUCAAGCGAAACCUUAAGUAACAAGAUAUCUGGAUUCCACCAAAAAUUAAGAGGAAUUUUAUUGGGAUAAUUGUAUUAAAAUCUGAGAUAAUGAAAAACGACAGACAAACCAGUCUAAAUACACAAUUCUCAACCCUUGAACUGCCAGGGGAGUUAUUACAUUAAAACUAAAAAAACAGAAUUAAUUCGGAGGCUUAACUACGUAACUCCGAAACUGAAAACAGAAUUUAUUCGGAUAAUUAACUACGAAAUUUGAAAGCAGUUUUGGAAGGCCAAACGACCUCAGAAUGCCAAAAUCCAUCAUACAUCACAGCUAGGCUGUGAGUUUGACUCGUGGCGUCGUUCCCUUUUCGAAAUGGUAUUUUGCGUCCUAAUCUGAGCUCGGACGACAAAUCUGCAAAUUCCCGCUACGUCCUUUUUUUAGCUCAACCGCGAUAAAAUCUGCCAUCUGUUCUACAUCAGUCCCCUCCACCGCUGAAGAACUCGACCCCGAGUUAUGAUCUGGAUAAAGGACCUCAUCUUCACAGAACUCAUAUAAAUCUGCAACAUUAAAAAUAUUGGAAAUUCCCAUGGAAUCUGGUAACUCAAUAACAUAGGCAUUAUCAUUGAUCCGUUUGAGCACUUUGUAAGGACCAUAUUUUUUUGGUUUAAGCUUGCUAUAUGUGCCAACUGGAAACCUCUCCUUCCUCAGAAAUAUCAUCACAGAAUCGCCUUCCCGAAACACUUUAACUCACCUAUGCCUAUCUGCAGCAGCUUUGUACUUUGCAUUAGUUUGCUCAAGUUUCUGCUUGACUUCAUCUCGAACGGCAACUACUUCCUCUGCCAAAUUUUUUGUUGCCACACUGGUUUGCUGGCCCCUAGGCAGUUUCACCAAAUCUACAACAUGAUUAGGUAUAGCAGUAUAAACAAUGGAAAAUGGAGACUUCCCAGUGGCACUAUGGACUGCACUGUUAUAUGCAAACUCCACCUGCGGUAGUGCAUAAUCCCAUUGUUUUGGCUUCUCUCCACAGACGCUGCGUACCAUAUUGCCCAAUGUCCGGUUUGUAACCUCAGUCUGGCCAUCGGUUUGGGGAUGGGCAGUGCUGCUACGAUUCAAAGUAGUCCCAAACAGCCUCCACAAGGUGAUCCAAAAAUGGCUCAAGAACUUGGUGUCACGAUCGGAUGUAAUGGAUGUAGGAACCCCAUGCAAGCGAACAACCUCCCUGAAAAACAGUUUGGCUAUAUUUGAUGCAUCAGCAGUCUUUUUGCAGGCUAUGAAAUGCGCCAUUUUUGAGAACCGAUCAACCACCACAAAUACAGAGUCCACUCCCCUUUGUGUUCGGGGCAAUCCGAGGACAAAAUCCAUAGCAAGAUCCUGCCAAAUAUCGUUAGGAACUGGUAAUGGCAUAUAUAAUCCAGUGUUUUGUACCUGCACCUUCGAAGUUUGACAAGUGUAGCACUUGCGCACAAUAGUUCCAACAUCUCGUUUGAGCUGUGGCCAGUAAAAUCUCUCCUCCAUCCCUGCAAUUGUUUUAUCAUGGCCUAGGUGGCCACUCAACCCUCCACCAUGCAAGUCCCGAAUGAGCUUCUCCCUUAAGGAGGAAACUGGAAUACAUAACUGGUUGCCUUUGAACAAAUAACCUUCAUUAAGGAAGUAAUCUGCCAUCGGCUCUUGAUUGGUGCACUUAGUCCAAAUUUCCCGAAAAUCAUCAUCACCUUCAUAUAAUUCCUUCAGACAUUCAAACCCCACAACUUCUUGAGUCAGCGUGACUAACAAUGAAGCUCUUCGACUCAGCGCAUCCGCCACACGAUUUGUCUUGCCGGAAUUAUGCUUGAUAACGAACGAAAAUUUCUGCAAAAAAGUCACCCAUCUAGCAUGCAUCUUAUCAAUAUUUUUCUGGCUGUUAAUAUACUUCAACGCUUGAUGAUCUGUAAACAGAACAAAUUCCUUCUGGAUAAGAUAGUGCUCCCAUUGCUUCAAAGCUCGAACAACCGCAUAGAACUCUUGGUCAUAAGUACUCCACUUUUGACAUGCAUCCCUCAACUUUUCAGAGAAGAACGCAACUGGCCGCUUGUCUUGUGAAAGCACAGCUCCGACUCCCACACCGCUGGCAUCACAUUCAACUUCGAAAACUUUCUCAAAGUUUGGAAGGGCUAGAACCGGCGCGGUGCAAAGCUUUUCUUUUAUAUUUGCAAAGCUUUUCUCUUGCUCCUCUCCCCAGCUGAACCGGCCCUUCUUCAAACACUAUGUGAUAGGUGCAGCGAUGGAGCUGAAAUGUCUCACAAAUCUUCUGUAAAAGGUGGCCAAACCAUGGAAACUUUGAACUUCAGAAACUGUUUUUGGAGCUGGCCAGUCAAGGAUUGCCUUGAUCUUCUCGUCAUCUACCUGGAUACCAUUCUCACCAACAACAAAACCCAAGAACAGUAGCUUAUUUGUGCAGAAAGUACAUUUUUUUAGGUUCACAUACAGUUUAUUUUCUCUCAAAACAUCUAAAACUUGUCUCAAAUGCACAAGAUGUUCCUCUUUUGUGGUACUGUAAAUUAAGAUGUCAUCGAAAUAAACUACGACAAAAGAGCCAAUAAAUGGUCGAAGAACCUGAUUCAUGAGUCUCAUGAAAGUGCUAGGCGCAUUUGACAAUCCGAAUGGCAUCACCAACCAUUCAAAUAAUCCGUCUUUGCUCUUGAACGUUGUUUUCCAUUCGUCGCCAGGUCUGAUGCGAAUCUGGUGGUAACCGCUUUGCAAAUCUAUCUUGGAAAACACCCUUGAGCCGCUAAGAACAUCCAGCAUAUCCUCCAACCGUGGAAUGGGAAACCUGUACUUGACUGUUAUCUUGUUGAUUGCUCGGCUAUCAACACACAUUCGCCAAGUCUUGUCUUUCUUCGGAACCAGCAAAACAGGAACUGCGCAGGGACUCAAACUCUCCCUGAUAAAUCCCUUCUGCAGUAAUUCUUCAAUCUGCUCUCUUAAGAUGUCAUUCUCCUUGGGGCUCAUCCGAUAAUGGGGCAGAUUCAGAAGGCUAGCUCCAGGCACCAAGUCAAUUCGGUGUUGUAUGUCCCGCAUAGGUGGCAGCUCGUUUGGCAAUUUUUCAGAAAGUAAUUCCUGAAACUGUGACAAAAUCUGCUGCACUGAUGUAGAACAGAUGGCAGAUUUUAUCGCGGUUGAGCUAGAAAAAGGACGUAGCGGGAUCUGGAUAAAGGAACUUGAUUUGCUUGUGCUGCGUCACUAUUGCUCGUUUUCUUUCUCUCCAUUAGUCAACGUCUACUGGCCUGGUAAUUAUUGACUAAAUAGUGCAUUAAUUCCUUGUAAUUAUAAAAUAGUGGCUUUAAGUUCUUUCGUUUUUUUCUUUGGAUUUAACAGUGGCUAAACUCAAAACCACCGUUACACUAGAAUCAAUAGGAUCAGAAUCUUUCCAAAUCACCGUUACACUAGAAUCAAUAGGAUCGAAUAUAUAUAUAUAUAUUCUUUAAAGAAUUAAUAGGAUCAAAUUGUUGAGAUUCAAUUACAAGAUCCCCUGAAAAGGUGGAAGAAGAAACAAAAAGUCCUCCCUUAGGUUACUUGAAUUAAAACUGGCUUCUUAAUUAUUCAAAAGUAUCUGUGGAUGAAUCAAUGCAGACUACUUAGACUUCACAUUUCAUGCCUUAAGACUUCGUGCAUAGUGAUCACAUAUUUUCUAUUCGCAAACUAUCUUUUAGAGUAAAGUCUACUAGGUUGGAAUAUUAUUAUUUUAAUUGGGUUACAAAGUUAUAAUAUUAACGAUGAUGACCUACAAAUAGUUUUAUUUUAUAUGUAUAUGGAUCACAAUAUUUAUCAAUAUGUAUAGUUCAGGUUAGGAAACGACAAAAUGUUGAUAUGACUAGGAGCUUAAAGAAUUAAUGAAGCGUGGAUGCAUUGACAAGGGUGGACCAUAUAUAGAUGUGGACAUCAAAAAUAAAAACAAAAACAAAUAUAUGAAAUGUGACGGACGUGGUGUUUCAUUUUCAGUUUUUCUAAUAGCAUCUUACGGAAAUCAUAGUCUAAAUUAUUUUAAGUUAUUUUAACAUACGAAAAGGUUAAUGGGUCUAGUCUAGUGGAAAAGAGUAUUAACUUACAGAUCAGUGGUCUCAGAGUCAAAUCCUCAUAACACCUUGAUGGUGUGUGUGAAAAACUCCCUCUCUUUUGUAGUUUAUAUUAUCGCUUAUAUUGCAAAAUUAUAUAUAUACAAAAGAGAGUAUUAAUUAGUUAUUAUUGCUUGUUAAUUCAUGAAAAUGAAAUGGUGAUGAUGAAUAGGUAGGACCAAGGGUGAAGAAGGACAGGGAGAGAUUUCCACCAAACAACGUACUUCUGGUGUUAGCAGGAGCCGGGUUGCUGUGGAUGGGAUGGGCAGGUUUCAACGGGGGAGACCCGUACGUGGCAAACACGGACUCAUCCAUGGCCGUCCUCAACACCAACAUCUGCGCCGCCACGAGCUUCUUGGUUUGGACUUGGCUCGAUGUCAUCUUCUUUGAGAAGCCUUCCGUCAUUGGAGCUGUCCAAGGAAUGAUCACUGGCCUCGUCUGCAUUACUCCUGCUGCAGGUACGUAUUACGUAAGUUCUCAAGUUGACUUUUUUCCAGAGUUGAGUAAAGUUGAAUUAUAUGCCUAUGGGUUUAAUCUAGUGAAAAAGGAACUUGAUUUGCAAAACAAUAAGAGUAUAUGUGAGAAAACUCCCCUCCUUUUCAAACCUUGACCCAAAAAAAAACAAAGCAAAGUUGACUUAUAUUUAUCAUCCCAAUUAAUAAAAACAAAAUUAAUAUACUUACUUACUCGUCACAAAACGCAUUGCCUUCCAUUAAUUAAUCCAGAAAAAAUAAGUUUAUUUGACUUUUGACUAUUCAUAUUUACGUUCCCUCACAGACCACGUUCUAGUUCUAUUUGGUAUCCUACUUGGAUUCAAUUUUAUAAACUCAAAAACAAAUUUUGAAGUUUAAAACCACAAAAACUCGUUUGAUAUGCCCCUUUUUAAAAACUCAAACUCAAGAAAAAUUCAAAAGCACCCCUUUAUUAAAAAAAAAAAGAAGAAGAGGUUUUAUAGUUUUUUUCUCUCUCCUCCCUCUCCCUGUCUCUUUCUCUCUCCUUCCACUUCUCUCUCUCUCUCUCUCUCUCUCUCUCUCUCCUUUUAUUUUGGAGGUUUCAAUUUGAGAAUUUAGGGUUUCUGAUUUUAAUUUCAAUUUUUUUAGAUCUUAAAAAUAGUUUGGAGUUCAAUACCAAAAAAGUUUUUGAAUCUUAAAAUCACCAUUUGAAAACUCAUAUUUUAAAAAAGAAUCAUAGUUUUUGAAUUUUUUUUUUUUUUUUUUUUUUGAGUAGGAUACCAAACAAGGCCAAUUUCCUUUAAAAAAAUUCUCAUAUGGUUCUCUAACGUUUUCUCUAAAUAUAUUUGCAUCUCUUUAUAUAUAUUAUUUAGCCAGUUUUUAACAGGAGAGGUGACUCAUGGCAUGUUGUGUUGACCAUGCACAGUCAUUUAAUUAACCAUAUUAACUAGCUAGCUUUUAUUUUACUUUUGUUUGUUCAUAGACUGAUACAAUAUUAUUGUUUAAAUAUGUAAAUUAUUUAGGUCUGGUUCAAGGAUGGGCCGCUAUAGUGAUGGGAGUUAUGUCAGGCAGUGUGCCAUGGUUCACCAUGAUGAUAGUGGACAAGAGGUGGAAACUGCUAUCUGCAGUUGACGACACCCUUGGUGUAGUUCACACCCACGCCGUGGCCGGGUUUCUUGGCGGCGUUUUAACGGGGCUUUUCGCUGAGCCUGAACUAUGUGCACUCUUUUUGCCCGUCACAAACUCGCGCGGAGGCGUGUACGGAGGCUCAGGAUUAAUGCAAAUCCUCAAACAAAUUGUGGGAGCCCUAUUUAUCAUUGGAUGGAAUAUUGUGGUCACCUCCAUUAUUUGCCUAGUCUUACGGUGUAUAGUUCCGUUGCGCAUGCCGGAGGAACAGUUACUGAUUGGGGAUGACGCAGUGCAUGGAGAAGAGGCAUAUGCAUUGUGGGGUGAUGGGGAGAAGUAUGAUGUUACUAGGCAUGAGCUUUACUCCGACGAUACGUCACACGCUCAAAAAUAUCCAUCCAGUGGUGCCACUCAGGUGGUCUAACUCAAAGUUAUAUAUUAUUUAUGUUAAUAAUCUGUUCCAAAAAGAAAAAAGAAAAAAAAGGCCAAAAAUGAAAAGAGGAAAAAACGAAGUACGAAAAAUAGGUGUUAUUGUCAAUUAUUAUCUUAUUUUCUGGUGAUCUUUUCAAUGUUUUAUGUAAACUGCCUAUUGCCUCCGGUACUUAUUCAGGGAAAUUUGGAACACCAAACCAUUUUUAACAUGUUUAAGAUUAUUAGCCCCUUUUUUUAAUUUACAAAAUAUAAUCACUAGAGCCCUCUCGAAUAGUGUUACCUUUACUUGAACCCUAGCAUUAGUACUUGGAUCUUUAUUAGUAACUACAAAGGCUCCAUUUGGUGGAGAGAGACUUUCAUGCAACAGAAAUAACACUUUUUGUUAUCUUCGAUCAAUAGAGCAAUAACAUGCGGGAUAAUUCUUCCACGUGUCAUUGCAUUAUUGACCGAGAAUAGCUAAACAAUGAUAUCCUCGUUACAAGAAAUUUGUUUUUUGCAUUUGGUGGAUGGAUAAAAACACUGGAUUGGAUCCAUAAUCAUACUCCUGUGUUUAGUGGCCCAAGUCCACUUGGAUUGGAUUAGUUCUAAAUUCUAUUCCUGUCAAACUCAAUUUUAGUAGGAUUAGGAAUCCCCCCAAAACUAGGGAUGGACAUUCAAACUGGAAAACCGAAAAAUUGCGCCGACAAAAAACCGCAAUUUUGUACAGUUUUAGUUAUGAUUCUUGUAGUGAAAAAGCUUGACUGGGUCAAACCAGACCAACCAUGUAUUUUUUAAAAUUUUAAUAAAUAUUUAACCCCAUUACUAAAUUUGUAAGCCUAUAACUAAUCUUUCUCUAAAUCACCUAUAUUUUUUAGGCCCAAUCACCUCCCUUUGCAUUAAAUUAGGUCACUUGUGAAUUUUUAAAAUUCAAAAUUCAAAAAAAAAAUAUUUAAAAAACAAGGGUAUACUAGUGAUUUGCCCCUGAACUUGUACCUAAUUUUCGAUUAACCCCCUAUCCUUUUUUUUUCGAAAAUUAAGGAUAUGAACUUUUUUUUUCCGCCAAUUUCCCCCCUAUCGUCUAAAUUCUCAACAUUUCAUCCAAUUUUCAGUUAAAUCAUUUUUAAAAAAUUACUUUUUUUGAAAAAAUUGAAGAAAAAGAGUAAACCUAAUGCCAACCCCUUCCAUCUCCUCCCUUUCUCCUCCCAUUCUCCCAUGACCACCAUCCUUUACUCCCAGACCAAUCCCCCACCCCCACACCCUUCAAUCCACAGACCCCUCCCUCCUCCUCUCCCUUUUUGUUCUUUCAACCACAGACUCAUCACCAUCAUCCCCAACAGACCUUCCUCCCUUUCCGCCGUCGCCGCCUCCUCUCUCUCUCUCUUUCUCUCUCUCUCUCUCUCUCUCUCUCUCUCUCUCUCUCUCUCUCUCUCUCUCUCUCUCUCUCUCUCCCCACACACACACUCCCUCAAUUUCCCACCCCAUCUGUCAAUUUCAAUACCUCCACACUCGAAAAGAUUUCUGUCGAUCCAUCCUUUUCAAUACCCUCCCACCUCAAGCUUUUUUCAGAUACGCACAUGGCCCAUCAAUCACUAUAUCAAAAAAUUCAAUCUUAACCACUUGGAUUUGGAAAAUGAAGAUCAAAAUCAGAUAAAAUCUAAUAGAGUGUAAGUCCAUGCCACCGGAUAGCAUUUGGGGUGGGAGGUUGUGAGGAAGAAGAAAAAACAGAAGGGAGGGUUGGGGUGGGGUGGAAGGGCCAUUCGAAGUCAUAUGGAGAGAGGGAGAGUAGAGGGGCCAGAAAAAAUAGAUGGAGAGGGUGGGGGUGAGGGAGAGAGUGAUUGGUUGGAUGUGCCUCUCUCUUAUUAAAAUAUGUUUUCUUUCAUUUUAGAUUUCAUAUUAAUGUAUUUGUGUAUUUAAUUAUUUUAACAUAUAAAAUGACCAUUUUGCCCUCAUAUUUAAGGCAAAUUGGAUGAAAUAUUGCAGAUUUAGAUGGCAGGGGGGAAAUUGGCGAAAAAAAGAAGUUCAUAUUCUUAAUUUUCUAUAUAAAAAAAACAGGAUAGGGGGUCAAUUGAAACCAAAGUACAAGUUCUGGGGGCAAAUCACUAGUAUACCCAAAAAACAAAAAUUUCAGUCCAAAACCAACUUAUGGGCAAAUCAGACCGCACUGGAAUGAAUAAUUUUUUUAUUUUUUUUAAUCAAAAUCAAACCAAACCAAACCAAAUAAAUAGUGCUAGUUCCGGUUUGGGGUGAGUACCAGAUCGUGCUCACCCCUAACAAAAACAAAGGGAUAAACUCGGAUAUGCUACAAUCGAGUGCAACCCAACCCUGACAGAUUAGGUUGCAGUCGUCUCCUCCAAUCUUCAUCCCCAAUGUUGAGCCUCCAUCACCUCGACGAUAACUCAACCAUCUCCGACAAACUUGAGCAAUUUCCAGCAAAACCCACCCAUCUCUUGCCCAAACCAUUUCAUCACUGAUCAUAUUUCUCCUAUGAACUUCUUCAUCAUAAGUGAUCAUUUCAUCAUUGAGAUUCUCAACAUCUUGUGUUUUUGUUAGAUUGUAUGUGAGUUUUGAUUAUUUGACAAUAUUUGAGUAGUUUAUAGGUUAGGAUAAAGCUUGAAUUCAGCGGAAAAUUUUCAUUUUUUCUAUAAAUAUUUGACAUACAAUAUUGGAUUUUUUUUCAUUUUCUCUUUUACAUUUCCUGGGUUUUUGUAAUGUUUGAAAUCUGUGUGUGUCUGGGACUGCAAUUGGGUAUAUUCUUUGAAGGCCCAAUUUUGUCUUUUACAAAUUUACAACUGCUAUUAAAUUUCUAAUAUCAAUUUAAGCAAUUAACGGAGUGGAGAUGAUUAAAUUUGUUUAAAUUUAUAUUGAUUAUGAUUAUUUAUAAAUUUAUAUACAUUAUGGUUAUUUAUAGUUUAUUUUUUGGAUUUAUAAUUGGGAUAUUUGUAGAAAUGUCACAUGAACUUAUACCUUAGUUUCAAUUUGUCACCUGAAAAAAAAAUUUAAGAGAAAUGUCACCUGAAUUUUUCAAAAUCUAUCAUUUGUCACUUGACUUUAACAUCAUCCAAUUUUCCAUCUAUUUUGAAGGGUAAUUUAGUCUUUUUAUUUUCAAUGGUAUUUUAAAAAUAGAAAAUUCAUUAUAAAAAAAUUAUAUAUCUUGUAAAUAAUUAAAAAUAAAAAUAAAAAAUUAUGAAAAAAAAACUUCUCUCUUCCCCCUGGGUGCGGUCGUAAGGCAUUCAGUAUUUCUACACUACUACUACUACUACUGUUCGUCCGCCCUGCAAAAUUAACAGUGAGAUUAAAUAGCUUUUUGUCCCACAAUUGUGCUUUCUCAACCUCGCUCUUAUCUGUCGCAUCCCCCCCAAGUUGUAUUUCCAGACUUCCCUCAAGGUUCAAGUUUCUCAGAUCCCCAAUUUGGAAUGCUUCAUCUUUGUCGCCAUUACACGAACACACAUCUAGUGUUUGCAAACUUGUUAAUCUCCCUAUCACUUUGGGGAACGACUCCAGAAGACCACAAUACUCAACAUAAAGAUGCUUUAAGUUAAUCAAGUUUCCCAUGUUUUCAGGCAGUUUUGUAAGGUUAGAGCAGAGCACAAGGCGCAAGGUUGACAAAUUGUACAAACCACAAAUAGUGUCUGGUAAUUUCUUCAGUAUAUGAUUGGAAGACAAAUCAAUAUGCCUCAAAUGUAUCAAUUCACCAAUCUGCUUCGGGAGUUCUUCGAUGGAAUUACGAUUCAAAUUUAAUGUCCUAAGACAUUUCAAUUGUAAAAUUAAAUUUGGGUCUAUGGUAGUAAUUCUUGAAUCAAAAGUUGCGAGCGUGCGAAGAUUUUUGCAAUUGUAAGAUGAGAUAAAAAGUGGAAGUGGACCUUCAGGAAUAUAUCUCAAGGUUAAAUGACGAACCUUAUCACCAAAUACCUUUGAUUCACUGGUAAUUUCCUCACCAUGAUCGAUAAUCAAACACUCAUUCUUGGUGAGAAAUUGUACAAAGUCAUGCACAAUAUCAUGCAUUUUGCAACCUAUAAUGGUACCGGUGUCAGGAUCUUUCUCAAAAUCUUGGAAAAAUGACCGUGCCACUAAGUUGUCAAAAACUGCAUCACCCGUUGUUCCCUUUUCUUUAUUCCCUUUCGAAAUAACGUAGUCUUGUGCCAUCCAAAGUUUAAUCAAAUCAUCUCGUUCAAACUUGUGAUCUUUUAGAAAAGUAGCACAAUAUAAAAGGCAACAUUUAAUUGUUGGGGCCAAAUCAUUAUAACUUAGGAAUAGGGGUUGGAAAACUUCUUGCUCGACCUUCUCUAGAUCCCAUAUCUUACUAUGCAAAACUUCUUUCCAUUCUCCAAUUUUUGUCUUAUUCUGCAUGAGACUACCCAAAGUCUUUGCAGCAAGAGGCAAACCUUUACACUUCUUUACAAUUUCCUUACUAAUAUCUCCAAACUCAUGUACAUCCCUAUCCCAAAAGGCCAUGUGAUUGAAGAUUGACAAACAACAUUCAUCAUUCAACUCUCCCAGAUUGAUCUUGUUUCUUGUUGCUCUCAUCAUGUCAGCAACCUCAUGUUUUCUUGUGGUCACCAAUAUUCUGUUGCCUUUAGCACCAUUUUGGAUUAAUGGUACCUUUAAUUGUUCCCACUUUUUAGGAUCAUCGGUCCAUACAUCAUCCAGGACAAGGAGAAACCUUUUGCCCUGGAUGGAUGUAGACAUACAUUCCAAGACCUCAUCCAACUCAUUUGAAUUUGGGGCGUUUUUACCAAUAAUGGCUUUGGCAAUCUUAAUCUCAUCAAAAGGGUCUGAAACACAAACCCAUUUCCUCAACUCAAAAUGGGUUUUGACUCGGUCAUCAUUAUAGGCUAGUUGGGUUAAAGUUGUUUUUCCCAUGCCUCCCAUCCCGACAAUAGGGAUGAUAGGGAGCCCCUUCCCUUCCGCAGUACUAUCACUCAACAAGUGUUUUAUCAAAACCUCUUUUUCAUUUUCUCGACCAAAUAUCCCAGAUAUAUCGACAAAAGAUGCAGUUUGAGGUCGUUGAGGUUGUUGAGGUUGUUGAAUGCCUAAUUCUUUGCUUAGAAACUGGUACUUUUUUCUUUCCUCAUAAAUCUCAGUUAACUUAUCAUUCAGAUCUUUUAUUUUCGGAGCAAUGUCACUGACUUUGCCAACACAAAAGAAACGGGGGAAACUAGAGAAACGUACCUUCUUUGUAACAUGAGCAUUUGGAUCACCUUCUCUUUCUUGCUUCUCAACUUGUUGUUUGAGAAUGUUUGUGUUCCACUCAUCCAGCACAUCCACCAUCUGGUAGGAUACAUCUUUCAGCUCAUCCAACCAGAUUUUGACAGCUGGAUCCGUCAGUUGGCGUUGCUCUGCAUCCUCAAGCUCAGCUUGAAUAACUCGGAGAGUCCGAGUGAAUUUCUUAACAUCUUCCUUAAUGUUCAAAACAAGGUUCACCCCUCCUCCUAGAUAUGUCCAAAGAGUUCAGGAAGUCAUAUAGGAGACUAUAAAUCUUACAUGAUCAAGCAGAAGAACAUCCUCCUCUUCUUCAAGCCGAGCAAAAUCUAUAGCACGCUGACCAGUGACAAGUUCGAGAAGUGUGAUACCAUAUCCAAAAACAUCAGUCUUUUCUGACGAUUUUCCAGUGGACAAAUAUUCUGGGGCAAUAUGACCCAUGGUACCACGCACUUUAUUAAGUCUUGCUGCUAUGAAUCAGUGGUCACUAAGGCAACUCGAUGUGAAAAAUGCCUUCCUUCACGGAGAUUUAGAGGAGGAGGUGUUUAUGCGUCAACCACAAGGGUAUGAAGAUCCUGCUCAUCCAGAGUAUGUGUGUAAGCUCAAGAAAUCAUUAUAUGGUCUAAAGCAAGCUCCAAGGGCUUGGAAUGCUAAAUUCACAGGAUAUCUGCCAGCACUGGGGUUCAAAAUAUCCCGCUCUGAUACCAUGUGAACAAACAUAUUCAGAGAGGAGUGAAGACGAUAUCUAAAGAAGAAGAAGAGGAAGGAAAUAGAAACAGAGAGAAAAUUGUAAAUUCUGAUUUCUGUAUUGCUUAACCACAUUCACCAGCACUGUUACACUUUAUAUCAGUUUAUGCAAAGCUUACCCGUAUAACUAAUCUAACUGUCUAACUAAUUCUACUAACAACCCACGUGCCUUGCACACCUGAUUUACUAACUGUUUAAUAUCACAGUAGAUGUCCAAGAAUCCAUAGUGAUGUAUGGGGACCUUCCCAUUUCAAGUCUCUAGAUGGCUAUAGGUACUUUGUAUCUUUUCUGGAUGAGUGUACUGGUUACUUGUGGCUUUUUCCACUAUUCAAUAAAUCAGAGGUGUUUUCUAAGUUUCUUCAUUUCACUGCAUAUGUUCAGAAUCAGUUUAAGGCAACCAUUCAAUGUCUGCAGAGUGAUGGGGGUGGUGAAUAUAGUAGCCACUUGUUUUCUAAGUUUCUGUCAUCCAAAGGUAUUCUUCAUCAAGUGUCCUGCCCAUACACACCUCAACAAAAUGGAAUGGCCGAGAGAAAGAAUAGGCAUAUUAUCGAAACUGCUAUUACUAUGUUGACUGAAGCUUCUUUACCAGGAAAGUUUUGGUUUCAUGCGACUGCUCAUGCUGCCUAUUUAAUAAAUCGAAUGCCAAGUUCUACCUUGGAUAAUCAAGCUCCGUAUUUUCGGUUGUUUGGAAAGGAUCCUAGUAUUCACUCAUUGAGGGUUUUUGGUACGGCGGUAUAUCCUUAUCUUCGUCAUUAUAAUGUACACAAGCUACAACCUCGCACAACUAAGUGUGUAUUUCUAGGAUAUGCUACUGGAUAUAAAGGGGUUAUUGGAUAUAAUUAUGCAAAUGCAAAAUGUGUGAUUUCUAGGGAUGUCAUCCAUGAUGAGUCUGUGUAUCCUUUUGUGCCUCCCAUCACUCCACAGCAGUCCUCUACUUCAUCUUCUGGUAUGAACACAUCUCCAAUUAUAAUUUCUCUUCCAUCUCAGUUAGAGUCUGAUUCUGCAGGUCCUGAUAUAUCUGUGGGUGGGGUCUCCGUAAGCUCCAGCUUUAUACCUGCUCAUUCUAUUCCUAGAAUUGGACCUAUAUCAGCUGCAUCUCCCUCUGAACAGUUUGAGAAUGAUCAGCAUGCCUUUAGUGACCAGCAACUACAGGCUAUCCUACCUUAUGACGCCUCUUCCCCUCUUCCACUUCCUCCUAACCCAGAACCAGUAAACACUCAUGCAAUGCAGACUAGAUCCAAGUCGGGUAUUGUUAAGCUGAAACAGUUUCAAGAUUAUCAAGGCUAUUUCACCUGUUUAACUGCUGGUGUUGAGCUCGAUGAACCGUGUAGUUAUAAGGUGGCCUCGUACUCAGCUGAAUGGCGGCAGGCUAUGCAGGAGGAAAUUGAGGCUCUUCAAUCCCAAGGUACUUGGAGUUUAGAGCCUAAUCCAGGCAACAAAAAUAUAGUUGGAAGUAAAUGGCUAUAUAAAAUAAAGAAGAACUCAGAUGGAUCUGUUGCAAGGUACAAAGCUAGGCUGGUUGCUCAGGGAUUUAGUCAACAACCUGGUUUAGACUUUGGGGAAACAUUUAGCCCUGUCGUCAGACAUACCACAGUUCGGUUGGUAUUAAGUCUUGCUGCUAUGAAUCAGUGGUCACUAAGGCAACUCGAUGUGAAAAAUGCCUUCCUUCACGGAGAUUUAGAGGAGGAGGUGUUUAUGCGUCAACCACAAGGGUAUGAAGAUCCUGCUCAUCCAGAGUAUGUGUGUAAGCUCAAGAAAUCAUUAUAUGGUCUAAAGCAAGCUCCAAGGGUUUGGAAUGCUAAAUUCACAGGAUAUCUGCCAGCACUGGGGUUCAAAAUAUCCCACUCUGAUCCGAGUCUGUUUGUGAAACACGAAGGUUUAGAUGUGAUCGUGUUGCUGCUAUAUGUCGAUGAUAUUAUAUUAACUGGCUCUAAUGCAGAUUUGGUACAAAGUGUGGUUGAUAACCUGAGUUCAGUUUUUGAAAUGAAAGAUAUGGGUCGCCUUGCUUAUUUCUUAGGAUUGCAAAUUGCAUAUCCUGCCUCAGGAGGUUUGUUUGUGAGUCAAACGAAAUAUGCUAAGGACCUGUUGCAUAAAGCUGGAAUGCAGUCGUGCAGAGCCUGUUCAACUCCAUGUAAACCACAUAAUCAAAUUUUGACAGAUUGUGGUGAACCGUUAUCUGAUCCCACCAUGUUUAGAAGUGUUGUUGGGGCUUUACAGUAUUUGACAUUCACAAGACCUGACUUGGCCUAUGCAGUAAACACAGUCUGUCAAUAUAUGAAUAAUCCUACUGAUGUUCAUUGGUUGCUAGUCAAAAGAAUCUUAAGAUAUGUUCAAGGUACUCUGAGCUUUGGCAUCAAUUUUACGAGUAGCAGUACUAGAGUAAGUGAUCCAUGGCAGUUGUCAGCAUAUAGUGAUGCUGACUGGGCUGGGGACAUCAACACAAGGAGAUCUACCACAGGUUUUGUAGUGUUUUUAGGACCUAAUCCCAUCUCUUGGCAGUCCAAAAAGCAGGGAUCAGUCUCCAGGAGCUCCACAGAGGCAGAGUAUAGAGCCUUGGCAAACACUGCUGCAGAUAUUGCUUGGAUCAGACAGGUGUUGCAGGAUGUGAAAUUCUUUCUACCUAAUCCUCCUGUAAUGUAUUGUGACAAUCUAUCUGCCUUAGCACUUAGCUCCAAUCCUGUCUACCAUUCCAAGAUCAAACAUCUGGACAUUGACUAUCAUUUUGUGCGAGAGAAAGUUCAGAAGAAAGACUUACUGGUACAGUAUGUCCCUACAGAAGAACAAGUGGCAGAUGUAUUCACAAAAGGAUUACAUAGUCCUAUAUUCUCAAGACAUUGUAGUCAUCUUCGAUUAGGGGAUGUAACAGGGUAGGGAAAAUGUUAACUGUGAUAUUAAACAGUUAGUAAAUCAGGUGUGCAAGGCACGUGGGUUGUUAGUAGAAUUAGUUACACAGUUAGAUUAGUUAUACGGGUAAGCUUUGCAUAAACUGAUAUAAAGUGUAACAGUGCUGGUGAAUGUGGUUAAGCAAUACAGAAAUCAGAAUUUACAAUUUUCUCUCUGUUUCUAUUUCCUUCCUCUUCUUCUUCUUUAGAUAUCGUCUUCACUCCUCUCUGAAUAUGUUUGUUCACACACUUGAGUGGUAACGUGAGUUGAUUUUGUAUCAACCAGCUUUGCUAGCCCAAAAUCUCCAAGAACGGGCUCAAAAUUAUCAUCUAGAAGAAUGUUUGCAGCCUUUCAGUCACGGUGUAUAAUCUUAGGAUUACAAUGCUCAUGUAAAUACUCUAAGCCAUGGGCUGCACCAAAAGCGAUGCGUUUCCUUGUUGACCAGUCCAAGCCUUUCUCACCAGGUUUUAAAUCUAACACAUAUAUCAGGAAGAAAAUGUUAUGAAUUAAAAAUAUUGAACAGUAGAUAUAUGAGAAUCGUGAUAUGCCAUUCCAAAGAAUUAAGUGAUGAUUAACCUUCAAAUGAACAAGCAUAAAAUACAAAUGAUGUAAAUCCUAUCUCCCCCCUUAAGAAGUAGGGAGGGGGGUGUUCAGGAUGUCCUUACUUGAAUAUUGAGUUGGUUGAAGAAAAUAGAAAUUUGUAUUUGGGAAUUUGAAUCACAAAAUGGUGGUUAUAUAUCAAUACGUGCGAUGAAAGACCUCCUCCAUAAGUAUGGGCUCGAAGGUGAGGUUGACCGUACGAUACCUAAUAUGGGUGUAAGUAAAAUUACCAAGAAAAACAACAAAGGAAGUAAGGAUUAGGGAGCAUCUCAGAAAAAAUUUCAAGGAUGGUACCUCAUGUCAUAAUAUGUUGCAGAAUUCUAUUGCUAAAUUAAACCACGAAAACAGAAGUAAAAUUACAGGCUCUCAAAUGGAACAGAACUUGGCAACAGCAAUGAUUUUUUCUUCUUUCUUUUGGGACUGAACACUGAAUUAGGGCUUCUAAUCACUUACCAAGCACAAAAAGAAGUUCAAACCAUGGUUGUAAAACAUGCUUGUGUUCAGAGCCACUCACACUGAAAAAAUGCAGAGGGGAAAUAGAAAAGUAAACUCAAGCAAUGCUCUUUUAGGACAUACCUCUCAAGCGAUACGCAACACUAAGAUUUUUCAUGAAUGGAUAAACAAGGAUUCUCUCGGAUGAAGUUGUACAAAAUCCAAUCAACCGUAAAAGAUUCUUGUGAACUGCAACGCUAAUGAGUUGUACUUCUCUCAAGAAUGCAGCCUCUCCACCAGGACUGUUAUAAUCUGUAAGGCGUUUCACUGCAACCUUUACAUUGUCUGAGAGGACACCUUUGUAAACUCUUCCAAAGCCCCCUUGUCCAAUUAUGUUGCUUUCAUCGAAGUUAUCCGUAGCAAGCUGAAUUUCACGCCAAGAAAAUCUUCUUAACUGGCCAAAGGAAAUUUUGCACUCAUCUUCACCUAAAAUUACAUUAAAAUAAGAAAAGGGGGUGGAGUAGAUGUUAGUUUGACAAGAUUGUGUAGCUCGUGAUGCGACUUUAGACAUUUGGACUUUUGAAUACAGAUUAAACGAAUACAUAAAUCAAACUUGGUAAGUGAUUAUUUACUGUAUACUGGACAAGUAUACAGUAAGUUGCAAAUUAUAGAAUGUAGACGCAAUGCUGAAGGAAAAUAUUAUAAUAACGGAAAGGUCAUCUAGAACCAAAUUACACAACAUUGGAACCAAAGGAGUUUACGCCAUUUUUUAUUAUAAUAAGUAGGAAUUUAAGCAUUUGAAAAAUAAUAUACAUACAUCCAAAAUGAAACUAUUAUAAAUGGCAGUCCAGAAGUCAGAUCCUAUACCUCGAACUUACUGUAAUAGAAGAAGAACUAAACUCGUCUCUUAAUGACCAUAGCACCAUUUCAUGAUAAAGACAUUAUCAUACAGCUUUAGUGCUGGAACUCUCUCAAACCUCUUAGUCAGCCCAGUCCUACACCAACAGUAGGGGUGGGCGAAACCAGACUGAACCAGACCGAACCAGCUGGUUUGGUUAGGAUUUUGACAAAAAUUAAGGUCAUACGGUUCAAAACCCAGCUCAGUGCAGCUGGUGGUUUCAAUUCCCUCAGGAACGAGAGAACAUAACCGAAUCAAUUCCCACUCUUUUUAUUAAUUCCACCCGUAUCCCUCCUAUAAAAUCAUCUUUUUCCCCUAGCUCUAGCCACAUAAACCUAUCUCUCCAGUGAAGGAAUUAAACAAAGAAAUCCUUCGCAUAACUCCUUUAGCAUGCAGACAAACACAAAACAAGGAUGUAUUUAAAAAUAAUAUAUAUUAUAUGAGUAUGAUAUAAAUAUAUCCAAUUUUCUAUAACAGGGUUAACCGUACUUGCGGAUAACCAAGGUAGCCCGGCCAGUGCAUGUUGGUAAACUGGCCGUGCAAAAUCUGGUUAUCCACUAAUGUCACUAGUACGAUUUACUAUUUGCGCGACGAAAGUUUGCGCGACGAAGAAGUUUCCGUCGCGCAAACAACACUAUUGCGACGAAAAAAAAUUUCCGUCGCGCAAACAACAGAAAACUAGCGCGACAAAAAUAAUCGUCGCGCAAAAAGUGUAUGCGCGACCUAAAUUCAUUUCGUCGCGCAAAGGUAAUAGAAAAAAAAAUGGUUUUUUUUUGUUGGCACCAAAAUCUUGCGCGACGACAAAAAUCGUCGCGCAUGACAAUAUUGCGCGACAAAUAAAAGAUUCGUCGCGUAAAGAUGGACAGAAAAUUGGCUCCUUUUUUGGCGGGUAAAACAUUUGCGCGACGAGAGUUUUCGUCUCAAAAGACAACUUAGCGCGACGAAAAAAUGUACCGUCGCGUAAGAAAACGAGGGAUACUUCUUUUUGGCGCCAAAAUGAAAGGCGGAUAAAAUGUUUUUUUGCGCGACGGAUUUUCUUCGUCGCGAAAAGUUGAAUGCCGGUGAGUUCUUGCGCGACGAAAUUAACAUGUUGCGCGACGAAAUUAAAAUUUUGCGCGACGAAAAAUAUAAUUUGCGCGACGAAUUUUGUGCGACGCAUAGUGUUUUUCGUCGCGCAAAAAAGCAGAUGUCGGCACGUAUUUGCGCGACGGAAAUGUUGUUUUGUGCGACGAAAAAGUGCCCUUUUGCGACGGCUUUUUUGCGCGACGAAUUCAACUGUUCGUCGCGCAAAGUCCUUCUUCUUCAUAUUAGUAUCUGCCAUUGCAGAGGCAGAAUGCAGAAAUUGCAUUCUGCCUCUCUCUCCUCUCUCUCACUCCUCCUGCCGCUGCUCUGCUGUGAAUUCAGUACGUUAAUUGGGUAUGUAUUUUUUGUCAUUAGUUUAAAUGUAUUAAUGUAAAUUCGUACUAACACUAUUAAUUUUGUUCUCGUUAGGGAUAUCUGUGAUUAGUGGAGAACGAUUGAGAAGGUAUGUCAUGAGUAAAAGUUUGUUUGUUAAGUUUGUAAUUUUUUUGUGAAGUUAUAUGUGUAUAAUGUUGUGAAAUUGUGCGUGACGUAGCACAAUGUAUUUGUGAUGUACGAAGUUAAUUGAAAUUAACUUCGUACUUUUAUUUUUAUGUUUAGUAACACGUAGUUUCCCGUUCGAGAUUAGUUGGAUUUCGUGCAUGGAUGCGUAAGGCAUGACUGCGGUCCAAUUAAUUCUUGAAUUGUCCCAUUAUUUGGACAGUUUGGUAAUGCAUAGUGUUGUCACAUAAUCUUCGGCUACAGGAUUAGGUUUCGAUUGUGGAGAUUUCGGUGUCAUCUCGGUACGUUCUUCGGGUGGUACGUAGGUAUUUAUACCUAUGCCCACUUCAAGAACUGUGUCGAGAUGCUGCCGAAAUUAAUCCACGUCGAAAUCUAAUCUCAUGUAGCCGUAGGUUACGUGACAGGACUAUGCAUUCCCGAAUGGGAUAGGGCCCUUACCGGAGGCAUAAGGUGACAUUAUAACUUCGUAUGAAGUUGUUGUGAUUGUUGUGUCGUGAUUGUGGUUUCAGGAAUUAUGAGCAGAAGGUGGAUACAGAACCCGAAUAGAUGCGCAGACGAAUACUUGGAUGGAAUCGAGGAUUUUAUUGAGUUUGCACGUAGACACAACCCGGGUGCAACUAGAAUCCGUUGCCCUUGUAGGAGGUGUAACAACACGUUGUGGGAGACAAUUGAAAAUGUUGGAUUUCAUUUAGUAAGGAAUGGAAUGAUUGAAACAUAUAGCAUUUGGAAUCUUCACGGCGAACAAGUAGACCAUGCUUCGUCUUCAAAUGCCCCAAGAGUGGACAAUGUUGAACCUAUUGUGGAUCCUAAUGAUCAAGUCAUGGGUAUUAUACAGGAUGCUUUUCCAUUCGCAUCGACCAACAUCAAUCAGGAAGGGGAAGAUGACGUGCCUACAGCAAUAGACAGUGCGGAGUUUGAACAGUAUGAAAAACUGUUAAAAAAUGCCAACCAAGAGUUAUACCCGGGGUGUGAGAGCUUUUCCGUUCUCACUGCCAUUGUGGAGCUAAUGCACGGAAAAAUAAAGUAUCGUAUGUCGAACUUGUGUUUCGAUUACUUUUUGGGGGUUUUCAAGAGAAUGCUUCCGACGGACAAUUGUUUGCCGAAAGAUCAUAAACAUGCACAGAAGGUGUUGCAUGGUCUUGGAUUGGGUUAUGAAAAAAUCCACGCUUGCAAAAACAAUUGCAUGUUAUUCUACAAAGAGCAUGAAACGUUGGAUACAUGCCCUAUAUGUAAUGAGUCGAGGUUCAAAAUGACAUCCCAGAAUUGAACGACUAAGAUACCACAAAAAGUCAUGCGUUAUCUGCCCCUUAAACCUAGGUUGCAGCGAUUGUAUAUGUCGAUGCAUACUGCCACAGACAUGAGAUGGCAUAAGGAAAAACGGGUAGACGAUGAUGUGAUGCGGCAUCCUGCAGAUGGGGAGGCAUGGAAAGAGUUUGAUCGAACGUUCCCCGAGUUUGCUGCUGAUCCCCGAAAUGUUAGAUUGGGACUUGCCAUUGACGGAUUCAAUCCGUAUGGGGUUCUAAACCAACACCACAGCACUUGGCCGAUUUUCGCAUUCCCAUAUAAUUUGCCGCCUUGGAAAUGCAUGAAAAAAGAAUACAUGAUGAUGACUGUUUUGAUAACUGAGGAUCCUGGCAGGUCAAUUGAUGUGUACUUAAGGCCUCUGGUUGAUGAGCUGAAGGAUUUAUGGACAAACGGUGUUCGCACGUACGAUAAAUCAACUGGGAGGAUGUUCACUUUGCGAGCAGCAGUUAUGUGGACUGUGAAUGAUUUUCCAGCAUAUGCAAUGGUUUCUGGGUGGAGCACAAAGGGUUAUAUGGCAUGUCCUGUAUGCAAGGAAGAUGUAACUUCUAGUUGGCACGCGGGAAAAGUUUGUUACCUUGGUCAUCGGAGAUGGUUGCCAUGGGACUACGAGUGGCGAGAAAAAGAUAAAGAGUUCGACGGGAACACAGAGCGUCGCCUCAGACCUAGAGAAUGGUCCGGUGAUGAGAUCUUGGAACAGCUGAACCGUUUGGAUUUUGCUCCGUUCGGGAAAACAGUUAGUCGGACCAGACCUUCUACACAUUUGAACUGGACGCACAAGCCUAUGUUUUUUGAGGUCCCAUAUUGGUCGAAACUGAAAUUGAGGCACAAUCUAGAUGUGAUGCAUGUUGAGAAAAAUGUAUUCGACACAUUGGUGGGCACGAUUCUAGAUAUCGAGGGGAAGACGAUGGAUACGAUCAAAGCUCGUCUUGAUUUGGAAAGAAUGGGCAUACGAAGGGGUUUAUGGAUGAAUAGGGACAGUGAUAAAGCUAGAAGGGAUCUUGCAUUCUUCUCUAUGAAACCGAAUGACAAAAAAGAGUUUCUAAAGUUUGUAUCGUCUGUCAAAUUUCCCGAUGGGUAUGCUUCUAAUAUCGCACGUUGCGUGAAUGUCGAUGGGGGUAAAUUUACUGGACUUAAGAGCCAUGACUGCCAUGUGUUUAUGCAACGCCUACUUCCUGUGGGUAUUCGACACCUACUGCCGGAAGAUGUGGUGAAGCCAAUCAUCUUGUUAUCCAGAUUUUUUUCCCAACUGACGGCAAAAACAUUGCGAAGGACGAACAUGUUUCAGUUGCGCCAUGACAUUGUCCAAGUCCUAUGCAAGUUUGAGAUGAUAUUUCCUCCAGCUUUCUUCACAAGUAUGAUGCACGUGAUGGUUCACUUGCCAGAAGAGGCAUUGCUUGCUGGUCCUGUCAACUAUCGCUGGAUGUAUCCAAUAGAAAGGUAUAUAAUCAUUUUCGUUUGUGUAUGCAUCAUUAUCACAGGCUUGCUAAUUUGUAUCAUAUCUUUUUAUUUUGACAGGCUUCUCGGAGAGCUGAAAAAAAGUGUACGCAACAGGGCGAAGCCCGAAGGAUCAAUUAUAGAGGCUUGGGUUCAAUAUGAGUCGCUUACUUUCUGUGGAAUGUAUUUAAAAGAUGUGGAGACGGCUUUCAAUCGUCCUCAGCGUAAUAACGACGGAGGUAUGAGAAAGGAAAAACUUUCUGUUUUUGCCCAAAGCGCACGGCCCUUUGGAGAUCCUGGACGAGGGGAGUCAUUUUCUAGAAAUGACAUGGAAGUAGCGCAUUGGUUCGUACUGAACAAUUGUGAUGAGAUAAUGGCAUACUUAGAUGAGCAUGAAGAGAUGAUGAAGCGAGAACAUCCAUCACAUUUAGUUGCCUAGAAACAACGUGAAUUAUUUCCACAAUGGUUUUUGGAAUCUGUAAGUUAUAAGUGUUUUGUAUUUGACAAAUAUAAAUUGUAGUAUUUAAUUUCAUUAGACUAACAUGUGAAUGAUUUUCUAUUAUAUUAGGUGAAUAAGUUGAAAUCAUCGAAUUCCCCCACUUACAGUGAUGAGUUAUAUAACUUGGCCUUCGGCCCGAUUCGCGCUGAAUUGUUUUCGGGUUGUUAUAUUAACGGCGUUAAAUUUUUGGGGGCUGCACGAGAUGACAAGUUGUGUACGCAAAACAGCGGUGUCCAUGUCCCAGGUGGAGGCGAAAGUACGAACAUUGAUUUCUAUGGCAAACUCACAAAUGUCGUUCAAUUGCUUUACAAAGAUCGAUACCAAGUGAUCAUGUUUAAGUGUCGAUGGUUUGAUAGCAACCCAAAUAGGCCGGGAAGUGUUAAAAUCGACCAUGGCUUACUAUCUGUGAACAUUAACAGAACUUGGUAUGAUGACGACCCUUACAUUUUGGCGAACAUGGCAACACAAAUUGUGUAUCUAGAUGACCCUAAAGCCGGCAGCAGUUGGAAAGUUGUUCAGAAGAUGGAUCAUAGGAACGUGUAUGCUAUACCAGAACUAGACCUAACUGACAACGACGUCGACAAUGUGGCUGACCAACGUUUAGAAUCAUCAAUGGAAAAUGAUGCGGAAACACUUCGAGAUACACAUGUUAUACAAGAACCGUUUCAAAUCCAAGGAGUGUCUUCAAUCGAAAUACCGAUUCAGUCAAUUACAAUUGACCUCGGGGAUCUUCCAAGAUUCGAUGUUGCAGUGGGCAUGAGCAGCGAAGAUGAUGUAGUUAUAGUAGACGAGGAGGAGGAGGAUUGGGAGACCGAAAGUGAUGAUAGCGACGAUAACGAAAGUUAUUAUAGUUCAGAUGAUGAAUAAUUAAAUUUGUUGUAAUUUUAUUAUGUUACUGUACAGACUUUGUGUAAUACAAAUGUUUGAAUAUAUAUAGUACAAAUAUCCAAACCUUAUAUAUGUGGAAAACUGACACUUUAUUCAAAUAAAUUUAGUUAUAAAACAUUGGUAAAUCAAUAUAUCCAAACCCUUUUAAUAAUCAUUUUUAAUUUUUGUUUUUGACAAAACAAAUUUAUAAAAUGAAAAUGAUACAAAAUUUGUUAUAAAACAUUGAUCAAUAAACAUUUUUAUAUAGAGUUUGAAAACUAUUGACAAUAAACAUUUUGCAAAACAUAACACCCUUGCGCGACGAAGUGGACCUCGUCGUGCUAUUUUUGCGCGACGAAGAAAACCUCGUCGUGCAAAGUCUUCGCGUCCCAAAAUACACUAGUCGCGUGAAGUUAAAACAUUGCGCGACAACGUGUCUUCCGUCACGCGCAAAGGUUUGCGCGACGAUAAAACUAUGUUCGUCGCGCAAAUAUAUAUCAUUUUAUAAUAUAUAUUACAUAUACACAUAUAUAUUUGAAAUUGACGAUCGAGUUAGAGUAUUGUAUUCAUAUAGGGUCAUGGAGUGUAGGUGUAAAAAUUCAUCAAAAUCGGAGUUAAAAUAACCGUUAAAUCAUCAGUUUUCAUUUAUAACCGUUCAAAAGUUUUGUCCCGUUACUUGAUCUCUGAAUGUUUUAUUUUUUCGAUUUUUGGGGUGUAAGAUCUCGAAGUACAAAUAAACGAGUUUGACGGCUGGAUUGCUGAAACUAAUUUUGUAGAAUGCGUUUGCCAUAUCAACCAUAUAUUCACAAACAAUAAAUAGUUUACGUAUACGUUCGUUAAAUAUAACAUCACCUUAUGUCAUAUCACCCUAGUGUAAACAUCUGAAAUUGAAGAUCAAAUUCACUAAUUGUAUUCAAAUAGGGUAAAGAAAAGUAGCUGCAAAAAAUUAUACAAAUCAGAGCUAAAAUAACCGUUAAAUCAUGACUUUUCAUUUACAACCGUCGAUAAGUUUCGUCCUGUUACUCGAUCUCUUAAACUUUGUUUUUGUCGAUUUUUGGCAUAUAAGAUCUCGAAGUGUAAAAAAGCAAGUUUGCUGGUUGGAUCAUGAAAACUAGUUUCGGGUUGAGGGUUUCUGCGGUUUAGGGUUUAGGGUAAAGGGUUUGCGCGACGAAUAAACUUAUUUGGUCCCGCAAGGCCUGCCAAGGACUGAAUUGCGCGACGAAUACAAGUCAGUUCGUCGCGCCAUACCAGCCAUAACUUUCACAUUUCACUCUGUCCCUCGUUGGACACUUAGCGGAAAUUUUUUUGCGAGGUCUUGCGCGACGCAUUAGAUUCCCUUCGUCACGCCAUAUCAGCCAAUAUUUCACAUUUCACAUUUGACUGUCUUCCUCCCUGGACACUUAGCAGAAAUUUUCUUGCGAGGUAUUGCGCGACGAAACCUCUUAACGUCGUCGCGCAAUAUCAGCCAGACUUUGACAUUUUUGAGAUUUUGCGCGACGCUAGUAGUAAGUCGCGCAAUCUCAGCCAGCCCUGUCUCAUUGGACAGACAUCAUGUCAUUUUUUUUGCGAGUUUUUGCGCGACGCUCUGGUAUGCAUCGCGCAAACCCUAGUACCCAAAUUCAGGCUAUUCGCAACAUUGCGCGACGAAACAUAUUAAUGUACGUCGCGCAAGAUUUCAAUCUCGCCCGCUAAACCCUAAAUCCCAAAUUUUGGCGGCCGCCAUCUUUGCGCGACGAAACAUAUGCUUGUGCGUCGCGCAAGAAUAAAAAUUCGCCCGCUAAACCCUAAAUCCCAAAUUUUGGCGGACUGCCAACAUUGCGCGACGAACACUCACAUUUGUGCGUCGCGCAAAAACGACACUUUCACCAAAUUUUGGCGGAUGAAUGACUUUGCGCGACGAACUUAAUUGUUUUUCGUCGCGCAAUAGCCAUUUAAAAUUUCUUGCGCGACGUUACUUUGGCUUCGUCGCGCAAAAACGAAUAAAAUUUCAGAAACCACGCGAUGGCCUCCUUCUUCCCCAGAUUUCUGAAAUUUCUCCCCGCCGUCAGCUCAGCCUCCUACCCCGGUGGAUUUGGACCGCGCCCGCGACGUUGGUGGUACCCCAGAGCUCCCCCGCCGUCGCCGUCAAGCCAGCCGCUGCGAUUUCUUCGGUUUUCACCGAAUCGGCUCCGCCGUGUUCUCCCUCCUCCGGCGACCAAUUCCGACAACUCAGGUAUGGUUUCUAUCCUAUUUUUAACGCUUUAGCUGAUGGUUGGGUAGGAUUUCUGAAUUUGUUGCACUAGGGCACUUAAUUUGAAACCCUAAGUUUCGGCCGGAUUUUGAUUUUCAAUUCCAGCCACUUCCGGCCAUUUUUCGGGGUAUGUCCGAGAACAAAAGUGGCUCCAAUUGAUGUUUUGAACCUAGGAUAGGAACCUUGCCCCUUAGUUUUAAGCAUUUUCCGGCGAUUGGUAUCGCUUUGGACACCCGCGCGCUGCCGGCGCGUGGGGCGGCGCGUGGGUUCCUGUAGCAACCCGAAUUCGGUCCUAGUGCAUUCCUGUAGUUGUCAGAGCGCAUAGGUGUUUUCGGAUUAGAAUUUGGUUACCGUUUGCGCCUCGAAUGGAUUUUGCCUAUUGUGCGAUUUCCGAGGUUGUUAUGUUCGGACCGUUGGAUCAAACUCAAACUCACGUAUGGUGUACCUUGUAUUUCUGGGAUCGUCUACGAUUCGACGGAUCGUGGAUCGGAGUCCCGAAUACUCCGAACUCGCAAACCCUAGGUCAAUAAUGUGAAUGAAAUUGUAUGUGUUUUCAAAUAUUCGUAUAUUUUAUUAAUUUGUAUGUGUAUUAAUGAAAAUGUGCAGAUGUCAGACCUGAUUACACGUCGUAGGGCGGUGACGACCACGCAGAGUACGGCGCCCCCGACUCAGCCGACAUCUGCUGCCACUGCUCCAGCAUCUCCUGCCACUGCGCCGGCACUGAUGGACCACUUGGCAGUUGGACCUGCGGGGUCCCAGGGGCCUGCCUCAUCCGCGUCAUCAGUGGCGCAGCCUGUUAGUGCCAGGCGGCGUCAACGGCCCCUCCAGCACCACCGAGACCACAUCCACUGAUGCGUCGGGGUCACAGCCAGGUAUAGCUUUCCUUUUUCUCCAGUUAAUUUUAUUUUUUAUUUCUUGUUUUGUGUGUGUGUGUGUGUGUGUGUGUGUGUGUAUUUGAUUGUUAAAUUUGUUAUUUAUUUAACAUUCAUGUCAUCUUUCUUUGCAGCCAAGAGGAACACCCGAGGGCCGUGUCGGCAGUUGAAGACGGCGAAGGUCACCCGGGUGACCAACAGUCGUAUCAACAUCGAAUACGACGAGCGACAUCGGGCUGCACCGACGGCGGAGUUGCAUAGCUCCUUGGCCCACGACAUUGGUCAUGUCAUUCGGAGCUAUUGCCCGAUGCAAUGGAAGUCUUGGAAGGUGAUGCCUGACGAGACCAAGACUCAGGUUCGCGGCCAGUUGUCGGUAUGUAGGCCUUUUCAUUCUUUUUCUUUCAAACGUUAUAUUUAUAUUAUUUAAAUGUAUGUAAUUAAUUUAUUGCAGACGAACUACAACUUGGAGGACCUUGAUGAAGAGUCGUUGGCGUACGUCAACAGACUCUUCUCUGAGAGGUACAAGCAGUGGAAGAGCGACUUGCACCACCAUUUUGAGGCGUUCGAUGAUCCGCAAGUUGCUCUUCAAGAGGGUUGCCCGAAAGAGCUUGAGGGGCGGGAGGAUAGUUGGGCGUGGCUCUGCGCUCAUUUUCAGGCGCCCGCUUUUGUGGUAAUUUGUUAUAUUUAUUUUUAUUUUCUUACUAUUGUUUAUUUAAUUUUUUAUAUUUAAUUUCAAUUUCGACUAAUACAUUUUAUUUUUUGUAUAACAGAACAAAGCCAAAGUCAAUAAGGGCAAUAGGACGAAGAAGACUCUUCUCCAUCAUUCGGGUUCCAGGCCCUUCUCCUAUAGGAUGGAUGCCCGGCGUCAGGUAAUAAUAAAAUAAUUUUUAUUUAAUUUUUACUUUUUCAUUAUUCUUAAUUUAUUUUUUCGUUCUAAUAUUUUUCUUCUUGUGUUCAAUUUAGGGGGGGUCCAAAUUCCCAGAGAUCGACGUCUUUGGCGACGUUUAUGUUUGACCUGGGAAUGAAUUGGCCGAGUCCCUUCAUGUAAGUAUUAUUUAAUUUUAAUUCUUAUGUUGCGCAUUCAACUUUAAAGGUUAUUAUAUGAAUGUUUGAAUUUAUAUUUUAUGUUAUGCUAAACAGACGACGAUGGUGGAGAGGAGCCAGUUGGUUCUUCAGGAGUCUGCCUCCCAACUUCCUCCCGAUACUCCGAUCGAGUCUGUGGAUCCUCCACAGGAUGCUGGGUUUCAGAUCUUGACGGAGACAUUGGAUCAGACUCUAGGGAGGAGACCGGGGACAUAUUGUAGAGGGAUGGGGAAUGCCAGGAUGAGGGAACCCAGACCCCGUUCAUCAGCGCAGUCAAACAGUCAGGUCACUGCUUUGACAGCACAGGUGGCCACUCUUCAGAGCCAGAUGUCGGUCAUUCUGCAGUCCCUCGCACAGUCCGGCAUUCCAGUCCCGCAUUUUGAUGUGCCGACCUCCCAGCCCGUCCACCCCGAGCAUGCCCACCAGACCACUGCCCCGGUGGACGCCCAGACCUCCGAGCCGCAUACUGGCGACGACCCGGUUGAUUUUGCUUCAUUAUUUGAUUAGUGUCUUUAUUUUCAUCAUAAACAUUUAUUUUAUUUGUAAUACAUUUAUUUUAUUUUAUAACAAAAUUUUAUUCUAAUUUAUUUUUAUUGCAAUUUCAUUUAAUCAAUAAAAAAAAACCAAUUUUAUUGACAAAAAAAAAAAAAAAAAAAAAAAUUGUAAUAUUAUUUUUGCGCGACGGAAUUAUAUUUCGUCGCGCAAACCCACAUGUCAAAAAAAUAAAAAAUCAACUUUUUUAUUACUUUUAAUUCUUGCGCGACGAAUACAUACGUCUCUUUGCGCGUCGCAAUAUUUCGUCGCGCGACGACAGAUAUUUGCGUCGCGCAAAGGUAUGAGCGACGAAACCUUUCUCAUCGCGCGAAUGGUUCUGCGACGAACAUAUACGUCUCCCGAACAAGUUUUGCGCGACGAAUUAUAUUUCGUCGCGCUAUCCCUGUCGUCGCGUAAAUUACGUGCGCCGAAUACUUUGUCGUCGCGCAAAUAUUAUGCGACGAACCGUUUUGUCGUCGCUCAAAUAUACGCGCGCCGAAUACGUUGUCGUCGCGCAAAUAUUUAUGCGACGAACCGUUAUUUCGUCUCCACACCGUUGGUGCAACGAUGGUUUACUCGUCGCACAGUUUUGCGCGACGACGGGUUAUUCGUCGUCGCGCAAAGGCUUUCUUUACGAUCUUCGCGCGACGGAAUAUGCGCGACGAAUAUUUUGUCGCGCUUAAUUUAGUGCGACUAAAUAAGAUUUUGCGCGACGUUUUGUUGUUCGUCGCGCAAAGAGUAAAAUGUAGUAGUGUGUGGUUAACCAUAUUAUAGAAACACGGAUAUAUAUAAGUAAUCCCCAUUAACUCUCUUACAAUAAGAAUUCGUAAUUAUUGCUGAUGCCAAUACAUCAAUACAAGGGAAUAUAAAAGGAAAUGAGAAUCAGAGUUUAAUGGGAUUUACUUGAAUUUUGGAAUUGUAAAGAAUUGCAUUGGAACUCUUCCGGUUAACUCAUUCGAUGAAAGAUCCCUGCCCAAAAAAAAAAGGAAUUUAUAAAUGGUAAAGAAUAUCACACAGUGUGCAAGCUCAGAUGGGCAUGCAAUUAUAUUUAGGCAAUAAGUCAAACAGCAGGAUUUCGAAAAAAAGGAAUUGCUUACAGUUCAGUCAACCCGCUAAUGUUUGAAAGUGAAUCCGGAAUAUGUCCAGAUAUGUGGUUACUGUUGAGAUUUGGAUUGUCAAGGGAGCUAGAGAGCAAAAGACUGAGAGAGGGAGAGAGCCUGAGCAAGAAGGAAUCAAUAUGGUUAUGACCACUACUCCUCUGCUUAUCCGUUGCAGCAGAGCAGACUAUAUUCAUACCCAAAAUGUGUUCUUACAUCAGCAAAUACAAUCUAACCGUUGUGAAGGAUAAACCAAUGUGAAUAUGACACAUGGCUUUGCAAAGCUUUACAACCGCUGAAAUAAGAGAGACAAUCCUAAGCCUUACACUUGCCAUAUGAGCUCAAGGUGCUCAGCUCACAGAUGACUUAAAUGGACUGAAUAUAAACUGACUAAGUACCUACUAACUAAUCAGAAAUUAGCUAGGCAGUUUACAUUUUAACACUCCCUUCUAAAGUGCUAGCUGAUUUCACUCCAAGCAUAUUCCUCAAAUAGCUGAACUUGUCUUUGGGAAGUGCCUUGGUGAAGAUGUCAGCAAUUUGCUCUUCUCCUUUGCAGUAGAGCAGUUCAAUCAGUCCUUCUUGGAUUGCUUCCCUAAUAAAAUGGAACUUCCUCUUAAUGUGCUUGCUCCUCUGAUGAAAUACAGGAUUUUUAGCCAUUGCUAUUGCUGAAGUGUUGUCACAGAACACAGUUGUUGCAGCAGUCUGUUCUUCCCCAAAGUCUUCAAGAACAAACCUGAGCCAAAUGGCUUGUGAUGUAGCUUCUGCUGCACUCACAUACUCUGCUUCUGUUGUUGAAAGGGCCACACUAUGUUGUUUGACUGAUGCCCACGAAAAUGCACCACUUCCAAAUGAAAAUGCAUAUCCGGAAGUGCUUUUCAUAUCUUCCUCUGAUCCACUCCAGUCACUAUCACAAUAUCCUACUAGAAGUGCAGACUUUCCAGUCACAUACUCAAUUCCAUAAUCAAUUGUGCCUUGUAUGUACCUUAGAACUCUUUUGGCUGCUCCAUAGUGCAUCUUAGAAGGAGUGUGCAUGAAUCUUACAAGCAGGCUAGCUGAAAACAUGAUAUCAGGUCUGGUUGCAGUUAGAUAUAGCAAGCGUCCUACAAUUUUUCUGUACAAGCUUUCAUCUGCUGCUUCACUUCCAUCUUCUCUUUGCAAUUUAUUAGUGGCAACUAAUGGAGUGCUCAUUGAUUUGCAAUCCUUGAGUCCAAACUUAUCUAGGAGAGUGAGUGCAUACUUCUUUUGAUGGAUGAAAAUGCUCCCUUCAAUUUGUGUUACUCCCAUACCAAGAAAAUGAUGGAGUAAACCCAAGUCAGACAUUUCAUACUUGCACAUCAUCUCAGCCUUGAAUUCUUUCACCAUUUCAUCACUGCUUCCAGUAUAUACUAUGUCAUCUGCAUAGAUUGAUAUAAUUAAUGUUCCCACACCUUCCUUGGUUCUCACAUAGAGAGUUGCUUCACUUGGACUUCUGUGAAAACCACACUUAUAUAAGUAAGUGUCGAUUUCACUGUACCAUGCCCUUGGAGCCUGCUUUAGUCCAUAGAGAGCUUUUCUUAGUCUGUACAUCUUAUCCUCAGCUCCUUUAAUCACAAAGCCUUCCGGUUGAUCCACAUAGACUUCCUCUUCAAGAACACCAUUUAAGAAAGCUGAUUUGACAUCCAAUUGCCAUAAUUUCCAGCCUUUCUGUACAGCUAGUGCAAUGAGAGUUCUAAUAGUGUCUAACCUUGCUACUGGAGCAAAGGUUUCAUUGAAAUCAAUCCCUGGUUUUUGUGUGUAACCCUUGGCUACAAGUCUUGCCUUGUGUUUUUGAAUGGAGCCAUCAAGGUUUAGUUUAGUUUUAUAUAUCCACUUCACUCCCACAAUUGGUUUGCUGCCUGGUCUAUCAACCAAUUUCCAAGUGGAAUUCUUCUCUAUCAUUGAUAUCUCUUCAGUCAUAGCCUUAUUCCAAGCUUCAUCUUUGGCUGCUUCAUGGAAACUCUCUGGUUCAAUAAUGCUCAGUUUACAUUGAGCAUAGACCUCACUUAAGUUCUUCCAUUUUUGUGGAGUAUGAUCAAAAGUUUCAGAGAUUGAAACUAAUGAAUCAUGUGUAGCUGAUUCUAGAGUGGUUUGCAGAUCAUUAGCCACUUGUGGUCUCUGAGGAGAUUGACUAGACUGAAGUGAUUCAUUUGAAUAUGAAUCAAUUUCUGAUAUUCUUGAACUUUCUUCUUCAUGCCAUGGAAUAGUCACUUGUACUUCUUCAUUCAACUCCCAAUUCCACAUUGCUUUCUCAUCAAAGAUAAUGCUCAGUGAACCAAAUAUUCUCAAGUGCUUGACACCUGGUUUUCUCCCGCUGAACUUCUCGAAUGGAGUUGUAUUAUCCAGAGCACUUGUUGGACUUCUAUUUUGCAGGUAUACAGCUGUAUUGACAGCUUCUGCCCAAAAUUUCAAAGGGAUUUUCUUCUCAUGCAUCAUUGUUCUUGCCAUUUCCAUCACAGUACAAUUCUUUCUCUCUGCAACUCCAUUAUGUUGCGGAGAGUAGGCUAUAGUUAGUUGCCUUUCUAAUCCCAUCUCUUCACAAAACUUUGAAAAUUCCAAAGAUGUAUAUUCUCCACCUCUAUCACUUCUUAGCUUCUUAAUUUGAUAACCACUUUGCAGCUCAACCAUGUUUUUGAACCUUUUGAAUAUGUUGAAUGCUUGAGACUUAUGCUGCAAGAAAAACACCCAACACAUUCUAGUGUGAUCAUCAAUGAAGGUGAGAAGGUAUCUAUUCCUUCCAAGAGUGAUAGACUGCAUUGGACCACAGAUAUCUGAGUGAAUCAGUUCUAGUGAUUGUGAGGCUCUCCAAGCUAUUUCCUUAUCAAAUGAACUUCUGUGACUCUUGCCUAUAGCACAACCCGAGCAAAUCUUCUCAGAUUCUUGUAACUUAGGUAGACCCUGAACCAUGUCUUUCUCUUGUAAGAGUCUCAAACUACAGUAGUUUAGAUGCCCAAAUCUUCUGUGCCACAAGCAAGAUGGUUCUCCAAAUGUUGCUCUAUUUGCCACAGGAAGAUUGACAUAUUUGAGAUCUAAGGGAAAACAUAUGUUCUCUUUCAUUUGAACUCUUGCAAUCAGCUCUUGCAAUUGCUUAUCUUCAUAAAUGUCAACCUUAUUAUCACCAAACACCAACCAAUGCCCAUGCUCUAUCAUCUGUCCUACGCUCAACAGAUUCUCAUCCAAACCAGGUACAAUCAUGACUUCUCUAAUGAAUCUAGUAACCCCUUGCACAUCUAUAGCCAAAGUACCUUUGCCUAUUGAUUGUACUAAAUCACCAGUGCCCAUCUUAACUUUACAGUUCACAUUUCUAUCUAUAUCAAUAAGUAAGGACUCAUGAGCAGUCAUAUGAUUACUACAAGCACUGUCCACAUACCAAACAUUCAUAUUUUUUUCAAUAGAAGCUGAAUGACAAGCAUAGAACAUAGUAGCAAGUUCUGUUACCUUGCUAGCCAAGUUCACAAGUUUCUCAGUCUUAUUUGAUUGUUCACAGUCUUUAAUGAGAUGCCCAAAACGAUUGCACCCAUAGCACUUUGGCUUUCCUUUAAACCAGCAUUCUCCAUAGUGAAGCUUAUCACAGUGCUUGCAUUUCCCUUUUGCUUGAUCUGAUUUUUCCCCUGGUUCAUGCUUUCCUCCUUGGUUGCCACUAUUUUGAGGUUUUGAAUCCCAUUUCUUACCCUUCGAUUUCCAGCUCUUCUUUGAUUUAUUAUUACCAAAACCAGGAUUGGACUGAGAUCCCUUUUGAUUUAUGCUCAUGCUGCUGAAGGCUUUCUUAGUGGUGUUCUCAGCAUGCCUAUCAAGGUGCUGAGCAAAACCCCUCAAUGCAGCAAUCACCUCUUGCACCUCAAUCAUUUCAAUAUCCUUAGUUUGUUCAAUUACAUAACAGACAGGAUCAAACUCCUUAGUCAGGCUUAUAAGUAGUUUUUGAACUAACCUUCCUUUGGAUAGGUCUUCCCCAUAUCCCUUCAUCUAAUUCACAAGCUCAAGUAGGCGAGUGAGGUAUCCAGACAAGGUCUCAUCAUCCCUCAUCCUUGUGUACUCAAAAUCACGACGCAAACCCUGCAAUUUGAUGGAUCUGACCUGCUUAUCACCAUGAAAUUCCUGAUGUAAAAUAUCCCAUGCACCCUUUGAGGUUUCUUCAUUCGAAAUCCUAGGGAAAUGUCUUCUGAGACAGCCCCUUGGAUAAUCCCAAGUGUCUUAGCAUCCUUCAUUAACAGAGCUUCCUUCUCAGAAUCCGAUGACCCAGCAUCAUCCACCUUCUUCCCCUUUGAAUCUGGAAUUUGAAGCCCAUUUUCAACUAAAUCCCAGAUUCCAUGAGAUUUGAAAAUCGUUCUCAUUCGAAUCUUCCAAAACUCAUAGUUGUCCCCAUUGAAUAUUGGAGCUCUGAGAUCACUCCCACCUGACCCAGCCAUCUGAGACAAAAUCAAUGAACUGAGUCGGAAAUUUCUCGUUGGAUUUCCAAGCUCAGCCCACACACAGCUUCAACGCCCACUAUCCAGAUCCAACCUUCACUGCUGAUACCAUGUUGAGAUUUGGAUUGUCAAGGGAGCUAGAGAGCAAAAGACUGAGAGAGGGAGAGAGAGCUUGAGUAAGAAGGAAUCAAUAUGGUUAUGACCACUACUCCUCUGCUUAUCCGUUGCAGCAGAGCAGACUAUAUUCAUACCCAAAAUGUGUUCUUACAUCAGCAAAUACAAUCUAACCGUUGUGAAGGAUAAACCAAUGUGAAUAUGACACAUGGCUUUACAAAGCUUUACAACCGCUGAAAUAAGAGAGACAAUCCUAAGCCUUACACUUGGCAUAUGAGCUCAAGGUGCUCAACUCACAGAUGACUUAAAUGGACUGAAUAUAAACUGACUAAGUACUUACUAACUAAUCAGAAAUUAGCUAGGCAGUUUACAUUUUAACCCCCCUCAAUACCCUGAAGCACAAGUGAGAUGAUUAAUUUUUCUUUUCUGGAGAACAGGAAAGUGUUCACAAGAUAGUACUUUCCAAUAUAAACAGUUGUAGAACACUCAGAUAAGACAACUGCAUAAGUAACUGCUACAGAUCAAGGCAAUUCCCCAAUAAAUACAAGAACACAUUUUACAUAUAUAGACAAAUAAGAAAGUUGGAAUCUUUUAGGAAGGGAAAUGCAGCCUUACAAAUGCUUUAAAUUGGACAGUUGACCCCAGGUAUUGGGUAUAGGACCUCUGAAAUUAUUGUUUGCAAGAUUUAGAUUCUGUAGAUGUGUCAUGUUGGCAAGAUAAAUGGGUAACAGGCCCGUUAGACUAUUAUCCUGGAAGUCCCUGCAUAAAUAAAGUUAUUUUAUCAAAAUUCAUGACUGGAUGCAAAAAAAUAUAUUCUUCAGAAUUAAACAAACAAGAACUACAAUUGAAGGCAUUGGUAUUAUAUUCCACUUUUUUCUAUGACUCAGUUGACAGUAUGUAAAGUUACAAUGAUAAAGGGAAAAUUUAAAUUCUCCCUCUCUCUCUCUCUCUCUCUCGGUAGGUACCAGAGCAUAAACUAGGAUCCAAAUCAGGUUUCAGCCAAUGGAAAUAGUUAUGUUACAUUUUCUGACACCAUCAGCCCCAGAAUACUAAUGCAUCAAGAAGUUGACUUACAGGCUAGCCAAAAAUUUCAGUUUAGUAAUCGAAGGAGAAAGCGUUCCAGAAAAUCCAUUUGAUGCCAGGCUCCUGCAAAGUAGUACAUUCACAAACUAAAUGUACUGCAAUGAUAAAUGAUUUUCAAAGAUGGCGAUAUUAAUAAAAUAUAUAUUUUUCAUGAUCAUAAAAUUUAGUUUAACUUACAGGGAUAUGACAUUUUCAUUUCUACAAGUGACAUGAGACCGGCUAAAACAGGGGCUAACGAGAUUAUUAUUCCAAUCUGUUAUUCGGCCACUGGAAUCAUUCAGUGCCCUAAGCAAAUCGAUCAAUGCUUCACCUGCACAUUAUCGUAAGUGAAGAACGAAAUUGUAUGUAGAACCAUAGAUGGCUGGUGAAAAGAACUUUUGUUUAUAUUACAAUUCUGAUAAAUGAAAAAUGAAAAAUUCUUGGACUUAGGUAAGGUAGAACACAGAAACCAUGUGAGCAAGGCAGUAGAUAAGGUAGAACACAGAAAUCCUGUGAGCACGACAGUAGAUAAGGCAGAAGCAAAGACAAAGGGCAAGGCCACAGCAACAACAACGACAAUGACCACAUCAACGGAAAGCAAAGCAAGCAAAGACAACAUCAACGGCGGCAACAUCGACCACAACAGAAACACACCAGCAAAGACAUGAGCAACAAUACUGGCACCAUAACAUGCAUGAGCAACAAUACUGGUACCGAACAACAGCAAUACAAGGCACUGGCACCAGCAAGAGUAUUAAGGCAGGGACAUAACAGACAUCAUCGACGAUGUAUGAGAGUCGAGAUUUGGAGAAAGCAACACCGAAAAAUAAAGUUGCAUCUAUUUCUCCAUCAAAUCUGACACUGGUAAAGGGUCGAGAUUUGGAAGAAGAUAAAUUGAAAUAAUAGUAAAGAGACUCAAACAUGCCAGUCUCGUGGUAGAAACAAAUGCAAGAGGGGAAAGUGGUAGCAUACGGCUGUCCCAUGUAGAAAAAACUUUAUAAAAAGAGAAUAGUAAGGGAGGAAACCCAACAAAUCAUGAACAGAGACAAAGACAAAGAUAAGGUGCUCAAACAGGAAUUAGAGCAAAGGGCACCGAAAAAAGGAAACCUUUCAUGUGUGGAAUAGGAAUAGAUAGAGUGCCCAUCAAAGGGAAGCAAUAUUAUAUAAGGGAGUUGUGAAAGCGAGAGAUAAUGCAGUGAGAAAACAACAAAAUGGAAAAGGUUGGUAAAAGAAAGAUGAGAAAUAGAGAGGACCUGAAAAGAGUUUGGUUGCAUAGCAGGGGAAACCACAUCCAUAGAUCAAAGAGGAAGAAACUAAAGAUAUUUAAAAAGUAAAGCAUGGGAAAUUGCAUGUGACAAUUUUUAAAAAAAAACUAGUGGAAGAAAGUGAGGUGCUAGAACCGAAAAAAGGAUAGAAUAAUGCUGUGAUUGAAGGAAAAUAAUGACAAAGGAAGGUAUCUGUGAGGAAAUAGAUAGACAGAGAAAGGGAUGAAUAUUGGAAAGAGGCCAAAGGUAGAAAGAAAUAAGCAUAAGGGUAAAAAGGAAGGAGAUAGAAAAAUAAAUAAUAAAUACCCAACGGGAAAGGCUAGAGUGACAAAGCUGGAGAGAUGGCGUGGGGAAAGAACACAACAAACACCAGCCAUUGGGCAUAGACAAACAAAAGAGAUAAACAUAAAUAAAAGAGAGCUAAAUAGAGCAAAGAGAGAAACAAAGAAAGGGUGCUCAAAACUGAGAAGCGGAAAGGCAACUCAAGAGAACAGCCGAAGAAGACAGAGAUCGGCAGAACAGUCAAAGGAAAGGCUCGGUGAGUGGUGACAAGGCUCGCGGAGGAAAGCAACGGCACGGUAAGCGGUGACAAGGCUCACGGAGUAAAAAGACCUGUUAUGAAGUUUCAAAGAUAAAGAAGCUGGGACAUCAAGAAAGACCAUCUGGCAUACAAAGAUUAAAAAUAAAAAAAUUUGGAACAAUAGCAAAAAAGCAUGUGAAGGCUAGGUGUGGUGAAAACACAUAUGAGAGGAUUGAUCAAAAGAAGAUGACUAUACAAGAUGAAGACCCAUGAUGGGUUAGGAAUGAGGAGUGCCAACGACUCUCAAUUUGACAGAGGUUAUCACAUGUUAGAAACUAGGCUCUGAUACCAUGUCAAACAAAGUAGGGUAAAUAUUCAAUUAUGCUCAGAUAUGCUCAUAUUGUUAUUCUUCUCCAAUAUGGAGGUAUUUAUACAAGUACAAAGCUGUGUUAACCCUAAAUAAAAUAGGAAAUAUAUCUAAAUUACAAUAGGAAGUAAAUCUCUAUUACAAUAUGACUAAAUAAUAAUUGGUAAGUAACCAAAAUUCUAAUAAAAUAAGGAACCAAAAUCCUAACUAAAUAAGGACUUGCCAACAGCACGACCUUGAUGCACUAUGAGAAUCGAGGCGCUGGCCACAAUGUUGGACGAUGCCAAUGCAUCUCCCAAGGGUCCGAGCUCCAGGCAGUCACCCCACUCGGAUAGCCCGAACGUGAGUGGUGAGGAACCUGUUUGCCCUCUGCCCACGAUAUAAAGAUCAUAGUCAUUUCCCAUGGCGCUUAUCAAUUUGAGAGUUUCUUCUCCAUUGUUCAACACCUCGUGAAUUAAUUUUAUGGAAGGUUGGUCCCUAGUAUUGAGCACAAAGCUCUCUAUAUAUUGGUCGUCUAGUUGUUUCUCCUUCUCAUUUUCCUCUAUCACCUCUAAAAUAUUCUUCUUUUCGUCCUCAUCAUGAUCGUGAUCAUUAUUAUUAGGAUUGUUGGGAGGGAGAUCUGAAUGAACUGCCGCAUCUUUACUGACGAUGAAACGAACCACGGUUAAGCUGAUAUUAGGUUUAGGGUUAGGAUUGCUGGCUAUCCUCCAUGCAUAUGCCAAUGCCUCGCGGUCAUCUGACCCACUAAUGAAGAGCAUGGCACAGCGGCAGCAGCCAUGGCCAUCUUCAUUUUUAAUGUUAGAUGAAUCGGUGAGUCCACGAUCCACGAAGAUGGCCACCGAACAAGAAGCGUUCUCUAGAAGGUUCUUGUUAAUGCCUCUAAAAGAGGGGUUUCCGUUGUCCAUUCCCCCGUCAAUGGUGGAUUGCUUGUGGAAAGGAAUGAUUAUGAGGUCUGCACUCUUGUCGUCCGCAAGGUUGCAAAUGUCCUCAUGCAUGGAGGCGUGAGAGGACACAACAGUUAGUGCCUCCACGAACAAGCUGCUUUCUUCACUUUCGGUCUCAAGUUUUUCAAAGGCGGCGACAAUUUGGUCAGAAGGCGAAGAGUGCUUUUGAUUUUUGGCUGUAAUUUUACUUGUCUUACGAAUAUUGCUGCAUGUGUCGUGGACUAUGAGCAUGGCAGAAGCAUGGCCACUGAGCUCCACCAAAUGGACCGCAAAGACGAACAUCGGGGAUUGUUUGGUGGGAUUGGAAAUCUCCAACAGAUUGAUGACGCUUGAAACAUUGCUUGUUGAAUGGAAGCAAGUAAGGAUUCUGUUUAUACCGAAAUAAACGGCCUAUGACCACCGAACACGUGGACAGGAUCGAUACUGAUCACAGAACCCCUUCGGCAUUGUUGAAGGAAAAUGUGAUCCUCCUAAUAUAAUUUCACCACCACGAAUUAAAUAACGGGGUUUUAUUAUUUUACGUUCGACCCAUUCGAGACGCAAGUCUCUUAAUUACAAUCCCUUGCUUCAAGGGAACACCCUUUGAUUCCAUCAUAAAGAAACAGAACGUGUGUGUUUGAUUUUGCAACUGCUCCCAAGUCCAACCUCAGGAUGCCUACGUAUCCCUUGCGGGAAUCAAGCCACUCGUAGUUCAAAGAAUCGCAAUGAAUAAAUGACUCAUUGCGAGGGAAAUUUGAUUUGAAUUGUAUUGAGAAGUGUUUGAGUGAAUUUAGCUGAAUAAACCAGGGAUUCGAUAUGGAAUUGCAUUUGGGAUGGUUGUAUCUAGAUUGAAUCUCUAGAUUGCCUACGUACCCUUUCAAAGGGAUCAAACCAACGUAGUUCGGAAUUUGGAAAUUAACGGGUAAGUGUGGCCCACUAAUUGAGAAUUUCUGUUUGAGAGACUUGGAUUUAAUCUCAUUAGAGUUUUCAUGGGUAGAUGACCCAUGGAAAAUUGGAUGGUUUUGUACCACUUUCGUUGUUGUCAAUGUCCAAGAAAAAUAAUGAGUAAUUUUAAUUAUCCCAUUAAUUUUUCCUAAACAUUGACAAUUGCGUUUGGGAAAGUGUUUUGGCAAAAUUUGGUUAAGAUAAACCAGAUAUUUAAAUUUGAUUGCGGUUGCGUCUAUUGGGAUGUUAGACUGCCUACGUACCCUUGACGGGAUCAAACCGACGUAGUUCCAAAUUUUGGAAGUUAAUGGGUAACUGUGGCCCACUAAUUGAGAAUUUGUGUCUUUGGGACAAUUUGGAGAUUUUCAUAGGUAGAUGACCUAUGGGAAAAAUUGGAAAUUAAUGGGUAAGUGUGGCCCACUAAUUAAGAAUUUGUGUUUGAAAUAUUUGAAUUUAAUCUCAUUUGGAAUUUGCAUGGGUAGAUGACCCAUGGGGAAAAUUGGAUGGUUUUAUACCAUUUUUCUUUUUGUCAAUGUCCAAGAAAAAUAAUGAGCAAUUUUGAUGAACCCACUAAUUCUCUACAAUUGACAUUUGCAUUUGUAUCCAUGCAUGAUUUGGAGGAUUUGAGAUUAAUGGGCUUUUGUGGUUGACAAGCCUGUUAAUCCAUAUUGAUGCUCCUUUGGUAUCUUUUGGGAGUGAGCUCAAUGCUCGUAGCACGACCAAUCAUUUAUUUGGAAUGGAGUCAUCGACACAGUAUGAUUGAGUCGCUUGGCACUCCUUUCUGAAUAGCUUCUUUGCCACAGUGAUUGAUUCCCAUAUUUCUUGUUGAGAUUUUGUGGGCAUGUUUGGUAGCCAUCUUGCAUUUGAGAAUUGAGGUAGAUAGACCCGAAUGCCGUAAGCAUUUUAUUGAGCCUUCUUGACCGUCAAUUGAUUUAGUUAUCGUGAACCCUUGCUGACACUUUUGUGCACUUGCUUGCAUAGCUUGGUACUGCAAGUAGUGAACUCACAUCUUCGUCCCUUGGAAUAUAAAGGAGCACAAGUGCCUGGACACUUUGUUUUCAUUUGUUGCAGUAACCAAAAGUAAUGUGAGGGACUUUAAAAGGCCUUGGUUUCAAACCUUCACUUUGUCUUCUAUCUGCGUGAAGCUCAAUGCUUGUUUUAUAUUGUAAAGCAUAUUGCUGAGCUUAGUGGACAUUUACAAAGAAUGGGCCCUCUCAAACAAUCACGCCUCUGACUAUUUUUCUAUCGUCUUUGACUUCUUGACGUCGGUACAAGCCAGCUACUCUUGUGGCUUGAUUUUCCCUUCCGUUUGUCAUUGGCAUGGGGCCUUUUGCUUCUUCAUGAAGCAAAAGAAAAGUAUUGUAUCUCCUUGAUUUAUCUUAUUUUUUUCAUAGUUCUGCUCCUUCCUAUUUAGAAGCUUGGUAACUUGAACUGUGGGGGAUGAACUUAGAGAAAUCUGCACUUCCUUUGGAUUGGUUCGCAUGAGUCUGGACUCAAACUUUGUGUGUUCAGAUUUGAUGCAGCUGGCAGCUUUGGGUUUGUUAGCUUUUGUCAAACUUGCCAAUUCUUUCUUCUCUGGUCUCUUGCAUACGACUUAUUGGAGGAGAUAAGAAUUUGGCAAAACACAUCUUGCAUCAAACCCUUUUUUUUAUGUUUCUCCUUGUUGCAAUCAAAGAGAACCCAAUAUCAAAUUUUCUUUGGUAGCCAACCAGCCAUCUUGAAUUGGUCUUGAGAAACGUGUUGUACAGCGCCAGCCCCACAGCAACACCAUUUUUUUUUUAUCAUAAGCUUCAUGCAAUAGAAUUUGGACUCAUAAUUCAAAUUCCUUGUUUUGCUGCAUGUAGAGUUGCAGCCCAUCCCUUUUUCAUAAUCUUGGAUUCACUUUGGAUAUGCAAGUCCGUGAAGUCCAAGACUUCUUUUUUUCUUACUCUGCUGCAAGUCAAAGAGGAAGAAGUCCUCUUCCUUUUGAAUUCACAAGUGGUGGGUUCACCAACACAUUUACUCUUCAUUUCGUUUUGCUUAUGUAGUGUCAUAGCCCCAGCAAUUGACUUCAUGUGAAUUUGAUUCUGACCUGAAGAAGAGCAAAGCUUUCUUCAUUGUUCUGAAUUUUGAUUGAAGGCUUUGCUUUUGAUUCAAAGCCAAAAGUCAUCACGUGGAGGGUUCACCUCCACAAGCUUUUAUUCUUUUUUUUCUUCUGUUUACAUUCAGCAAAACAUAGUAAACCAAAGGCCUUGCUUUGCUCCAGCUGGAUCCCUCACGUAUUGGUGCCAUUAACAGGUGUCUUUCAAUUUGAUUAAGACACCCAAAGGAUAGAAAUCCUUCUCGAAGUGAAGUGUGGAUUAAACUCCUUAUUGAUUUGGAACUGGUGGAUCAUCCAGUGAAGUAAACUUCUUGUCCACAUAGGAUUGGGUUGUCUUCCUUAUAAAAAAGAAAACAUGUGUGCACCAGCAAACAGCCACAAAACGAAAGUCUUAACAUUAUUCUUCGUUUGCUUCUCCAGACCAGCACAUAGCUUUGCUCAAGCCACCUGUUGCACCAUCAAACGAAAGCGGAUUUCACGUGGUAACCCACAUGCCAUUCCUUAGUUCUUCUCUUUUAUUUUAUUUAUUGAUUGAACUAACUAGGACUUUUGUCUGCAUGGACAGCAAUAGCAGUAGCAAUAGAAGACCCUCCAAUUAAUUGGAUGCUUCUGGGCUGACUUGGAACCAAAAGAGACAAACUCUCUUAUUGUCCUUUGUGUGCUGUAACUUUCCCAAGGUCAAUAACUCAAGAAAUCCUCUUGCCUUUCACGUGGUAAUCCCCCCCCUUGAACUCCUCUUUUCCUUUGAUUUUUUUUUUGUCUGUUUCCAUGCUUCUGACCUCUUGUCUUCUCCUUUGUAUGUAGAGACUGUGCUGCCAGCUUGAAGGCUUUGGAGUUUGGUGGAGGAAACCACCUGUCAUUUUGCUUCAGAAACCCAAGAGAGAACUUGUGGUACAUGCCUUGCCAGCUCCUUUUUUUUUUGUGUUUGCUGUUGUUGUACCAUUGUCCAUGUCCUUUUCUUUUUCCCAGUCAUAAUAAACCAAAGAAAUAUUCAAGAGAGGGAGGAGGGGCUGUGCGAUACAGCCCCCCUUUUUUUUCAUUACCUUCUUUUUUUUUUUACUACGUUGCCCCUUAUUUUGUCUCUUUGCAAACAAAACACAAGAACAAAGUCAGCCACCAUUUUUUACUCCAUUAUUUCUUCUUCCUUACUCCUUUUUUUCCAAUCAAAGCAGACCAACAAAGGGAGGGAGGGUUGUGCGUCACAGCCCCCUUUUAUUGUUUUUUUCAACUCCUCUUUGUUUUGUUUCUUUGCAACAAAACACAAGAAGCAAACCCACCAUUUUUCUUUUGCUCCAUUAUCUCUUCCUCCGCUGGCUCUCUUCUCCUUCUCUUUUUUUGUCUUUUUUUUUUUCUUCGUUGACUUGCUGGCGGCAGCUGCCCAUAGGGAGGCAAUUCAAUUGCCGUGAGACCCUUUUAUUUUUAAAUGCUCCAUAUAGAGGUUUUUACACGCCCUCCUUCUUUGAUUUUGAUUCCAUAGUGACCCCAUAUCCUCCUUAACUCUCCAUGAUUUGAGACAUCCCCUGCAUUUGGAAGCAUUUAACCGGAGUUGCCUGUUGGAAAUAUGAUGAUUGAAAUCAUCAUGGAAGACAAUCUUCCCUAUUGGUGGUGGACUGAAAACAUCGAUGGAAUUAUCUUAGCGGAGCCAAGCCUUGGAGAGAUUCUUAACCUUGGUUAUGAUGAUUUCAAUCAUCAUAGCCAAGAAUUUCUGUGGAUUGAUCAAACAAACUGCUGGGUGCGGAUCGUAUCCUCGGAGUUACUUGAGCGGAGCUGUCCCUUAGAGAGAUUACUGACCCUUUUUAUGAUGAUAGAAAUCAUCAUGGCUAGGAACCCUUGAGUUGAAUGGAAACUGAAAUCUUGAGCAAAAAAUCAGAAAAUUGUGCCAUGAAACUAAUCUUUUUACCUUGAAAUGGCUCUUUCCAUUCUCAAGUCUGCUUGCUAAUUUUUCUUCUUGCUAUGACUGUUCUCCUUUCUGCUCUUUUUCUGUCCUCCUGCCGUUCUCCUCUCUUUUCUGUUUUCCCUCCCCUCGUGUCAUGCCUCUUAUAGAGGCUAUCUUAUGAUGAGUUUGAAUUCCAGCUGAUGACCACUUCUCAACCGAGAUACUUAUCUCUUGGUGUUUCAAAACCACUGAAAUACAUCUAUUUUAUUUUUAAAUGUUUUUCUUGAUAAGAUUGCAGGGACAAAACAAAUUCAAUUCUAACCCAAGUCAAACUCUUGGCUAAUUGCUUUUGUGAAAAUUUUCCGUUCAACAGGCAUGCUUCCUACCGAAGCCGUCUAUCUUGGCCAUUUUUACCAUCGGACACGUGUCAUGCUCACAAUCCAUGUUCAGAGUCCCAUAUCGGAAAUAUGAGCACAGUGCACACCUCCCAAGGCCUCCAUGUUCAGUCCUUUUGUAGGUACUUACAUUUCCGAAGUAGAACAUCUUCCGAAGACAGUCACCUACCGAAGGGAUAAUAUCACUAAGUUGACGAAAUACGUGCUGAACCACUUCUUCGCAUCAACAGUUUGGCGCCGUCUGUGGGAAACGUUCAGAAAAAUCAUCAACCCACUAUCUCCAAAACUCAUGGGGACCACUUCAGUACCCGCGUUCUUAUCAGAAGAAGGGGUACCGUUCGGAAGGCAGAGCGGAACUAGCCCAGCACUACCCCCAUGCACUCCCUUCGGAAACACCCCCGCAACCCAAACAACCGCCGAAGCCGAGCUGGCAGUCCAAAUCGCGUCCCUACGGAAGGACAUGGCGAGGCUUCAGGAGCACAACAACUUUCUUUCGUCCAAAGUGGACGAAACCCAGUAGCUGCUCCACCAGCAGCACACGCAGAACAUCCAGACAACUCGCUCUUCCGAGAGCUUGCAGACCCCCCAUAGGAAGAAGAAACGCGAGAAGGUAGCGAAGGCAACGCCCGCACCUUCCAAACAGUUGGUAGUUCCGGCACCCAGGGAUCAGCCGCACAUCCCCAAGAAAGUCUACUCCGAUUGCCGACAUCGGAUUAACGACCGUGAACAUCGGAAUAACGAUCGGGAGGCAGAGAGACAGAGGUCUCCGAUCAGGAUUAGCGCUCGACUAAGGGACUCACGGAUGAAAGUCCUAGGAGACAAGUCGCCUAUUCGGAAAGUCAGAGGGCUGGACUCCGCAGAGGAGUCGGAAUCCGAGUAUAUCCCGUCCGGGACGCAAACUUCCACCUACCGUUUAGCAACGCCUUCACGGUACUCGGGGGUUAAUCCAUUAGACCUACAAAGGCGAUCGGAAGAUUACGGUUCCGAGGAAAUCCCUAGUCGAGACCCCGUUGUCCGACUCCUUUUUCAGAAAGUCCAGAAAAUGGAAAACGACAACGCCCGCUCCCAAGGACCGGAGUGGGGAAAGCUUCGGCCCGGACCAUUUACCAGGCGCAUCUGAGACUCUCGGCAGGAUAGGGAAGGGCAGCAACUGCGUAUACCGUUCUAUACGGGAACGGAAGACCCCUUAACACACCUCCACUCAUUUCAGUCCGCCAUUGGAUGCAAGGGCCUGAGCGAUGAAGGGCAGUGCCUGCUAUUCCCGUCUUACUGGGGCAGCCCUCAACUGGUUCUACCGGUUGGAGCCGGAAACGGUAGACUCCUUCGACGAGCUGAAGCAGAUUUUCCUCAAUCACUUCAUGAUCCAAACGGACCGUCUUUACUCUGCCGAUGAUCUGUACACGAUUCGGCAAAGAGAGGACGAACCGUUGAGAGAAUACGCGGCGCGCUUCAGUCACGAGUACUCAAGGUGUCCGGAAACAGACGAUAGGGCAGCCUACGGCGCCUUCAAGAGUGGCCUUCGGUCCUCGCAUUUCCAAUACCUAGUACACAGCAGCAACUGGCGCACGUACGACGAACUGAUGAAGCAGGCAGCGAUCCACGCCAAAGCCGAAUACUUCAACUCGAAACCCGCGAUUUCGGCAUCGCGAGGAGAUGCCGAACCAAGUGCUUAUCCGGUAAAGGCGCCACCCUACGAGAGAGUCGACCCAUAUUUGGUAGGUCAUAAGAGGAAAGACGACCGUGCCGAUCGAAGAGAACACUCGAAGAAGGGAAAAGGGAGGUAUGGUCGCAACGACCACCGAGCGCCGCUGCCGAAUCGUGACCACGGCAAUGAAGUCUUCACCCUAUUGAACACUACCUACGAGGCCGUCCUGAUGAACGAACAAGAAAUAAUACCAAAGCCGAAUCUUCGAAGACCCAAUCGGCAAGACAACCGGGAUACCGGUAAAUUCUGCCGAUACCAUCAGCACAACAGCCAUAAUACGGAAGACUGUAUAAGCUUGAGAAAAAUUGUCGAACGGUUGAUCAGAGAGGGGAAGCUAGACCAGUAUUCGCCCGGCAGCCACCGGCGCCGGUGCCGAACACAACUCGGCAGAUAAACAUGAUAAGCACUAUCAGCGGUGGCCCCACCAUCGCAGGAAUGAGCAACCGUUCAAUGAAGCAAUACGUACGCGCCGCACAAUUUCCUCAGGUAUUCGGCAUAGAGGUGAAUCGGCACCAUGAAAUACCGAAAGUUCAUUGGGAACCAAUCACAUUUUGCGAAGAAGAGGAAGAGGGCAUCCUCUAUCCCCAUGACGACCUGAUGAUCAUCCGAGCAGAAAUUGCCGACUACGAUGUAGGACGGGUACUGAUCGAUACCGGGAGCUCGGUGAACGUGAUUUUUACCGAAGCUUUCCGAGAGAUGGGAAUAAAGGACAGCCAGGUGAACCGGCAGUUGACACCUUUGUUAAGUUUCUCUGGGGACCUGGUCCAACCGGUCGGUAGUGUAAAACUGCCAAUUACCUUCGGCACCGGGCCAAGGAGAACGACGGUAUACGAUCAGUUCCUCAUCGUUGACUGCCCGACAGCGUACAACAUCAUAGUUGGGCGAACGGCACUCACCAGGGUCAAGGCACAUCUUUCCCCCCACAUGCUAUUGAUGAAGUUCCCGACCCCCAACGGCAUAGGAGCUGUCAGGGGAAAUCAGCUAAGCGCGCGGACUUGCUACGCCACGGCCAUCAAGUCAACCUCUUUCAAAAUCUCUGACGAGACCAUGUCUGUACAGGGCAUACCGAACGGUACGGGACCCGUUGACAACCCAAGGGAUGAGUCCCCGACUCCUCACACACAACCUGCCGAAGAACUGGAAACGAUAACCCUGAGCGAGGAGCAGCCCGAUCGUCGGGUUAGAAUCGGCACCAGACUCACCCCUGCCCUCCGAACGCAGUUCAUAGACUUCUUACGGCACCAUUCGGAAGUGUUCGCGUGGUCCUACGAAGAUAUGCCCGGCAUAGACCCUGAGAUCAUCAGCCAUAAACUCAGCAUUUCCCCCUCUUAUAAGCCUGUAAGACAGAAGCGCCGUUCGUAUGAUGCCGAACGAUACGAAGCGAUGCGCACAGAGGUUGACAAACUUCAAACCAUCGGCUUCAUCAGUGAGGCUACGUAUCCGGUAUGGCUGGCGAAUUCGGUGAUGGUCCGGAAGGGUGCAGGCGGUUGGCGAAUGUGCCAAGACUAUACCGAUCUGAACAAGGCCGGCCCGAAGGACAGCUUUCCCUUGCCACGGAUAGACCAGCUCGUGGACGCCACCGCCGGACACGAACUACUCAGCUUCAUGGACGCCUAUUCGGGAUACAAUCAGAUAUUCAUGCACUCUUCUGACAGCGAACACACCGCCUUCAUAACGGACAGAGGGUUGUACUGUUACAUAUCAAAGGCUCGUCAACAGAAUUUUUGCCAAAUACAUCGGCAGCAUCAUGGAGGUUUACGUUGACGACAUGUUAGUAAAGAGCAGAACCGCCGAAGAACACCUGCACAAUUUGUCAAUCAUGUUCGGCAUACUGAAAGACUACCGGAUGAGGCUGAACCCGAUGAAAUGCGCCUUCGGCGUAUCUUCCGGGAAAUUCCUUGGAUUCAUGAUUAGUCACAGGGGUAUCGAAGCGAAUCCAGAAAAAAUAAAGGCAAUCAUCGAUAUGGAAAGGCCGAAGACGACAAAGGACAUUCAAAGCCUUACCGGACGCGUGGCGGCCUUGACUCGCUUCAUAUCCAAGGCUACCGACAAAUGUGUACCAUUCUUUAAAGCCUCGAAAGGGGGCAAACAGAGUAUCAUAUGGACUGCCGAGUGUGAUAAAGUGUUUCAAGACUUAAAGGACUACAUGGGCAAAGCACCCCUUUUGUCAAAACCACUACCUGGGGAGAUUCUCUCCCUAUACCUUUCGGUAUCUAGCACUGCCGUCAGUUCGGUAUUGAUUCGAAAACCAGAGAAGGCAGAGCUACCGAUUUUCUAUGUCAGUAAGGCACUCCAGAGUGCUGAACUUCGGUAUCCCCCAUUAGAGCAGCUUGCACUAGCCCUGGUGGUCUCGGCACGAAGACUUCGGCCAUACUUCCAAGCACACGGGAUCAAAGUUCUGACUAACUAACCGCUUCGGCAAGUGCUCCAAAAACCAGAGACUUCUGGCCGAUUGAUCAAGUGGGCGAUCGAACUCGGAGAGUUCGAUAUACAAUUCAUGCCAAGGCCUGCCGAAAAGGGUCAAGCCAUUGCCGAUUUCAUCUCCGAGCUCACCCCAUCAACAGCACAGCUGACACCCGAGCCGGUAACCGAAAUCGGAAUGCGGAAGGAAAUAGAUGCCGAACGCUUCGACGCCUCAACUCCCGUAUGGAUUCUACACGUCGACGGCUCGGCAAACCAACAAGGGUGCGGAGCAGGCUUGGUACUGACAACACCGGAGGGACUCAAGAUCGAGUACGUCCUCCGAUUUGACUUCCGAACCUCCAACAAUGAAGCGGAAUAUGAGGCUCUCUUGGCCGGCCUUCGGUUAGCCAAGAGCAUGAAUGCAAAACAAAUCAGAAUUCACAGCGACUCCCAGCUUAUUGUGAACCAGGUAACGGCAGACUUCGCGGCCAGAGACGCCUCCAUGCACGCCUACCUUUCGUCUACCCAUCAACUGCUCCAAAGCUUCCGAACCUACGAGAUCAAGCAGAUCCCCAGAAGCGAAAACAGCCAUGCCGAUGCAUUGGCACGGCUGGCUUCGGCAAUCAAUGAUAAAGUCGGAAGAAAGGUGCCAGUAGAGAUUCUUGCCCAACCGAGCACGGUAACCUCCGAAACAUGCACCGUAUUGUACAAAGAUACAUGGAUGUCUCCUAUCUACUCGUACCUGACCAACGGCACCCUUCUUGAAGAUAAGGCCCAGGCGCGAAAGCUUAGGUACCGAUCGACAAGGUACACCGUCAUCAACAACGUCCUUUACAAACGUGGCUACACAACUCCAUAUCUCAAAUGCCUUACGGCAGAACAGGGGGACUACGUCCUUCAAGAGAUCCAUAACGGUGUGUGCGGCGACCAUUCCGGGUCCCGGUCACUCGCCCACAAAACCUUUCAGCAGGGAUACUUUUGGCCGACCAUGCACCGGGACGCUAAUUCACUAGUGAAAAAGUGUGAUAAAUGCCAGCGCUUCGGUAACAUACAGCAUAUCCCUGCCGAACCCCUUACACCGAUCGUAAGUCCUUGGCCCUUCGCACAAUGGGGACUAGACCUGAUCGGUCCGAUGCCGCAAGGUAAAGGCCAGGUAAAAUACGCAAUGGUUGCCGUCGACUACUUCACCAAAUGGGUAGAGGCCGAACCUCUGGCAACCAUAACUGCAGCAAGAGUGGAAGACUUCGUCUGGACUCACAUUUGUUGCCGGUUCGGUAUCCCGUAUGCAAUCAUUACCGACAAUGGCAGGCAGUUCGAUUCGGAACUCUUCAGGCAAUUUUGCACCCGCCUGAAAAUCAACUUGUUUUUCGCAUCACCGGCCCAUCCCCAGUCAAACGGUCAGGUGGAAGCAAUAAACAAAAUCAUCAAGAAACUACUGAAACGGCAGCUGGACAAAGCCAAAGGAGCCUGGCCAGAAAAGCUUCCCGAAGCACUCUGGGCCAUUCGGACAUCUUACCGAACGUCCACGGGAGAGACCCCUUUCUCUUUGGCUUUCGGUUCGGAAGCCGUGGUGCCCGUGGAAAUCGGCGAACCCUCCUACUGGACGGAAACCUUCGCACUGAAGCCGAACGAAGAAGCACUUUCUCUAAACCUCGAUCUUCUUGAAGAGCACGGGCACAUGCCAACCUUCGGAAUGAAGCCUACAAGCAACGUGUCUCUCGGUACUACGACUCUAGGGUUAGACACCGCUCAUUCCGAAUCGGAGACUGGGUCAUGCGGAAGGUAUCCCUAGCAACCAAGGACGCCACGGAAGGGACUCUCGGACCUUCCUGGGAAGGACCCUAUGAGAUCAUCGGUAUCCUUCGAUCGGGAACCUACCGCCUAAGAGACUCCAACGGCAAGACCCUCGGUCAUCCUUGGAACGUGGAACAUAUCAAAUACUAUUUCAAGUAACCUAGCCUACGGCAGGACAAAGUUGUAACCUAGCCUACGGCAGGACAAAGUUGUAACCUAGCCUACGGUAGGACAAAGUUGUAACCUAGCCUACGGUAGGACAAAGUUGUAACCGAUUGGAAUGUAUUUGCCCUUCGGUAGAAAUUAAUAGAAAGCCCUCGGCACUAUUACUUCAAAACCUCUUUUUAAAAAAUUACUCUACUAGCCCACGGCUGCCAAUAGUGGCAAGUUAACGUUCUACGGCAUCUUUAUUAGCCUACGGCAAUAAAUGUUUUUCGAAAUUGUUACCCUACAGAUUCCAUCGGAACUUAUCAAUUUCGAAAUGUCCCUUUAACGUUAUAAAUCCUAUACGGAGCCUUUCGGCAAUAAGUACGAUCGGCAAUUGUUAAGGACCCGCCCCGAAUUUUCUCAAAAUCCGAGACGAACCCUUUGGAAAUCCUGACAUCACUCCGAUGUCAGACCCAAUCACUAAAGACCGAGACUUCCUGCCGAAAUUUCGGCAGAGUCUCCCCUAUAAAUUGGACAUUUCCCAAAAUUUCAACCUGCAUAAAAACGCAUUUAAUAUCCACAACUGGCAGCAUGCACAAUAUAAUUUCAUGCAAAUUCUCAUAAAUGGCCUUCGGCCUUCCAAUAAUUUCUCAAACAACUACCAAACAGUUCAAAUACAAAUUAUGACUAAUAUUUAGUCUGCGGCUGCACCUAAUAACCUUAGGCUGCCUACGUACCCUCCUUGAGGGAUCAAGCCACACGUAGUUCUUCCCUAAAACCCAAUUCCACACUUGGGCGAUACCUUAUUUCAUUUAUCUGUAUUUCACAUAUUCUCCCCAUACGCCGGUACAACCAACGCCACGUAUGGGGCCUGUCAACACGCCGGGUAACCUACGCCACGUGCGACCAUGCCAUAUUCUCAUCAUAUCUCCCCAUACGCCGGUACAACCAACGCCACGUAUGGGGCCUGUCUCAACGCCGGAUAACCUACGCCACGUGAGACCUGCACAUCAUAUCACCUAACUCCCCAUACGCCGGUACAACCAACGCCACGUAUGGGGCCUGUCCCAACGCCGGAUAACCUACGCCACGCGGGACCUCAACAUCAUAUCACAAAUCUCCCCAUACGCCGGUACAACCAACGCCACGUAUGGGGUCUGUCGACACGCCGGAUAACCUACGCCACGUGCGACCUCAACACAAUAUCACAUAGCUCCCCAUACGCCGGUACAACCAACGCCACGUAUGGGGUCUGUCCCAACGCCGGAUAACCUACGCCACGCGGGACCUCAAUUUCACUUGGUGGUGCUUGUAAUGGAUCCCAAGUCCGAGGAGGUACCUAGAGUAGUGCGUAUAGCACUCCAAACUGACAUUCUAGACUCUGUUGUACCCUUGUACAACCACAUAAUUUAUAUAAAUAAUUCUAAUAUUGUGUAACCCUCCCCAAUAGUCUAGCUCCCGAUAAUUCCCCCUGGAAGGGUGAGAUUACUCCAGGAGACUCACGGUCAACCAAGGGUCAAACUACUCUAACCCUGGUCAACCGGACCUGCAGAACCCACGACCUCCAAUUUCCGAUUCGGAAGUCCCUAUGGGUUCUACCCGGUAUAGGACACUUGUCCUGCAAGUUUGGUUCAGAUCGGACGGUCGGAUUUCUCACGAUCGCACGAUCCGACGGUUAAUAUAAAAUAUAAACUUAAAAUUAUUAUUCGGAACAUCCGGGGCUCCGAUUCACGAUCCGUGAAUUCCUACACGAUCCUAGAAUUACCUAGAUUAACAUAUAUUAAAUUUGGGACCAUCCGACGGUCCCAACCUAUCGAACCCGGAUAACGCAUACUAUGCGAUUAUCCGUUCGAUAGUCAAACGACGUCCGAAUUGAGAUCCGCGAAAUCCUACGCACUCGUGACAACCUAAGGAUCUCAUCGGAACACAUCGCUACUUUUUCUACAGUGCCCACGCGCCGCCGCACGCGCCGGCAGCGCGUGGGUGCCCAAAGCGAUAACGCUUCGCCGGAAAAUCUCAACAUCUCGGCUUCAAACUCCUACCCUAGGUAUAACACCCUAUUUGGAGCCACUUUUGUUCUUGGACCUACCCCAAAAAGUGGCCGAAAAUGGCCGAUCACGGCGGCCGAAGUUUCGGCCGAGUUUCAAUUCGAAAAUCGAGUGAUCUAGAGAUCGAAUCGAUAAAAACCCAACCAACAGGCAGCUAGAACAGCUCGAGAGGUUCAAAAUCCAUACCUGGGUCGACGAAAUUGGUGGCCGGAGGAGGGAGAUCGGUGGCUUUGAAGUUUGGACGACGUCGGCCGCUUCAUCUCCAAAUUCCGGCGAAUCCGCGGCGGCUGGCGGCGGGAGGUGGCUGGGGUAGGAAGAGGACGACGCCCCGGUCAUUUUGGUACCGGCCCCGUCCACAGCCGUGGCCGGUGGCCGGAGUUACGAGGAGAGAGAGAGGAGAGACCGACGGGAGAGAGAGAGAGGUCGCGGGAGAGGGAGAGAGAGAGAGAGAGGGAGAGAGAGAGAGAGAAAACCAGGUUUUUUAUAAAAAUCCCAUUUCAAAAUAUUUACGAUUGUGCCACUGGGCUUCUUUUGACCAUAUCUCUCUCGUUACAACUCCGAUUCGAGCCCACUACGUGUCUAUGAACUCGUCUCAGUACGACCUAUCCAAAAAUACAAGUCACGGUCCCAAACUCUCUCCGGUUAAAAAUGUGACUAAAAUACCCUUAAAUAAUUAAAUAAUUAAAUAAGGGUAAAAUUUGGGGAAAUUUGGGGUCGGGGUGUUACAGAAACAAACUCAGAUUGUCGAAACAAAUGAUAAAAACAAUAAAUAAACUUUUAAAUCAAGGAUCCCCUCGGCACUAAUACGUUCUGAAUACAAAAAAGUUUAAAUCUAAAAUUACAAGCUCAAAUCUAAGAGGCCCUCAGGCUUCGUCGCCGGCAGCAGCCUCGGCAGAAUCAGAGCCUUCGGCGGCGUCCUCCCCCUCGUACUCCUCGAUCAUUUCCUCAGUUAUCCCUUCCGGUAGAGGAGGAGGAUCAGCGAUGAAGUUCAGGUUCAGCUUUUGUCCAGGGUUGUACCGUUUGAAUUGGUACGACAGGUCCGCCAUCUCCGAGCCCACUUCCUUAUCCAGAAGGACAGUGAACUCUUCAGACGAGCGGUACCCCCGGAUCGCUGACCGAACGGCACCUUCGAUCUUCGCUGCCUUGGCCCGCUCCGACUCCUCCAAGGCCACCUGCACCGCCUCUUUGGCAGCCUCGGCAUCCCUCGCUGUCGCCAGCACCGCCUCCAGGAGACCCUUCAUCUCCUCCACCUUCUCCUCCGAAGCUAGAACCUGCCGUUCGGCAGACUCUUUCUCCUUCAGCAAGUGGGCGUGCUCCUGGAGCGCUUUGUCAGCCUCGGCAACCUUGGCCCUGCCGUCCUCGUACGCCUUCUUGGCGCGCUCGGCAGCAGCGAUGGCCAGCUUGACGCAGAGCCACAUGUCCAUGGACGCCUGCACAAAACAAACAAAGUCAGAAGCGUGCCCCACUUACAAAAAUAAAAGGACGAAGGAAGAAAGACAAUCUUACGGAGGCCUGAAGGCGGAAGGCGCGUCCAGCCUCCUCCCGAAGAAAUUUCUUCGGUAGUUCGUCGAUCUCCGGCAGCUCCAUCUGAGAGCCGAGGAUCAUAUGGUUGACGAACUAGACCGUCUUCGCCGGGCAGGCAAUGGUGACAGCCUCGGAAGGACCGUCCUCGUCCUCCACCGCAAGGACGGCCCUCGGGACCUCCGACUGGCGAGGGCGCUUGGAGACUGGUCCGACCUCCAGAUCGACCGUCUCCGGCCGUUUGCCGGCAGCCUUGGAAGCAGCGGCUUCAGUACCCAUCCGCCUCGAUGUGGAGUCCUCAUCGCCGACUCGCCUUAGCAUAGGCUCGGCACCCAGCUGCCGCAUACGAUCGGCGAGAGUCUGAUCCUCAGGAUCCACCACCGCCUGCCGAGCGGAAGCUUCCUCAGGCUGCCUCUUUUUCUUCUUGCCCUCCAGGCCCAUCAUUAGGCGCCUCCUGGAGGACUCGUUCAUCUUCUUGGCCUCGGCAGCCUUCCUGGCGUCCGUCACUGGUCAAAAAAAGCGUUUGGUCGGUCGGCAAGCAAAAGCCAUACAGGAAAACAAAAAAAAGAGGAGAAGGAACGAUAUACUCUCGGCAGGGUUAACGAGGCCGGCUCUGAUGAGGUUGUCGAUGAAGAGGAAGCGUGGGUAAACUCGCCCGGCAGCAGGUACUCUCAGCCUCACUCUGUCGAGCUGCUGGAUCUCACUCUGCUUGGGGCUCGGCUGCUUGAGUUUACCUGUCAGAAGAAGGAAAGUUAGUAAAAUAAAGCAGAGAGAAGAGAAGCCGGCCUAUCAAUUGGUAUCUCGGGAACCUACCGGCAAUCUGGAAUGUCGUGGGGACCGGGAAGCUAAGGGGUGUUCCCGAUGGCGAUUCCCAAUCGCUGGAGAGUAGCACCAGCCGAUUCCUCCACGACUUUUGAGAAGUCGGCACCGAGCUGAUAAAGUGGCCCCGCUCGGAAGCCUUCAGGCAGUUCGCCUGAACCCAGCCGCCGUGAUCGGCGCUCUUGGACUUGGUAAUGCUGUAUAAGUACAAGAACUGCUCGUAGGAAGGCUCCCCCUCCUCGGCAAUUUCGAACGCAGCAAUUACCUCCAUCAGGGCCACCCAGAAGUUGGGGUUGUACUGGCCGGGAGCGUACCCGAUCUGGGCAACGGCAACCGAACCCCUUGCAGAAGAACAUCGGUGAAGAAGGUCACCUCGCCGUUCGCUGGGUCGCUGAGGGACUCGACAGGGCUCGGUAUCCUCAUCUUCACCGAAUCCGGAAUGAGGUACUCAGCCCUAAUCCUCUCCAGCUCUCGUUCGGUGAUCUUGUUGGGCUCCAAGUAGUCGACCCCGAACAGAGGCUUCUUGGGCACACCCACCGGUAUCCUAGGCUGCUCCCGGUGGAUGAUCGUCACCCUUGGCCGAGAGGGACCGGCAAUGCCCUCACCGCGACCGGAGGUGGAGGCCUCAGGCUGAUGCUCCAACGGGCCGACGCGGGUACCGUCUUUGUACACCGCGGCCAACGGUAGCGGUUGCCCCGUCAUAAGGCCCUUGCCGAUGCCAUGGGUGGGAAUGGAGUUUACCUCCUCACCGAAUAAUUCAACAUCGGUGUCUUCUCCACCCUCGGCGUCGAGGCUUACAGCCCCGCUGGACGUAUCCCAGUCCGAUGCCAACUCCCCAUCGAACGCGUUGGGCUCACUGCCGAACGGCGACUCGCUAUCGGACAUCUACAAAACAAAGAAAGGGAAGCUAAGGCCCGUGCCACAAACUACCCUACCGAUACCUACGUCGCUACCUAUGGCCACCCGACUACCGAAGGAAAAUCCUACUUAACGUUCGGCUAGCCUAUGCCAUGGAAAGACGUAUAAUUACAUAAAAAGAGAGUAUUCGGGGGAUACCGAAUGGUAUCUUACCUUGAGUAGGGUGGGAUGAUUUGAUCGCCGAUCAGAUACUUCGGAAAUCGCCCUGUAUGCCGAGAACCGCUCUAAAAAAUCGCCUUGAUUGCCGUUCACUCUAUUCGGAAAUCGCCUUGAUUGUCGUUCACUCUAUUCGGAAAUCGCGUUGAUUGCCGUUCACUCUCUUCGGAAAUCGCACUCAUAGAGCUCUCGCUUCAACUCACAAUUGCAAAGUGAGCCUUACGACCUGAGCAAUCUCUAUUUAUAGAGAGAGAGCUGUAACGGUACGCCUCGGGAGACUAAACGGCUCUUUAAUGCGCCGUCAGACGUGCUUUUGCUGGCCACGCGUCACCCGACGAAUGGCGCGGCUGACUGCACGCCAGGCACGGAAGACGAAGCGUCUCUCUGCCCUCUCGCCUCUCAGCAUCAACGACCCCUCGAGUCCCAGGCCAAUCUCCCCAGAACGAGCCUACCGUUCGGCAGGUUAACCUCCGAACCGCCAUAGAGAACUAAAAUUCCCUUCCGAAGGACCUUCGGAAGAGAACUUGGGGGACUACUGUUUAUACCGAAAUAAACGGCCUAUGACCACCGAACACGUGGACAGGAUCGAUACUGAUCACAGAACCCCUUCGGCAUGCUUCCUACCGAAGCCGUCUAUCUUGGCCCUUUUUACCAUCGGACACGUGUCAUGCUCACAAUCCAUGUCCAGAGUCCCACAUCGAAAAUAUGAGCACAGUGCACACCUCCCAAGGCCUAUAUGAGAAACCCCUAUCCCCAAAAGGAAGGGAUCAGAACUAACGGUACGCUAUCGAUUGAUCUGUCAGUUAACUUUACUAAAACCGUACUUACUAAAGCAUCAGAGAGCCUUCGGCCGGUACCACACCGGUACCCCAAGGACUUACCGAACGUGUCCUUUUGUAGGUACUUACAUUUCCGAAGUAGAACAUCUUCCGAAGACAGUCACCUACCGAAGGGAUAAUAUCACUAAGUUGACGAAAUACGUGCUGAACCACUUUUUCGCAUCAACAGAUUUGAAACUCUGAGUUGGGUUGUAUGCUUCUUAUGCUUCUGUGCGUGUGCUGCUUAGAUGACACAUUCGACUUGUAAAUCAAAGCCAAAAUGGGUCCAACCGUUGCCGUCAUUAUCAAAAUUGCAAGCAUCAUUACUGAAAAAGUAUUGUGGUCCAAAACCUGCAUUUAUAUAUAUAUAUAUAUUUGCCAAUUAAAACAAUAUAAAAUCAGGAAUUUAACACAUGGUUUUAAGAUAUAUAUUUCUUAGAUGUAAUCUAUGUGUACUAUUAUUUAGGAGAACACUUGGUACCAUUGUGUUAAAUUUCGGAGAGACGGGCCAGCGGUCCAUUACCAGCAACACCAAUAUUAUCCCCAACUUGAUUAAUUAAUCAUGGAAUAUUGUGUGUAUGUGGUUGUGGAAGAGGCAGCUGCACAUGCAAUAAUGAAAUAGUUGUACAUAAUGUUGGCGUGACUUGUGGAUAUUGACUUACUUUCCUUACACACCAAGAAUUCCUAUUAUAAUUGUAAUUGAUUUAUUUUAAUUCCUGAUUUCCUACUGUAAAUGGAUUUAGGAAUUUAUUAUUUACUUGCCCAUUCAGGUUUCGUUGUAUUAUAAAUAUGACCUCCUACAAGGAGAAGAAUACACAGAAAAUUCCCACAAACAAAUAUUCUCUCAUAGUUUUCAUAUUUUAACAUGGUAUCAGAUCGGCGAUCUUGGAAUUGCUGACUCUAGUUUCAAACCCCCGCCGCCGCUAUGGGGGUUGAUGAUUUUUUCAACCCUCAUGGAGGUAGCACCACCGACUCCUUCUCUCAUUCUCAACCAACCAUCGUUGAGUUGAGUGCCCAGAUGGCUCAGCUCCUACAGAUGCAGACUUUGACCCCGAACCCGAUCCAGAAUCAGGAUCCUCUUUUGACGACCCCGACUAUGAUGAUGACGACCCCGACUAUGAUGAUGACGACCCCGACCCCCACUCCGAUGACAACCCCGACCUCGAAUUUGUCUCUGCUUCAGACCCCGAUACCGAUUUCGACUCCGACUCCGGCCCCGACUCAGGCUCAGAUUCCGAUCCAAAUUCCUACUCAACCUGUAUCCUAUGCAUCUUCCGUUGCACAGAUUAUGACUUCUCGACUAACGACCCCGACACAUGGACCAGAUUGCGCAUAUUGUGGUGAUCCGAGACACACUUGUGAGACUUGUUUUAAAUUGCAUGGCUACCCCGAUUGGUGGGCUACUUUUACAGAUCGAGGACAAUGCAAUAUGACCAGUAAUGGUACUGGUUAUGGAUUCCAUACUUCCGAUAAGAUUGAUUCCAGGAGCUGGAUAAUUGAUUCUGGUGCAACUGAUCAUAUGACGUUUGAUCCUGAUGAUUUUCUGAAUACUACACAACCUCGACGAACCUGUAUUGCGAAUGCCAAUGGUGUUACUUAUCCUGUGACAGGGGCUGGCACUGUUGCACUUUCAUCCUCUCUCACACUGUCUAAUACUUUACUUGUUCCAUCUUUAUCCACUAAAUUGUUGUCAGUUAGUCAGCUUACUGAACAAUUGAAUUGUUGUGUACUCAUUACCCGAGUUUUUUGUUUGCUUCAGGAUAUUCACACUAAGGAGAUUCUUGGUCGUGGUACUAAGAGAGGGGGGCUAUAUUAUGUCGAUGACUUCAGUCCCGGCGUGGCUAACAGUGUGACACAUCCCUUUGAUAGCAAACAAAAGCAAAUCUGGUUGUGGCACCGUUUAUUGGGACAUCCGUCUUUUCGUUAUAUGAAGCAUCUUAUACCAGAUUUAUUCUCAGGUUUCAAGGACUCCGACUUCACAUGUGAUACUUGUAUUUUGGCCAAGAGUCACUGUGUGCCCUACCCGUUGAGUACGAACAAGUGUACUACUCCAUUUACCUUAAUUCACUCUGAUGUCUGGGGACCUUCGCCUAUCACUGCUCCUUCUGGUGUUCGAUGGUUUGUCACAUUCAUCGAUGAUUGUACACGGAUGACAUGGCUUUAUUUGUUGAAGAAUAAAAACGAAGUGUUUUUCCGUUUUCAGUCCUUCCAUAAACAGAUGAAAACUCAGUUUAAUGCUCAAAUCCAGAUUCUUCGCUCAGACAAUGGUGGAGAAUUUGUCAAUCAUGAUUUUCAGACUUACUUCCAACAACAUGGAAUUAUCCAUGAGACGACUUGUCCUCAAACACCGCAGCAAAAUGGCAUUGCUGAACAAAAGAAUCGACAUCUUCUUAAAACCGCCCGAGCACUUCUGAUUGGCGCUCAUGUUCCUGGCCAUCACUGGGAUGAUGCUAUUGUCACCGCAGUUCACCUGAUCAACCGCAUGCCUUCUGGUGUAUUGAUCUUUAAAACUCCCUUACAGGUGCUUGCAGAACACAGACCUCUGCCCUCUGUUUUGGUACUCACACCCCGAAUCUUUGGAUGUGUGGCUUUCGUUCAUCUCCACAAAAAUCAACGUAGCAAACUUGAUCCCUGUGCGCUUCGUUGUGUUUUUGUGGGUUAUGCCACUCAUCAAAAAGGUUACCGCUGUUAUCACCCUCCUACCCAACGAACCUAUGUCACUUUGGAUGUGACCUUUCUGGAAUCUGAGCUGUUCUUCCAUGACCCAUCAUCCAAUUCUACACUUCAAGGGGAGAUACAAAGUGAAGAGCAGAAUUGAAGCAACUUGGAAAACAAAGAAAUUAUUCUCUGUACAGAAAUGAUUGAUCAUCCCGAGUCUGGAGCACGAGAUUACUCUCUGUCGAAAAGCGACCAAUCACCCAUUCAUAGCGAUCAAUUGCCUAACCCACCUGAUCCAUGCGAAGAUAUUUCUGAUCCGAGUUUCACACCUAUAGGCAAUACAGAACAACAAGAUGAAGACCCCCUCUCUAACUCAAUAGUACCAACAGACCAAUCUCCUGAGAAUAUCCUUGAGGUAACUACUCCUACUAGACUUGUACAUUUAGAUGAUAAAACUAUUGGAUAUCAAUUACCUUUCAGGCAAAAUCGUGGGAAGCCACCAAACCGUUAUUCACCUGAUAUUGGCAAGACAUCCAAGUAUCCAAUUGCAAAUCAUGUAUCCACUGAGAAGCUGUCUGAACCACUCAAGGCUUUUGUGCAUCAGUUGUCUGCUAUCUAUAUUCCAACCAAGGUCUCUGAAGCAUUGAAAGAUCCUAAGUGGGUCCAAGCUAUAAAAGAGGAGAUGAAAGCUCUUGAGAAAAAUCAAACUUGGACAUUGGAGACUAUACCACGAGGAAAAAAAACUAUCGGAUGUAGAUGGGUGUUUACUAUAAAACACAAUGCAGAUGGAUCUAUCGAGCGAUACAAGGCAAGACUUGUGGCAAAAGGGUACACACAGACCUAUGGUAUAGACUAUGAAGAAACCUUUGCUCCAGUUGCAAAGUUAAACACCGUCAGAGUCUUAUUGUCCCUUGCAGCUAAUUUGGAUUGGCCACUACACCAGUUUGAUGUAAAGAAUGCUUUUCUACAUGGCGAACUCACGGAGGAGGUGUACAUGGACAUUCCUCCUGGAUAUAAUACUUCUCAGACUGGAACAGUUUGCAGGUUACGAAAAGCAUUGUAUGGAUUGAAACAAUCACCACGUGCAUGGUUUGGACGGUUCACCAUGGCAAUGAAGAACAAUGGUUUCAACAGUGUAACUCAGAUCAUACUCUGUUCUUGAAACAUCGAAAAGGGAAGGUAACAUCAUUAAUAAUCUAUGUUGAUGAUAUGAUUAUUACUGGGAAUGAUAAACAGGAAAUAUCACAGCUACAAGACUAUCUGGCUACGGAGUUUGAGAUGAAAUAUCUAGGUGGACUCAAGUAUUUCUUGGGAAUUAAGGUGGCUCGAUCACAGCAAGGCAUAUUUCUCUCUCAAAGGAAAUAUGUCUUGGACUUGUUGACAGACACAGGAAUGCUAGAUUGCAAACCUGCGGACACUCCUAUUGUUCAGAAUCAUCAUCUUGGAGAAUAUCCGUAUCAAGUUCCAACUAACAAAGAAAGAUACCAAAGGUUAGUGGGAAGAUUGAUCUAUUUGUCACAUACUCGACCAGACACUACUACAAAAAAGCAAAAAGACGAUGGUAAAUCACCGUCGUGUAUUCGGUUUUUCAAUGGUCGUGGAAUCCACCGUCAUCUUUUCCCUCAUAAACCACGACGCUAAAUCACCGUCGUUGUUAAAAUAUACAACGUCAUCAACAAAUACAAAACGACGUCUUUGUACUGCAAAAAGAUCUAAAAAAGCAGUCGAGGAUGAGAAUAGACGACCAACUCUCUAAACAAACCGUCGUUAAAAAGGAAAAAUAUGACACAUAUUAACAGAACAAGGCCGCAAGAUAGACAUACAACGACGAAAAUUAAAAUAAGACGACGUUAAAUAUCAUUUUCACGACAAUAAAAAAUAUGACGUCUUUAAAUACAUUAGAAGACGACGUUAUUGAUACCUACUACGUCGCCUAUAUAAAAACAGCCGUCGUAAAAUAAAUUUUCCACUUCGAUUUUUUUAUAAAAGAUGACGUGGAAAUAGUUGUCAGUGUCAUUAUUUACGACGUAUGUAUUUAUAGAGUAGACGUUGAACAACGAAACAACGUCGGUUACAAAUAUAUGAGAGUCGUAUUACAAAAUUUAUACGUCCUAUUUUCAGAAACAAACAACGACGAUAAAUAUUAGACGUUGUUAAAUAAAACAACGUCGAAAACAAAUAAAAACAGACAUGUUAAGUCUGCUAAAGUUCUAAAAAAUAGUCGAGGAUGAGAAUAGACGACCAACUCAAACAAAUCACCGUCGUUAAAAGGGAAAAAUAUGACACGACAACUAAAACACUACGCCGUUAAAUAUAAUUUUUACGACAAGAAAAAAUAUGACGCCUUUAAAUACAUGAGAAGACGACGUUAUUGAAAUCUACUACGUCUCUUAUUUACAAACAACCGUCGUGAAAUAAAUUUUCCACUUCGAUUUUUCUAAAAAAGAUGACGUGGAAAUAGUUGUCAGUGUCAUUAUUUACGACGUAUGUAUUUAUAUAGUUGACGUUGAAAUGCGAAACGACGUCGGUGGCAUUUAUAUAGUCGACGUUGUAUUUAUAUGUAUUCAUUACUCACGACGCACUUAAUAAUAUAGACGACGUUGAACUUCUAAACAACGUCGGUUCCAAAUAAAUGAGAGCCGUAUUACAGAACAUAUAGACGGCGUUGAUUAUGAUGAGAGCCGUAUUACAAAUAACGUCGUUUAAUUGUUAUUAGACGGCGGUUAUAAUGAAUUACCGUCGGAAUUCAUUUCGUUCCUCUUCGUUUAUAAAAGAACUUGCGACGUGGAAAAUUUAUGAUGACGUCGUAUUUUUUAACGUUCAGAUUAUAUAUCUCGUUUUUUAGACGUCGGUAUUAUGGGAUUGGAGUCGUGUUAUUUUGGAUUACAUGGCGGUUCUUAAUCCUUCCCCGACGUGAUAUCCUGAAUAAUGCUUCACAAUAGCGUCGUGGUUCUUCAUUGUUACGUUGCUUUAAGACGUCGGNNNNNNNNNNNNNNNNNNNNNNNNNNNNNNNNNNNNNNNNNNNNNNNNNNNNNNNNNNNNNNNNNNNNNNNNNNNNNNNNNNNNNNNNNNNNNNNNNNNNGGAGUCGUGUUAUUUUGAUUACAUGGCGGUUCUUAAUCCUUCCCCGACGUGAUAUCCUGAAUAAUUGCUUCACAAUAGCGUCGUGGUUCUUCAUUGUUACGUUGCUUUAAGACGUCGGUAAAUAUGCUGAAUAACUGGUUCACAAUAACGUCGUGUUUUAUUUGAACGUAGAAAGUGAAGAAAUCACAUUACAAUAUAUUACAAAAUUAAUGUCAUACACUGCCAAUUACAUAAGCAUCAUUCAAUCCAUAUAUCUUCACACCCAUCUCGAAUAUUUUGACCACCUAACUCACCCACCAGUUCAUCAAAUGUGUCAACAUUUGGCAUCCCUCUAGUAAAUGGCUCACACUCAAUUAUCACAUCACCUAAGACUUCAUCACCAAUAACAUCAUUAUAUUCUCUAUUAGGCAUUGAUAACACUACCGACCAACCACGAUGCAUCGGGUCGUCAACAAAAAAUAUUUGUUUGACUUGAGAAGCCAAAACAAAUUGGUCAUUCCUAUGUCCAAUUUUACUCAAAUCUACAAGGGUAAAUCCAAGUUCGUCGACUACAAGACCAGAACUAUCUAUCCAAUCACACCUAAAGACUGGGAUUGUAAACUUUUGGUAGUCAAGGUCCCAAAUUUCUUGAAUGACACCAUAGAAACCCAUAUUUGAGAGAAUUGGGUUUUUAUCCUUGGCACUAGCAACUUGCAUGGUAUGUGCAAGUAAAUAAACUCCACUAUUUUGAGUUGUCCGCACAUCAUCUUGUGCCUUGAUAUUGAAUUUAAUACCUUUAAUAAGAUAGCUCCUAUAUAAUGGCACUGACAUGUUUGGACCAGCUGCUAGCCACCUUAAAUUUUCUGAUACGCCAUGAUUGUCUUCCUCAAGUUCACUUUGAACCUGCAAAUUAAUCAUGUCUUAAUUCAAUCUAACAUAUAAAUAAGAAGAAAAUUAAAAGAGAAAUAUGUUAUUCAACAACAUAUACCUUGAAGCGUAGCCAUUAAAUGAAAGUGCUAUUGUGCUUAUCCUGCAGCCACUUUGUUCUCUUUCUAAAUUUUGGAUAAGCAGUCUUGAUGUGGAUCAUAUGUUGCCUACAUGACACGAAAAAUUCAAGCAUUAUGGUCCCAAAUAUAGAAGAUAAACAUAAGAAAUAAUUUAAAAUGGAAACUUAAAGAAUAAAACUCAUACGUACUCGAUAUAAGGUAGGACUUCCUCUGUAUUCUCCAAGACAUAUAGAUGUGCUUGAUUCAACAGGUCCUGAUCAACUACGCUCACUGUGCAACCUGAUAAUGGCUUUGAAAGUCCCAUCUUUUGGCUUGAAGGCACUCCAACUGUACUAACAUCAGAUAAAUGCUGAGUACAAAACUCUACCGCUUCUUCAGCUAUAUACCGCUCAGCAAUGCAACCUUCGGGAGGAGUACGAUUCUGAACAUACCCCUUCAGCACUUUCAUAUAUCUUUCAAACGGAUACAUCCACCUAAAAUAUACUGGCCCACAUAGACGAACUUCUCUGACAAGAUGUACUACUAGAUGAACCAUGAUAUCAAAGAAUGAAGGGGGAAAGUACUUCUCAAGCAAACACAGAGUAACUACUACAUCUUCUUCCAACUUAUCUAGCUUGGAAACAUCAACAGUCCUUGCACAUAUAGCAUUGAAGAAGAAACACAAACGAGUUAUUGCAUACCUUGCAGGCUUCUCCAAAACAGAACGAAUUGCCACAGGGAGCAAUUGUUGCAUUAAGGUAUGACAAUCAUGUGAUUUAAGGCCAAGAAGUCUUGAAUCUUGUAAAGAUACAAGUUUUUAAUAUUUGAAGAAUAACCUUCAGGGACCUUCAUACCAUAGAAAGAAUUGCAAACCUCUCUCUUCUCUGCUCUUGACAAAUUCCAAGGCCCAGGAGGCAAACGAGUACGUCUUUCUCCAUACUCGGGUUGCAAAUCAGUUUUGACCCCCAUGUUCAAUAAAUCUAAUCGAGCAGCAAUCCCAUCUUUAUUUUUUCCAGGGAUCUCCAGCAAUGUACCAAUGAUACUAUCGCAAACAUUCUUCUCAAUGUGCAUAACAUCUAGGGCAUGCCUCACAGGAAGGUAUUUCCAAUACUCGAGAUCAAAGAAUAUUGAUUUCUUCUUCCAACAAACUCUGUCACCAUUUUCAACCAUAUGCAGCACUUCUUCUCCGGUUAAUGGCUCGGGAGGUAUGCCAUAUUCAGGUUUCCCAUUAAAAGCUGCACGUUGCCUCCUAUAUGGAUGAUUGAUUGGUAACCAUUUUCUAUGCCCAAUGUAACAAAUUUUGUGGCCAUUUUUCAACCUGUGACUAGGUGUAUCAUCGCCGCAUAUUGGACAAGCUUUAUAUCCUUUAACAACACAACCAUAUAAGUUUCCAUAGGCGGGGAAAUCAUUAAUUGUCCACAUUAAUGCAGCUCUGAGUGUAAAGUAUUCUCUAUUAUGUGCAUCAUACACUCCUCUAAUCCCAUCCCACAAAGAUUUUAAAUCAUCAAUCAAAGGCUCCAAGUAGACGUCUAUAUCAUUUCCGGGUUGUUUAGGACCGGAAAUCAAUAAGGUUAACAUCAUGAACUUUCGUUUCAUGCACAGCCAUGGAGGGAGAUUAUAUGUAACUAAGAUAACCGGCCAACAACUAUAUCUGCUACUUAGAGAACUGUGGGGAUUGAAUCCAUCAGAUGAAAGAGCCAAUCUCAAGUUUCUCGGCUCAUUACCAAACUCAGGCCAUUUAUCAUCAAGAAGUUUCCAAGACGGGGAAUCCGCCGGAUGAGACAUCUGACCGUCAAUUGAUUUUCUAGCAGCAUGCCAAGUCAAACUCUUAGCUGUCUCAUGUGAUUGAAACAUCCUUUUAAACCUUGGAAUUGGAGGAAAAUACCACACCACCUUCGCUGGCACACCCUCUUUCAAGAUUGAAUCUUUGCCUUCCUUCCACCUUGAGAUACCACAAGUAGGACAAUUAGUUGAAUCCUCAUACUCCUUCCUAUACAAGAUGCAAUCAUUGGGGCAUGCGUGCAUUUUCUCAUAACUCGGCCCCAAUGCACACAAAGUCUUUUUAGCCUCAUACAUAGAGGUUGGUAUUGUAUUUCCUUCUGGAAGCAAAUCGCCUUGAAGUAUCAAUAAUUCUGUAAAACAGACAUCACUCAUCCCAUGUUUUGCCUUCAAAUUAUACAACUUCACUAAUGCCGAUAACUUCGUGUACUUUCUACAACCAGGGUAUACUGGUUGAUCUCCAUCCCCAAUCACAUUGACAAACUCAUACGGAUCGGAACCAAAAUCACCAAAAUCAUUAUCAUCCAUAUCAAUUUCUUCAGACACAAAACUGUACCUACUAUGGCCAUCAUCUUCUUCAACAUUUCUACUAGCAUUAGUAGUUGCUUCCCAAGGUUCUCCGUGAAAUGUCCAAUUCUUAUAGCUUUGGUCAAUUCCAUUAAAGUAUAAGUGAUCCCUUAUAAUUCCAACCCCAAACAACUUCAAAUUAACACAUUUAACACAUGGACAACGGAUAUGUGUUGUAGUUAGAAGAUUUUCUACAGCAAAGUUCAAAAAUGCUUCCACCCCAAACUCAUAUGCCUUCGAUCUUCUAUCCGAGUGCAUCCAUGACUUAUCCAUCUCCGACACUAUAACCUAUUAUCUAUAAUAAAGUGAAAAUACAGGCAAUGACCAUCACUAUAGCAGAUUAUACAAAGAUCUAAUAGCAAGUAAUACACAACAGAGACGACGGGUUUUAAACAAAAACAGACGUAUUUGGCAUAUAUAGACGACGGAUUUUCAACAGACGUCGUCUAAUAUAAGUAAUACAAACGACGGGUUUAUGAAAAAACCGUCGUGUAUAAGUAAUACAACGACGGUUUUUUCAUAAACCGUCGUGUAAUCGUCGUCGUAUGCCUAAAAAGGCGUCGUGUCUCAGUUUAUUUUCAAGAACCCAAAACCCAUUAAGAACACAACAUAUAUAUGAAACCAAGCAAGAAACCAACAUAUACAUGAAACCAAGCAUGAAAACAAUAAAUCCAUUCCCAAUUCAACAUAACAUAGGGUGAUUAAAAGAUCCGACAAAAUUAAAUCCAUUCCCAAUUCAACAUAACAGAUAAUGUAAUCCAUGAACCCAUUAAACAGAAAAUCCAUGAACCCAUUAAACAGAAAAUCCAUGAACCCAUUAAACAGAAAAUCCAUGAACCCAUACCUAUAAGCACAUUAUUAACAGAUCGCAAAGCAUAUACCUAAAACCCUUUAACAAAACAACCUAAUAUCAUUCAAUGAAUUUACAAGGGGAAGAUAGGGUUUGUACUUACAGGUUGGAUGAGCUCACAGAUUUGACGGAGCCUGGAGAGUGCAACUUUUAAUUAGAGCAGAAGUGAGAGAGCGAAAUGUUAUGUUGCGCGAAAUUUGAAAAUUUUAGGGUUCAGGGUUAGAAGUAUAAGAAUAAGAGCCAAAUAUAAAAAAAAUUUAGGGCGCGCGAAAAUUUUUAGAGCGCGCGCUCUUUAAAACGUCGAAAGAAAAACCCAAAACGACGGAAACACUGAACGUAACGCCGUUUAUUUUGACGCUUCAUUUUUCGGAUUAAUUUUAAAUUUAUUUUGAAUAUUUUGAUAUAAAGACGACUGAAAAACCACGUCGGGGUUAAAAAAUUGAAAACGUUGUAAAUUAUAAUAGACGACUUACAUAUUAAAAUGACGUCGUUUAAAGUAGAAACCAUGUCGGAUAUUUUACUGCACGACGUAACAUAUGUAUUCCAUGACUCAACCACCGUCGUUAACAAUUAAUACCCUAAACCCUUAAAACUAAAUUAUAUAAUUUUUAAAAUUAAGUUUAUAAAAGGGUUUAUGGUUUUACAGCCUAAUAUAUACCCUAGACUACCCAAAAAUUAUACUUUAAAAAUAAACCCCAAUAAAUAACAACCCUAAUCUCUAAACCCUAGACUCUAAACCCUAAACCAUAAAACUAGAAGUGAUUUUAUGACUCAUCAAAACAAUUUUGUUUUGGAUGGUCAUUUUAAAUUUUUGUUAUUCAAAAUGAAUUUUUUCAAGGUUUAGGGGGAAGAAAAUAUAUCAAUGACUUCAUAGGAGUUGACUUUGCAUUUUUCUGAUUUAUUUUAAAUUUAUUUUGAAUAUUUUGAUAUAAAAAUAAUAAAAUAUUCUUAACACAACAACAAACCACGUCGGUGUUAAUAAACUGUAGACGUUGAAAAUUGUAAUAGACGACUAAGUUGUUAAAAUGACGUCGUUUAAAUGAGAAACCAUGGCGGAUAUUUAACUAUCCGACGUAAAAUAUAUAUUCCACGACUUAACCGCUGUCGUUACAAAGUACUACCCUGAACCCUUAAGAAAUUGAAGACGUUGUAAACCAUAAACGACUCAAUUGUUCAAAGAACGUCUACUAAAUAUCCUUUUACGUCGGAUUUGUUUAAAACGAAACAACAAAAAACGACGGCUUUUGACUUUAUUACGUCGUUGGAAAAGUAUUACACGUCGGUUACGCAAUUUGUAUGUUUGUUUUUUUUUUAAUUUAAGAAAACCUCAACAAAUUUUUACAUUAUAUAUUAUAGACAAAAUUUGUACAUUAUACAUAAAUAUCAAGUGUUCAAUAAUUCCCCUAUUCCAGGUGAAGGCAAACAAACUCUGCCCAUUCAUUCCGGACUUCAUCAAUUGCUUCUUGGGGGUAUGGCUCUUCCUGUUUUCCCUUGGCAUACUGCAUAAACAAUGACUAUUAGGGUUUAUAAAUAAAAGGAAAUUCAAUCACAGACGACCAUAACCGACGUAGUAUAUCUAUUCAACGACGGUAAUUUUACAUGACCGUCGUUGAUAAUACAAAAAACGACGUAAAAUGUAUGAAGGUAAUUUCUUCUUACCUUCUUCUCAAACCCCAAGGAAGGAUCCAUGAUGAUGUCCCUCAUGAAGCGCAUCACAUAAUACCCGCAUUCGACACUGCUGGGUUGCUUUGGUGUGCCUGACAGAGUUUUCCAAAUUACUGCCUUACGGCCUGAUCUGGCUAUGUGAGAAUUAUAAAUUUUUAUAGCACUGUUCACGAUGUUUUUGGCCUCUUCAUCGACCACACGAUUUCCUGGCAGAGGAUCCAGAAAAUAGACGGUUUCCCUCUUUGCUCUUACAAUCAGCAAGAUCCAAUGACGGCUGCACAAAAUUAAUAUAAAAACGACGGUUAUUUACAAAAACGAUGUAUUAUAAUAUUUCACACGACGAAAUAAAGUAGCAAUCGACGACAUUAUAUAUUUAUCACGACGAUAAAUAACUACCGACGUGGUUAGUAGUUUCAAACGACUCAAUAAAAUAAAACACCGACGUGGUUAGUUUAUACGCUGUCAUUUAUUGAAAAUCAUAAAAACAAAAUCCUGUUAAGGAGACAAACCCUGGAUUGUAAGGCAUCAUGAAAAUCUGUUCACCGUCAGUCCUCUGAAGUCGUGCUGCUACCAGGCGUGAUCUGUCAGCUAUUGUGCCAGAGCUGGCACUAACUGUAGCAGGGUCGAUAAAGCCAACCAUGCUGCACAUAUUUGCUUGUUUCAAAACAUCGUGUAAGUACCUAAAUAUAUAAAAUAAUAUAAACAAGUCAGCACAAAAAAACACACGACGGUUAUGUAUAACAAAACGACGUAUUAUAAAAUUUCACACGACGUACUGAAAUAGACAACGACGUUAUAAUAUAUUUAUCACGACGGUACAUACUAACGACGUGGUUAGUUAGUUAAGACGACGCAAUAAAUAAACCAACGACGUAUUAUUUUAGAAUGACAAACCUCAUAUAUACAGCAAUGACAGUAGCUCCUAUUUCCUCCAUGCCUGCAAAUUGUGUAAUAAAAUUUCACACGACGUACUGAAAUAGACAACGACGUUAUACCUCCUUAUCAAUUGUAAAGUGCAUACUAACGACGUGGUUAGUUAGUUAAGACGACGCAAUAAAUAAACCAACGACGUAUUAUUUUAGAAUGACAAACCUCAUAUAUACAGCAAUGACUGACGAUGCAAUAAAUAAACCAACGACGUAUUAUUUUAGAAUGACAAACCUCAUAUAUACAGCAAUGACUGUAGCUCCUAUUUCCUUCAUGCCUGCAAAUUGUGUAAUAUCUUCAGGCAGGAGGAAGGUAUCGCGCUCUAGACCAAACACCUCCUUAUCAAUUGUAAAGUGCAGGGUCUUAUCCUGAGGCACGAGUGUCGUUUCCACAUAACGACAAAGGGAUUUUAAAGAAGAUGGCGCCUCCAUAUUUGAAUAAUCAACAACUUUAAUAACCUGUUUAAAGAAAUAAAAAAAAUGACGUGGUAAUUCAAUAAAAACGACGGUUUAAGGAAUAAAACGUCGUCUGAAAAGAAUUUAAACGACGGUGAAAAACCGUCGUGGUGAAUAAUUUAUUACGUCUUAGAAAAAAAUUCCGCCGUCUAAGUUGUAAACAAACGACGGUUUAAAGAAAAAUAUCGACGUCUGGAAUUUUGAAAAACAAAUAAAAAAGGCAAAGUUAUGUGAACAUACCUGGUCGUCAUCUUCUUUCUCCUUUUCAUCUUGUUUUUCUUCUUUAUUCUCUUCAUAUAUGACGUCGGGAAUGAUUAACUCCGUCAUCUAAAAACCACAAAGUUUUAAAAAUAACGACGUUUAAUGGCAUGUAAAACAAGUAAACUAAAUACGACGUGGUAUUGAAAUACAAACGACGGUUUAUUUUUAAAAUCGUCGUGGUAUGUAUUUCAAACGACGGUUUUAUUAAUAAUAACGACGUCUAAUGGUUUUUAAAAAAACAGAGAAUUCAAAGUUCAGAUAUGUUACCUUUUCUUCCUGAUGUUUCCCAUUUUUGGCAGUAUCAUCCUCAAAAUGCUGGGAUCUCACAUCACCUCCAGAGCAGCUUGCUUUGUCAGACAUUGGAUUUUUGGGACUUUGGCUAAUUCUGGGUUUAAGCAUGCUUGGAUCAAAAUUGGGAAUUAAUUGGGAAAGCUGACUCAGGAAAUGCUCCCUCUCAGCCUCUACCAAUUGUUUCGUUCUAGCCUCCAUCCUUAAAGCCUCUUCCCUUGCCUUAGCUUCCAUCUUUUUAGUCUCUUCUUGAAUGAGAACUCUUAAACUGUCCUUCAAACGGUCGUCAAAGCUCACUCUCUGUGGUUUGGGUAAAUUGAAAUAUUGCCUUGGUGAGAUCCCAGCACCUACUCCUCUCACUCUGCCUGGAUGCUCGGGGCCCAAAGCCAUGGUCAGCACAUCAUUGCUGCCAGAAACAGUGACUUUGCCUUCCGAGACUUGUUUUUGCAAUUCAUCCUAAAACAAAGAUAUAUAAAAAAGUAAGAACAAAAACACACGAUGGUUAUUUAUAUACAAACGACGUAUUAUAUAAUUUCACACGACGCAAUAACAUAUAAAUCGACGUUAUUAUAAUUUAUCACGACGGUAGUUAUACCGACGUGGUUAGUUUUUAAAACGACGAAAUGAAUAAACCACCGACGUCUUAUGCUUUAUUUACAGAUAACAGAGGGAUGAUUCAAUAUUCACACCUUUAACGACCUUGUUUAAAACAUUUCGACGUAGUAAUUUAAUACAAACGACGCGAAAAUGAACCACGGACAUCUUAUGCUAUAAUUACAUAAAACAGAGUAGUGAUUCCUGAUUUAGACCUUUAACGACGUUUUUUAAAAAAUUUCGACGUGGUAAUAUCAUUCACACGACGCAAAAUAUAACAUAAGACGUAAUAAGAAUUAUUCACAGUUUAAUAAAAAUUUAAAACAGAGUGAGUAGGCUUACAAUUAAUUUUGCUUUCUCUGCCACCUUUGGAUCCGGGAUGUUACCAUGUUUGUCCUGUCUAGCUCUCUUCCAUAAGGUAGAUCGAUCAAUUUCUACCCCAGGCAUGGUUUCCUCCAAUUGAUCCUCCAAACCAGCAUAUCCUUUUCGAGACAAUCGAUGAUUGUACUCAAGUUUCUCCCUAAUCUGUGCAUGUUGAGAAUGCACAGACUCAAAAUCUUUGGAUAACCUUGAAGCUACAAAGGCAUCCCAUUGUGCUUUCUCUAUGAAUUUAUAUGUUUCAGGGGGUUGGCUUAAUCUCUCCCUGUCAUUGGUGUAUGGAAGGAUAUAAUGCCUCGUUAGUGUAGACUUGAAAUCCUUCCAUUUCUUGGCAGCAGAAGCUAACACAGAGUUCUUGCCCCCUUGACCUACCACAAAAGCAAUGACAACUGCUUCCCAAAUCUGCUCCUUUAUAUCCUUGGGGAUUUGAGCCCAUUUCAUGUCCACAAGUGGAACUCUGGAGCGUGCCAACACACCAAUGUAGGACUGCAUCUCACUAUGUGCUUGGCCAAUUCCUUUCCCCCUUUUAUUGUACUCAACAAUUGGCCUCAGUUUCUGAAGUUUUCUCUUCACAACACGAGGCAUUGUGCUCAUACCUCGACCAGACUUUGAAUCAUCAGAGAUUGUUGUCGUGCUGGUUUAUUCUGUCUCAGCAGAUGAUGAAGCAUACUUCAUCUUCUUCGAAGACUUCUCUUGAGGAGGUACCAUUCCAAGCUCCUUACCUCCAUUUUUCUUGGAGCCAGAAUCCUUACUUUGGUCUUGGUGAGAAACCAUUUUUACAGACAAAACUGCAAGUGAAAAUAUUUCAGGAAAAGAUUAAGAACACAAACGACGGUUAUUAAUAAAAUACGACGUAUGAUAUGAUUUUAAACGACGCAAUGAAAUAAUCUCAGACGUAAUAAAUGUUUAAAACCAAGGUAAUUAAACAACGACGAAAUAAUUAACUAUAAACGACGUGAUAAUUAACUAUAAACGACGAAAUAUUUAUAUAACGUCGUGGUAUUGAUGUUCACACGACGUCAGUAGUAAUAUACCGUCGUCUAUAUAAGGAUCCAAAACCCUUCUUUCUUUCUCUGUGAAUGUUUGAUUGCAGAUUUGAUUUUUCUGAACCAUGGUUUUUGUUUUCUAAUUUGAUAAAAUACAAGGCCAAGAAAGAAAGUUUUGGAAUCUUAUAUAGACGACGGUAUUUUAAUAUGACGUCGUGGUAUUAACAUUCACUCGACGUAAAACAAUAAGAUACUGUCGUCUAUAUUAGAUACCAACCCUACUUUCUUUUUCUUUAUAUUUUAUCAAAUUAGGGAAAAACAAAAACCAUUGUUCAGAGAAAUCAAACCUGCAAUUAAACAAGCAAAUAAAAAAAAGACUAUAAUUUUAAAAACAACUUUGUCAAUUUUCAGACGACGCUAGAACGACUGACGAACCGUCGUGGUCUACAUAUUUAACCACGUAAAUAAGAAGCUACCGUCAUCUUAUUUAGUUGAGGUAGUUGUCUUCAAAGUUGGAAACUUUUCCUCUUUGUCUGUAUAUUUUAUCGAACUUGGAAAGAAGUAAAAUGAUUUUGGCCAGAAAAAAGGUAAAAAGAUUUUUCAAACAAAAAACGUAUGAGCAUGCAAAACAGCAACCAAAAUAGUGAAAAUGAAAGCUUACCUUUUGCGUGCAAUAAAAGCAAGAGGAAGACUAUCGAUGUUUAAGUUCAGAGACGACGAAGAAGACGAGAGGAAGACGAUGAGAUACUCUGACAUUGCUCUGACAAGGAAAAAAGUCUAAAAGUUUUCUCUGGGAGAUUGAAAUUUUUAAUCGGGUUUGGAAACAGUGCAUGUGUAAGUCAGGUAGAUGAAAAGUUGCUUACAUAUAAAACCAUUUCAAAAAAAAAAUACGGCGGUUACAUAUAACGACGACGUAUAAAUUAGAAACUACGACGGUACAUUUAACUUCGGACGUGGUAAAUAAAGACGACAGUAGUGUUGUAGGUACCGUCGUAGUAAACUCAAAAAUUAAAGUACAUAAGUAAUAACUCGCGUCAUGGUAGAUUAUUUAACACGUCGUUUUUAUUAAUGUACCAACGUGGAUUUCUGUAAUAUACGUCGGUCAUACCGACGUUGAUUUUACAAUUUAAACGGCGGUUUUUUUGUAAGGACCGCCGUUGGUUUUAAAAAUUUAUUCUAUAAAUUUGUCGCUUUCAUUCAUUUUCGGUUUACCUUUAGGGUUCCAAGUUCUUCCUCUCUCAGAGACACUGUCUCUCACAUCUCAAAGACAAUAAUUUGGAUGUCUUUCUCAAAGAGAAAUUGAGCUUACUCGCAUCAAAUCUAUGUCCACAAGAAGAAGUUUGUCAACUAGCCUUCUCACUUCCUUGAUCAAGCCUGAUAGGACACUUAGUGCUUCUGAAUACUCCUUGCUUUCCAUCAAAAGAGAUGCAAGCCUGGCCUCCACUCGCUGUCGAAGGAAAGUUCGCUUCUCAGGGAAAUCUGAAGAUCAGAUGUGCCUGAUCCUCUGCUUGAUUUUCUUGGCUAAGAAGAUCCGUCAGAUUUGUGAUAGCCUCUUCCUUUAUCCGUAGAGCUUCAGAAGAAGAAGAUGGGUUUCAAGAAUGCGAUAAAGAAUAGAAAUGGCUUCAGAAUGCGAUAAAGCAUGAGCAAUCGAAUCAGUGCUUUGAACUAUACUUUGAACUAUACAAGUCAAUGCUUUGAACUAUACAAGUCCUGCAGAAAGAUAAAGGACCAAACUGUUAAAGAAACUGAAACUGUUAAAGAAACCCUAAACUAACACGACGCAAUAUUUGUUUUGCGACGUGGAAUCUUUUCAUUUAACGUCAUUAGGUUUAAUAUAACCGACGUGGAUUUGAAUUUUUAAAUUAUGAAUAGAAAUUUUUUUCCCGUGACCUUUCAGUUUAUUUUUCAAUUACAGUGCGUUAUAAAUAGAAUUUUUUUUCCGGAGGAAAUUUAAAAUGAAGGAAAUUAAUGUUCUGGAAUAUGUAAAGUUUCUUUUUUGGAUGACAGAUUUCAAUUCUUGUCAUUAAGUAGAUCUACCGACGUAGGAUAAGAAAAUAAAGGAAAAAAUUGUUAACAAAAAUUCUUAAUAAGACGACGGUUUAAAUUAAAGGUACGACGUAUAAAAUGAAUAAAUACGACGUUAAAUUUUAUAGUACGAUUUAAAGAUAACGUCGUAGAACUAUACUAGAAUGACGUCAAUAUAUUUAUAUUUUCCGUCGUUGUAAAUUAAUUUAAUACGGCGAUAUUUUGUAUUUUAAAGCCGUGGAUUUGUUUGUAAUUAUACGGCGUCUUAUACGAAAACCUCGUCGUGUUAUUUUAUGAGUAAAAACGGCGGCUUUUAUUGAAAUCGUCGUCUUUACUUUCUACGUCGGUCGAUUCAUAACUUCUGCCGUUCUUUGUUGGCUUUGAUUUUACACUGUGGAAAUCUGUUUCAAAUAGACGUCGGUUGUUUAAUUAGGUACGUCGUUGUUUUUGAACAGCCAUUUGAAUCUCCAUUUUUAGUUGUCUAAGGUGGUAUUACACGACGGUGUUUUUAGAACCGUCGUCUUUUUAAAAACCACGACGGUUUUCACUUAGACCGUCGUUGUUUUCUGGUCGUCUUUUUCACUUUUUGUAGUAGUGAGACAUUGCUUAUGCGGUGAACGUUGUUAGUCAAUUUAUGCACUCUCCAAGUGAAGAUCACAUGAAUGCAGUUCGGAUACUUAGAUAUUUGAAGUCUGCACCUGGAAAAGGACUUAUGUUCUCAAAGCAUGGUCAUCUAAAUAUUGAUGGUUAUUCAGAUGCAAAUUGGGCAGGUAAUGUAACAGAUAGAAAAUCCACAUCGGGUUACUUCACAUUCGUGGGAGGUAAUUUGGUGACAUGGAGGAGCAAGAAACAGAAUGUAGUAGCUUUAUCCAGUGCAGAAGCCGAGUUCAGAGGCAUGACUAAAGGCAUUUGUGAACUUCUUUGGUUAAGAAAGUUGCUUACUGAACUUGGGUAUAAACCUACAUCCACAAUGAAUCUCUUUUGUGACAACAAGGCUGCUAUAGCCAUUGCACAGAAUCCGGUUCAGCAUGAACGUACUAAACAUGUUGAGGUGGAUCGACACUUCAUCAAACAGAAACUUGAGGCUAAAGUGUUUCAGUUUCCUUUUGUGAAAUCCGAGGAUCAAUUGGCGGAUAUUUUGACAAAGGCAAUUUUCAGUAAAGCAUUCCACAAUUCACUAGAUCAAUUGGGCAUUGGCGACAUCUAUUUCCACGUCAUCUUUUAUAGAAAAAUCGAAGUGGAAAAUUUAUUUUACGACGGCUGUUUUUAUAUAGGCGACGUAGUAGGUAUCAAUAACGUCGUCUUCUAAUGUAUUUAAAGACGUCAUAUUUUUUAUUGUCGUGAAAAUGAUAUUUAACGGCGUCUUAUUUUAAUUUUCGUCGUUGUAUGUCUAUCUUGCGGCCUUGUUCUGUUAAUAUGUGUCAUAUUUUUCCUUUUUAACGACGGUUUUUUUAGAGAGUUGGUCGUCUAUUCUCAUCAUCGACUGCUUUUUUAGAUCUUUUUGCAGUACAAAGACGUCGUUUUGUAUUUGUUGAUGACGUUGUAUAUUUUAACAACGACGGUGAUUUAGCGUCGUGGUUUAUGAGAGAAAAGAUGACGGUGGAUUCCACGACCAUUGAAAAACCGAAUACACGACGGUGAUUUACCGUCGUCUUUUUGCUUUUUUGUAGUAGUGACCCCAAGUUGGCCAUUGUCUCUAUGGUUAAUGUGCUUUUGACUGGAAAUAGGUAUUUGCGAGAGAACUGGGUUUUCUGGAUAUAAGAUGGACCCAAAAUUAUGCCACCCUGCAAUGUGCGUGCCAAUGUAUUAUUAUUUGUCUUUGUCAUUAAAAUAUCAAUAUUAUAUGUAUAGAUGUGAUAUUCUCAAUGAAAAUUCGUGUUUCACCAGGUAAUUGUUUGUCUCUCGCUAUAAAAUUCUGAUAAUAAAGCAUAGAGCAUAGAGCAUAGAGAUAUAGAAGAGAAUUACAGCUUACUUACAAUAAUGCAAGCAACGAUGCGAGGUUGGUGCAAAGGUGCAAGGAGAAGCUUGAGAAGGUGGCAUAUAAACAUAAUGAGACCUAGUUGGGUGAAGAAGAGAGGAAGAGUUGAAAGCAAGGCAUUCUCAGCCUUCCACACCCCAGUCACGUGUGUUAUCGUUUUCUUAUAACAUACCCUCGUAACAUCUGCUUCUACUAUCCCGUCAUUGUCCCGUAGUGCAUCAUUCAUUACGUACGAUACUUAUAUUUGCAAUUCUUUUUUAUAAAAGCGUUGUUAAAGAAUUGGAGGAUUCAAACAAAAGACCUCAAAUGCAAAAGAAACUGCUCUUACCUACUUGAGCUACAAACUCUAUUUACAAAUUAGAUAAUAGGAAUUCAAGGUUUCUGUCAGCCCUUCCUAGCUACAUCAGGACGUCUUUCUUUUGCCUUGGAUGACGUCCAAAUCGCUAGAAACACCACUUUCAUCAAAGACAAAGACAAAGACUAUGACAAUGAAACUAGAAAAGAAAAGUGAUUGUUAUCAGACAACAAAAAUUAAAGAGGAAUGAAUAGAAAUCAAAGUUUCAAUACUGAGGGAUUAAUUAGUUAAUUAGUUGCGCCUAAACUAGCUGUAAACUCUUCUUAAUUUGUUGGCUGUUCGUUCAGUUUGGUUGGCAUCCACGCAUUAUUAGACUUUUAUUUUUAUUUUUGGUGGCAUCCAUAUAUGCAUUAGAAUCUUCUUAUUGAAUUGAAUAUUGGAUUGGUUGGCUGUUCGUUCUCUUCCAAUAAAGUUCUAAUGAAUCUCUACAUGUUUUGUUCUAUCAUAUUGAAUUGGAUUUUCAGCAAUCUUAAUUGCUAACUGAUUAUCACAAUACAACUGCAUAGUAUCCUCAGUACGAAAAUGCAGCUCCCCCAUAAGCCUUUUCAACCAUAGCAGUUCACGAACACCUUUCACCAUAGCCUGAUACUCGGAAAAUAGUAAGUAAACGCAAGAUAAGUAAGAAAUUGGAAUCAUUCUAAUACCCAUGUAUAAGUAAACGCUGGAAAAGAAGGAAUUGGAACGAUUCCGAUGCCUCUUUCUCUCUGUUGAAGUAAGUUUUCUUAAUGUUUUAUUAUUACUAAAAAUAAUUGACCGAAUAAAAUUUUGAAUAAGAGAUGUGGAUGUCCGACUCAAGCUACCAUAUAAAUUAGUUUACAAAUUAAUGUAUAUAGAAUUGUGGUAUGAGUUAAAGAAAGAGAUAUAAAAUUAUGGUAUAUGAGUUGUAUUAUUAUUGGUGCUUGAUAUGAUAUAAGAACAUGGUAGGCAAGCUUAGUUUGCGCUAGGCGCGCCCUCAAUGAGUGAGAAUGAAGGUAUUGAAGAAAGAUUCUGCUACUUUUGAGGAAAGAUUUACGGGACAGAUACUGCAUACAGUUGUUGUUGAUUUUGAUCUAUAAAAGUCAAACUGCGCAGCAUUAAGACAAAUGCCGCCCUAACUAGAAUCUUAAAUUUUAUAUGCCAAGUUGCCUGACCUUUCCUCCAAUCAUCAAAUUGGUCUUCACCCACAUCUCCACUUCUCCACCUACCAUUUUUAUGUUUUUAAAACCCUUAUUUUGGAUCUUGGCUUUCCCUACACAUCGCAUUCGUAGAAUCGAACCCUUCAUUUAUAGUUAAUAAAAGGCUUCUUCAAGUCUCUGCAGCUCAGAAAGUAGUUAGUUAGGCCAUGGCUGCUAGUCCUCCUCCAUAUAACCCCGUGCCGGUUGCGUACCAGGGAGGUGCCGGCGCGGUGCCAGUAUGGUUGAACAAAGGGGACAACGCAUGGCAAAUGGUUGCAGCCACACUCGUCGGCCUCCAAAGCGUGCCGGGUCUUGUCAUCCUGUACGGAAGCAUAGUAAAAAAGAAAUGGGCAGUGAACUCAGCUUUCAUGGCUCUCUACGCUUUUGCGGCGGUCGUAAUCUGCUGGGUGUCGUGGGCUUACAAGAUGUCGUUUGGGGACAAGCUCCUACCCUUCUGGGGCAAAACUGGCCCUGCCUUGGGCCAGAAGUUCCUCAUCAACCAGGCAGCUCUGCCUGCGAGCACGCACUACUUCAGCGACCACAAGACUGUGGAGACUGCUGAGAUCACACCCUGGUACCCGAUGGCGACCAUGGUGUGGUUUCAGUGCGUGUUUGCAGCCAUUACGCUGAUACUGCUGGCGGGGUCGGUGCUUGGGAGGAUGAACUUCAAGGCGUGGAUGAUGUUCGUGCCGCUUUGGCUUACAUUUUCGUACACUGUCGGAGCUUUCAGCUUGUGGGGUGGAGGGUUCUUGUUCCAUUGGGGUGUCAUGGACUAUUCCGGUGGUUAUGUCAUUCAUCUUUCUUCUGGGAUUGCUGGCUUCACCACUGCUUACUGGGUAAAUUAAUUAAAUAAUUAACUACGCUAUUGCUAGUUUUCUUUCUCUCCAUUAGUCAACGUCUACAGGCCUGGUAAUUAUUGAUUAAAUAGUGCAUUAAUUCCUUGUAAUUAUAAAACAGUGGCUUUAAUUUUUUUCGUUUUCUUCUUUGAAUUUAAUAGUGACUAAACUCACACGUACUAUACGGAUGCUAAGACUCGAACUCAAAACCUUUCCAAACCACCGUUACACUAGAAUCAAUAGGAUCGAAUAUAUAUAUAUUCCUUAAAGAAUUAAUAGGAUCAAAUUGUUGAGAUUCAAUUACAAGAUUCCCUGAAAAGGUGGAAGAAGAAACAAAAAGUCCUCCAUUAGGUUACUUAAAUUAAAACUGGCUUCUUAAUUAUUCAAAAGUAUCUGUGGAUGAAUCAUGCAUCAUCAGAAUCCUUAGACUUCGCAUCUCAUGCCUUAGACUUCCUCUUAAUUUCUGGUGGAAUCUAGAUAUCUUGUUACUUAAAGUUUCGCUUGAAACCUUUGUUGCUUGUGCUGCGUCACUAUUGCUCGUUUUCUUUCUCUCCAUUAGUCAACGUCUACUGGCCUGGUAAUUAUUGAUUAAAUAGUGCAUUAAUUCCUUGUAAUUAUAAAAUAGUGGCUUUAAGUUCUUUCGUUAUCUUCUUUGGAUUUAACAGUGGCUAAACUCAAAACCACCGUUACACUAGAAUCAAUAGGAUCAGAAUCUUUCCAAAUCACCGUUACACUAGAAUCAAUAGGAUCGAAUAUAUAUAUAUAUAUAUAUUCUUUAAAGAAUUAAUAGGAUCAAAUUGUUGAGAUUCAAUUACAAGAUCCCCUGAAAAGGUGGAAGAAGAAACAAAAAGUCCUCCCUUAGGUUACUUGAAUUAAAACUGGCUUCUUAAUUAUUCAAAAGUAUCUGUGGAUGAAUCAAUGCAGACUACUUAGACUUCACAUUUCAUGCCUUAAGACUUCGUGCAUAGUGAUCACAUAUUUUCUAUUCGCAAACUAUCUUUUAGAGUAAAGUCUACUAGGUUGGAAUAUUAUUAUUUUAAUUGGGUUACAAAGUUAUAAUAUUAACGAUGAUGACCUACAAAUAGUUUUAUUUUAUAUGUUGCCCCAUUUUUAAAUACUAUUUGGGUAAAUUGCGAAAAUGGUCCUCAAACUUGUAUGCGAUUUACAUUUUGGUCCCUAAAUUAAAUUAUUAGUCCAAAUGGCACAUAAACUCUAUGUUAAUCGCCCAUUUGAUCCAACCGUUACAUUCUGUCAAUAUUGCUGUUAAAUAUGAGGGCAAAUUGGUCAUUUCUUACGUUAAAAUAAAAAAAUAAUAUAAAAUAAAAUAAAAACUCAGUAAUUGGAAUAGGGGAGAAGAAAUCGAAGGGAGGGGGUUUGGGUCUCAUAAUUUUUUCCUCUCUUUUUCUUCAAUUAUUUUCUAAUUUUAUAUUUAUUUUAACCCUAUUUUAUUUGUUAAUUAUGAAAAGUCGUAUUUAAAGGAAUUUAUGAUUCUCAUUAAUUAAUUGAGAAAAGAUUACAAAAGAAUAUAUAACACCUGUCUACUCUAUACAACAGAUAAAGCCACCUGUACAGGCUGUUACAACAGCUCUAACUAAUUACUUACAAGAGUAACUAAUAACAAACUAAUCUAAUCAGCUAACUACUCUCUUUAGCCCCCCGCAAGCUGAAGUGGGGAUUGCACACUGUAAGCUUGGAACGAAGAUAAGCAUGUCGGGCAGAAGGAAGAGACUUUGUAAAGAUAUCUGCGAGCUGAUUAGUAGUGUCAACAAACCGUAAAUGAAGAAUACCAAGCUGAACCAACUCCCGGAUGAAAUGAUAAUCAACCUCAACAUGUUUUGUGCGAGCACUAAAAACAGGAUUAGAAGCCAAAUGAAGGGCAGAUUGAUUAUCACACCAAAGUAACGGAGCAGAAGGAAGCUGAAAACCAACAUCCUUAAACAGCUUAGCAAUGUAAACAAGUUCAGCAGCAGUCAUGGCAAUACCUCUGUACUCAGAUUCAGUAGAACUGCGAGAAACUGUAGGUUGCUUCUUGGCAGACCAAGAAAUUAAAUUUGAACCGAGAAAAACACACCAACCACUAGUAGACCGACGAUCCAAGGGGCAUCCUGCCCAAUCUGCAUCAGAAUAGGCCUGCAUAACAAGGGGGCCUUUGCGAAAACAGAUUCCCAUAUCAAGAGAACCUUUAAGAUAUCCAAGGAUUCUCUUUACAGCACCCAAAUGAUUAGUGCGAGGUUGGUGAAGAUGCUGACAUACCAAAUUUACAGCAAAGGACAAAUCAGGCCGUGUCCAUGUCAAGUAUUGAAGAGCACCAACGGUAGAUCUAUAGAAAGUAGGAUCAGAAAGCAACAUUCCAGAAUUGUCUAAUUUGUAGGACCCCAAGGGAGUGGCACAUGGUUUGGCACCAAGAAAAUCAGUUCGCUGGAGAAGAUCACAAGCAUAUUUAGUCUGAGACAAGAAUAAACCAGAAGCAGUGCGUUUAACCUCUAACCCAAGGAAAAAAUGCAAAGGGCCCAAGUCUUUGACAGGAAAUUUUGCACUGAGUUGCUGAAUAAGAGCUUGACAGGCUGCAUUAUUGUUCCCAGUCACAAUAAUGUCAUCGACAUAAACCAAAACUAAGAUUAAAGAAGAGCCACCCUUAAUAAACAAUGAGGAAUCAGCUUGUGAUGAUCUGAAACCCAGAGAAAUAAGUGCUUUAAAGAGCUCCUCAUACCAAGCCCGGGGCGCCUGCUUAAGACCAUACAAACUCCUAUUCAACUUGCAAACAAAAUCAGGCUUGGAGGGAUCAUGAAAACCUGGAGGUUGGCUCAUAUACACAGUUUCCUUCAAGAACCCAUGCAGAAAAGCAUUACUGACAUCAAGUUGAUUGAGGAACCAAUCAUAUUGCACAGCUAAGGAUAACAAAAGACGAAUAGUAACAGGUUUUGCCACGGGGCUAAAAGUUUCAUGAAAAUCAAUACCUUCCUGUUGAUUGUACCCUUUAGCAACUAAACGAGCUUUGAACUUAUCAACAGACCCAUCAGAUUUAAACUUGGUCCGAAAAACCCACUUACAACCCACUAAAUUAUAAGAGGGAUUGGGAGGUACCAGGGUCCAUGUCUGAGUCUUUUGAAGAGCAGCAAUUUCAGAGGCCAUGGCAGCAAUCCAAACUUUGUGGGUUGCUGCUUGCUUAUAAGUCUGAGGAGUAGGAGGAAUUAAAGCAGUAGACUUGCAGAGAGAGCCUUGGGCUUAAAAAUUCCAUUUUUUGAUCGAGUAACCAUAGGAUGACGAUUAGGAGAAGAAGGAACUACAGAUUCCUGAGAAGGGAGAGAAGGAAGGAGUUGUUCUUGAGAAGGUAAAGAAAGAACAGAUUCAGAAGAAGGAGAAAUGGAACUAGGGGAUUGUGAAGAGGAAGGAGAAGUAGGAGAAAUCGGGAAAGAAAAAGUAAGAGAAAUAGGAACUGAAGAAGCAGAGAUAGGAGAAGAUGAAAUAGGGGGAGCUUGGGUUGCAAAAGGAAAAGAUGUUUCAUUAAAAAGAACAUGCCUGGAAAUAAAAAGCUUGCCAGUAGAAAUAUCCAGACAUCUAUAACCGGAAUGAUUUAAGCUAUAUCCAAGAAAGACACAAGGCCUGCUUUUAGGAUCCAACUUUGAGGAACUAUAUGGUUGUAACCAAGGAAAACAGAGACAACCAAACACUUUCAAAGUAGUAUAAUUUGGAGUGUGUUUAAACAACAAUUCCCAAGGAGACUGUGCAGAAGAAGUAAAGGGUAACCGAUUGAUGAGAUACAAGGCAGUUUGAAAAGCAUCUACCCAAAAGCGAUGUGGAAGGAAAGAAGAAGCAAACAGUGUCCUAGCAAGCUCAACAAUAUGCCUGUGCUUGCGUUCGGCACUGCCAUUCUGUUCAGGGGUGUGUGGACAACUCAACUGAUGCAUAAUACCCUCUGUGUUUAAAAAAUCUUGGAAAGCAGUACUUAAGUAUUCACCACCCGAAUCACUCCUCAAGAUCUUGAUCCUAGAGUUCAACAAGUUUUCUAACUUGGCCUUAAACACUUUAAAAGUUGCAAGCACAUCUGAUUUAUAUUUCAAAGGAUACAACCAGCCGUAUUUAGUGUAAUCAUCCAGAAACAAAACAUAGUACUUAUAACCAAGAGCUGAAACAGUGGGACUGGGACCCCAGACAUCCGAAUGCACAAGCUCUAAAGGCUUGGUGGACUUAUGUGCAGAACCAACAAAAGGAAGCUUAUGAGCUUUCCCAACCAUACAAUCAGAACAUAUUAAGGACUCAGACAAGUCACCACUAACAGGUAGAUGAUUGCCACUAACAAGCUUGCGAAAUAAAGAAAAGUGAGGAUGACCCAACCUCUUGUGCCAAGUGAGGAUAUCACAUUUAUUAGCCAGAAAAGCAAUGGAAGGACUUGAUGAAAAAGGAGCUGCAGGACCAGCAGGAAGUCGAUAGACACCAUCCUCACUGAGACCUUGGAAGAGCAUCUUCUUCGUAGCUAAGUCCUUAAUUGUGAAGGAAUCAGGAUAGAGCGUUAGGGAACAAGAGUUGUCACGAAGAAACUUAUUUGCCGAUAACAAAUUGUGUUUAAUAGAAGGAACAUGUAACACAUCCUUUAAAGUAAAAACAGCAGAAGGAGUGUGUAUGCGGGUAAAACCAGUGUGAGAAAUUGGUAAGCAAUUACCAUUACCAACUUGCAAAGAGUCAGAGCCAGUGAAUGGAGAAGAAUUCUGCAGGUGCUGAUUGGUAGCAGUCACAUGAGCAGUAGCGCCAGAGUCAACAAUCCAAGAAGGAGAGGAAGCAGCAGACUGUGGAUUAGCAUAAUAGCCAGUAAAUGGUCCAGAAGAUGAAGAACUGCCAGAAGCAUUGAGCAGACGGCCCAAUUUGCGACAAGUGUUAGCGGCAUGACCUUUCUUGUUGCAGAACUGACACACAAGAACAGGGCCAGAAGAAAAACCAGUAGAAUUGAAUGAAGAAGAACCUCCUGAAUUGGAAUUACCACCCCCAGGGCUUGAAUUUCGAGAAAAAUUGGGGCUGGGAAACCCUUGCGCACCAAAUUGUGGAGGAGAAGAAAAAUUUGGGGCAAAAUUGGAGGGCGGUGACGGAAGCAGACCACGAGUGGGAGGAAAACCUCGAUGCUGAGAGUUAGAGUUGUUGGAACCACCACUACUACAAAAAAGCAAAAAGACGACGGUAAAUCACCGUCGUGUAUUUGGUUUUUCAAUGGUCGUGGAAUCCACCGUCAUCUUUUCCCUCAUAAACCACGACGCUAAAUAACCGUCGUUGUUAAACAAUACAACGUCAUCAAAAAAUACAAAACGACGUCUUUGUACUGCAAAAGAUCUAAAAAAAGCAAUCGAUGAUGAUAAUAGACGACCAAUUCUCUAAAAAGACCGUCGUUAAAAAGGGAAAAUAUGACACAUAUAAGAGAACAAGGCCGCAAGAUAGACAUACAACGACGACAUAAAAUACGCCGACGUUAAAUAUAAUUUUCACGACAUAAAAAUAUGACGUCUUUAAAUACAUUAGAAGANNNNNNNNNNNNNNNNNNNNNNNNNNNNNNNNNNNNNNNNNNNNNNNNNNNNNNNNNNNNNNNNNNNNNNNNNNNNNNNNNNNNNNNNNNNNNNNNNNNNNNNNNNNNNNNNNNNNNNNNNNNNNNNNNNNNNNNNNNNNNNNNNNNNNNNNNNNNNNNNNNNNNNNNNNNNNNNNNNNNNNNNNNNNNNNNNNNNNNNNNNNNNNNNNNNNNNNNNNNNNNNNNNNNNNNNNNNNNNNNNNNNNNNNNNNNNNNNNNNNNNNNNNNNNNNNNNNNNNNNNNNNNNNNNNNNNNNNNNNNNNNNNNNNNNNNNNNNNNNNNNNNNNNNNNNNNNNNNNNNNNNNNNNNNNNNNNNNNNNNNNNNNNNNNNNNNNNNNNNNNNNNNNNNNNNNNNNNNNNNNNNNNNNNNNNNNNNNNNNNNNNNNNNNNNNNNNNNNNNNNNNNNNNNNNNNNNNNNNNNNNNNNNNNNNNNNNNNNNNNNNNNNNNNNNNNNNNNNNNNNNNNNNNNNNNNNNNNNNNNNNNNNNNNNNNNNNNNNNNNNNNNNNNNNNNNNNNNNNNNNNNNNNNNNNNNNNNNNNNNNNNNNNNNNNNNNNNNNNNNNNNNNNNNNNNNNNNNNNNNNNNNNNNNNNNNNNNNNNNNNNNNNNNNNNNNNNNNNNNNNNNNNNNNNNNNNNNNNNNNNNNNNNNNNNNNNNNNNNNNNNNNNNNNNNNNNNNNNNNNNNNNNNNNNNNNNNNNNNNNNNNNNNNNNNNNNNNNNNNNNNNNNNNNNNNNNNNNNNNNNNNNNNNNNNNNNNNNNNNNNNNNNNNNNNNNNNNNNNNNNNNNNNNNNNNNNNNNNNNNNNNNNNNNNNNNNNNNNNNNNNNNNNNNNNNNNNNNNNNNNNNNNNNNNNNNNNNNNNNNNNNNNNNNNNNNNNNNNNNNNNNNNNNNNNNNNNNNNNNNNNNNNNNNNNNNNNNNNNNNNNNNNNNNNNNNNNNNNNNNNNNNNNNNNNNNNNNNCCACUACUACAAAAAAGCAAAAAAGACGACGGUAAAUCACCGUCGUGUAUUUGGUUUUUCAAUGGUCGUGGAAUCCACCGUCAUCUUUUCCCUCAUAAACCACGACGCUAAAUAACCGUCGUUGUUAAACAAUACAACGUCAUCAAAAAAUACAAAACGACGUCUUUGUACUGCAAAAGAUCUAAAAAAAGCAAUCGAUGAUGAUAAUAGACGACCAAUUCUCUAAAAAGACCGUCGUUAAAAAGGGAAAAUAUGACACAUAUUAAGAGAACAAGGCCGCAAGAUAGACAUACAACGACGACAAUAAAAAUACGCCGACGUUAAAUAUAAUUUUCACGACAAUAAAAAAUAUGACGUCUUUAAAUACAUUAGAAGACGACGUUAUUGAUACCUACUACGUCGCACAUAUAAACACAACCGUCGUACAAUUAAUUUUCCACUUCGAUUUUUUGAUAAAAGAUGACGUGGAAAUAGUUGUCAGUGUCAUUAUUUACGACGUAUGUGUUUCUAUAGUAGACGUUGAAAAACUAAACAACGUCAGUUACAAAUAUAUGAGAGUCGUAUUAAAAAAUUUAUACGUCCUAUUUUCAGAAACAAACAACGACCAUAAAUAUUAGACGUUGUUAAAUACAACAACGUCGGAAAACAAUAAAAACAGACGUGUUUAGUCUGCUAAAGUUCUACAACGUCUCUUAUUUACAAAAAACCGUCGUGAAAUAAAUUUUCCACUUCGAUUUUAUCUAAAAAAGAUGACGUGGAAAUAGUUGUCAGUGUCAUUAUUUACGACGUAUACAUUUAUAUAGUCGACGUUGUAUUUAUAUGUAUUCAUUACUCACGACGCACUUAAUAAUAUAGACGACGUUGAACGUCUAAACAACGUCGGUUCCAAAUAAAUGAGAGCCGUAUUACAGAACAUAUAGACGGCGUAGAUUAUGAUGGGAGCCGUAUUACAAAUAACGUCGUUUAAUUGUUAUUAGACGGCGGUUAUAAUGAAUUUCCGUCGGAAUUAAUUUCGUUCCUCUUCGUUUAUAAAAGAACUUGCGACGUGGAAAAUGUAUGAUGACGUCGUAUUUUUUAACGUUCAGAUUACAUAUCUCGUUUUUUAGACGUCGGUAUUAUGGGAUUGGAGUCGUGUUAUUUUGAAUUACAUGGCGGUUCUUUAUCCUUCACCGACGUGAUAUCCUGAAUAAUUGCUUCACAAUAGCGUCGUGGUUCUUCAUUGUUACGUUGCUUUAAGACGUCGGUAAAUAUGCUGAAUAACUGAUUCACAAUAACGUCGUGUUUUAUUUGAACGUAGAAAGUGAAGAAAUCACAUUACAAUAUAUUACAAAAUUAAUGUCAUACACUGCCAAUUACAUAAGCAUCAUUCAAUCCAUAUAUCUUCACACCCAUCUCGAAUAUUUUGACCGCCUAACUCACCUACCAGUUCAUCAAAUGUGUCAACAUUUGGCAUCCCUCUAGUAAAUGGCUCACACUCAAUUAUCACAUCACCUAAUACUUCAUCACCAAUAACAUCAUUAUAUUCUCUACUAGGCAUUGAUAACACUACCGACCAACCACGAUGCAUCGGGUCGUCAACAAAAAAUAUUUGUUUGACUUGAGAAGCCAAAACAAAUUGGUCAUUCCUAUGUCCAAUUUUACUCAAAUCUACAAGGGUAAAUCCAAGUUUGUCGACUACAAGACCAGAACUAUCUAUCCAAUCACACCUAAAGACUGGGAUUGUAAACUUUUGGUAGUCAAGGUCCCAAAUUUCUUGAAUGACACCAUAGAAACCCAUAUUUGAGAGAAUUGGGUUUUUAUCCUUGGCACUAGCAACUUGCAUGGUAUGUGCAAGUAAAUAAACUCCACUAUUUUGAGUUGUCCGCACAUCAUCUUGUGCCUUGAUAUUGAAUUUAAUACCUUUAAUAAGAUAGCUCCUAUAUAAUGGCACUGACAUGUUUGGACCAGCUGCUAGCCACCUUAAAUUUUCUGAUACGCCAUGAUUGUCUUCCUCAACUUCACUUUGAACCUGCAAAUUAAUCAUAUCUUAAUUCAUCCUAACAUAUAAAUAAGAAGAAAAUUAAAAGAGAAAUACGUUAUUCAACAACAUAUACCUUGAAGCGUAGCCAUUGAAUGAAAGUGCUAUUGUGCUUAUCCUGCAGCCACUUUGUUCUCUUUCUAAAUUUUGGAUAAGCAGUCUUGAUGUGGAUCAUAUGUUGCCUACAUGACACGAAAAAUUCAAGCAUUACGGUCCCAAAUAUAUAAGAUAAACAUAAGAAAUAAUUUUAAAUGGAAACUUAAAGAAUAAAACUCAUACGUACUCGAUAUAAGGUAGGACUUCCUCCGUAUUCUCCAAGACAUAUAGAUGUGCUUGAUUCAACAGGUCCUGAUCAACUACGCUCACUGUGCAACCUGAUAAUGGCUUUGAAACUCCCAUCUUUUGGCUUGAAGGCACUCCAACUGUACUAACAUCAGAUAAAUGCUGAGUACAAAACUCUACCGCUUCUUCAGCUAUAUACCGCUCAGCAAUGCAACCUUCGGGACGAGUACGAUUCUGAACAUACCCCUUCAGCACUUUCAUAUAUCUUUCAAACGGAUACAUCCACCUAAAAUAUACUGGCCCACAUAGACGAACUUCUCUGACAAGAUGUACUACUAGAUGAACCAUGAUAUCAAAGAAUGAAGGGGGAAAGUACUUCUCAAGCAAACACAGAGUAACUACUACAUCUUCUUCCAACUUAUCUAGCUUGGAAACAUCAACAGUCUUUGCACAUAUAGCAUUGAAGAAGAAGCACAAACGAGUUAUUGCAUACCUUGCAGGCUUCUCCAAAACAGAACGAAUUGCCACAGGGAGCAAUUGUUGCAUUAAGGUAUGACAAUCAUGUGAUUUAAGGCCAAGAAGUCUUGAAUCUUGUACAGAUACAAGAUUUUUAAUAUUUGAAGAAUAACCUUCAGGGACCUUCAUACCAUAGAAAGAAUUGCAAACCUCUCUCUUCUCUGCUCUUGACAAAUUCCAAGGCCCAGGAGGCAAACGAGUACGUCUUUCUCCAUACUCGGGUUGCAAAUCAGUUUUGACCCCCAUGUUCAAUAAAUCUAAUCGAGCAGCAAUCCCAUCUUUAUUUUUUCCAGGGAUCUCCAGCAAUGUACCAAUGAUACUAUCGCAAACAUUCUUCUCAAUGUGCAUAACAUCUAGGGCAUGCCUCACAGGAAGGUAUUUCCAAUACUCGAGAUCAAAGAAUAUUGAUUUCUUCUUCCAACAAACUCUGUCACCAUUUUCAACCAUAUGCAGCACUUCUUCUCCGGUUAAUGGCUCUGGAGGUAUGCCAUAUUCAGGUUUCCCAUUAAAAGCUGCACGUUGCCUCCUAUAUGGAUGAUUGAUUGGUAACCAUUUUCUAUGCCCAAUGUAACAAAUUUUGUGGCCAUUUUUCAACCUGUGACUAGGUGUAUCAUCGCCGCAUAUUGGACAAGCUUUAUAUCCUUUAACAACACAACCAGAUAAGUUUCCAUAGGCGGGGAAAUCAUUAAUUGUCCACAUUAAUGCAGCUCUGAGUGUAAAGUAUUCUCCAUUAUGUGCAUCAUACACUCCUCUAAUCCCAACCCACAAGGAUUUUAAAUCAUCAAUCAAAGGCUCCAAGUAGACGUCUAUAUCAUUUCCGGGUUGUUUAGGACCGGAAAUCAAUAAGGUUAACAUCAUGAACUUUCGUUUCAUGCACAGCCAUGGAGGGAGAUUAUAUGUAACUAAGAUAACCGGCCAACAACUAUAUCUGCUACUUAGAGAACUGUGGGGAUUGAAUCCAUCAGAUGAAAGAGCCAAUCUCAAGUUUCUCGGCUCAUUACCAAACUCAGGCCAUUUAUCAUCAAGAAGUUUCCAAGACGGGGAAUCCGCCGGAUGAGACAUCUGACCGUCAAUUGAUUUUCUAGCAACAUGCCACCAAGUCAAACUCUUAGCUGUCUCAUGUGAUUGAAACAUCCUUUUAAACCUUGGAAUUGGGGGAAAAUACCACACCACCUUCGCUGGCACACCCUCUUUCAAGAUUGCAUCUUUGCCUUCCUUCCACCUUGAGAUACCACAAGUAGGACAAUUAGUUGAAUCCUCAUACUCCUUCCUAUACAAGAUGCAAUCAUUGGGGCAUGCGUGCAUUUUCUCAUAACUCAGCCCCAAUGCACACAAAGUCUUUUUAGCCUCAUACAUGGAGGUUGGUAUUGUAUUUCCUUCUGGAAGCAAAUCGCCUUGAAGUAUCAAUAAUUCUGUAAAACAGACAUCACUCAUCCCAUGUUUUGCCUUCAAAUUAUACAACUUCACUAAUGCCGAUAACUUCGUGUACUUUCUACAACCAGGGUACACUGGUUGAUCUCCAUCCCCAAUCACAUUGGCAAACUCAUACGGAUCCGAACCAAAAUCACCAAAAUCAUUAUCAUCCAUAUCAAUUUCUUCAGACACAAAACUGUACCUACUAUGGCCAUCAUCUUCUUCAACAUUUCUGCUAGCAUUAGUAGUUGCUUCCCAAGGUUCUCCGUGAAAUGUCCAAUUCUUAUAGCUUUGGUCAAUUCCAUUAAAGUAUAAGUGAUCCCUUAUAAUUCCAACCCCAAACAACUUCAAAUUAACACAUUUAACACAUGGACAACGGAUAUGUGUUGUAGUUAGAAGAUUUUCUACAGCAAAGUUCAAAAAUGCUUCCACCCCAAACUCAUAUGCCUUCGAUCUUCUAUCCGAGUGCAUCCAUGACUUAUCCAUCUCCGACACUAUAACCUAUUAUCUAUAAUAAAGUGAAAAUACAGGCAAUGACCAUCACUAUAGCAGAUUAUACAAUGAUCUAAUCGCAAGUAAUAAACAACAGAGACGACGGGUUUUAAUCAAAAACAGACGUAUUUGGCAUAUAUAGACGACGGAUUUUCAACAGACGUCGUCUAUUAUACGUAAUACAAACGACGGUUUAUGAAAAAACCGUCGUGUAUAAGUAAUACAACGACGGUAGUUUAAAAACACCGUCGUGUAAUCGUCGUCGUACGCCUUAAAAUUCGUCGUGUCUCAGUUUAUUUUCAAGAACACAAAACCCAUUAAGAACACAACAUAUAUAUGAAACCAAGCAAGAAACCAACAUAUACAUGAAACCAAGCAUGAAAACAAUAAAUCCAUUCCCAAUUCAACAUAACAUAGGGUGAUUAAAAGAUACGACAAAAUUAAAUCCAUUCCCAAUUCAACAUAACAGAUAAUGUAAUCCAUGAACCCAUUAAACAGAAAAUCCAUGAACCCAUACCUAUAAGCAUUGGUGCACUUUGCACCUUCUCCAGAGCGGAAAAUGACAAGAUCAAAUAAAGGUGUUCUUUUGCUGGAAAUCAUUUGGAAGUUGGUGAUGUGUCUUUUUGUGUUGAUUUCCAGCAAAAGUACACCUUUAUUUGAUCUUGUCAUGAACCCAUUAAACAGAAAAUCCAUGAACCCAUACCUAUAAGCACAUUAUUAACAGAUCGCAAAGCAUAUACCUAAAACCCUUUAACAAAACAACCUAAUAUCAUUCAAUGAAUUUACAAGGGGAAGAUAGGGUUUGUACUUACAGGUUGGACGAGCUCACAGAUUCGACGAGCCUGGAGAGUGCAACUUUUAAUUAGAGCAGAAGUGAGAGAGCGAAAUGUUAUGUCGCGUGAAAUCUGAAAUUUUAGGUUUCAGGGAUCAAAGUAUAAGACUAAGAGCCAAAUCUAAAAAAAUUUAGGUCGCGCGAAAAUUUUUAGAGCGCGCGCGUUAUAAAACGUCGAAAGAAAAACCAAGGCGAAAUUCUACAAGUACCGACGUAAAUUUAAUAUUCCACGACGGAAACUUCAUUUUUCGGAUUAAGAACGUAAGGCCGUUCAUUUUUCGGAUUAAUUUUAAAUUUAUUUUGAAUUUUUUAUAUAACGACGACUGAAAAACCACGUCGGUGUUAAGAAAUUAAAGACGUUGUAAAUUAUAUAAACCGACUUACAUAUUAAAAUAACGUCGUUUAAAGCGUAAACCAUGUCGUAUGUUUUACUGUACGACGUAAAAUAUGUAUUCCACGACCCAACCACCGUCGUUAAAAAUUAAUACACUAAACCCAUAAAAUUAAAUUAUACAAUUUAAAAAAUUAAGUUUAUAAAAGGUUUUAUGGUUUUAAAGCCUAACAUAUAACAUAGACUACCCAAAAAUUAUACUUUAAAAAUAAACCCCAAUAAAUAACAACACUAAUCUCUAAACCCUAGACUCUAAACCCUAAACCAUUAAACUAGAAGUGAUUUUAUGACUCAUCAAAACAAUUUUGUUUUGGAUGGUCAUUUUAAAUUUUUGUUAUUCAAAAUGAAUUUUUUCAAGAUUUAUGUGGAAGAAAAUAUAUCAAUGACUUCAUAGGAGUUGACUUUUCAAUUUUCUGAUUUAUUUUAUAUUUAUUUUGAAUAUUUUGAUAUAAAAAUAAUAAAAUAUUCUUACCAUACAACAAACCACGUCGGUGUUAAAUAAAUUGUAGACGUUGUAAAUUGUAAUAGACUACUAAGUCGUUAAAAUGACGUCGUUAAAAUGAGAAACCACGUCGGUGUUAAGAAAUUAAAAACGUUGUAAAUUAUAUAAACCGACUUACAUAUUAAAAUGACGUCGUUUAAAGCGUAAACCAUGUCGUAUGUUUUACUGUACGACGUAAAAUAUGUAUUCCACGACCCAACCACCGUCGUUAAAAAUUAAUACCCUAAACCCAUAAAAUUAAAUUAUACAAUUUAAAAAAUUAAGUUUAUAAAAGGUUUUAUGGUUUUAAAGCCUAACAUAUACCCUAGACUACCCAAAAAUUAUACUUUAAAAAUAAACCCCAAUAAAUAACAACCCUAAUCUCUAAACCCUAGACUCUAAACCCUAAACCAUAAAACUAGAAGUGAUUUUAUGACUCAUCAAAACAAUUUUGUUUUGGAUGGUCAUUUUAAAUUUUUGUUAUUCAAAAUGAAUUUUUUCAAGGUUUAUGUGGAAGAAAAUAUAUCAAUGACUUCAUAGGAGUUGACUUUUCAAUUUUCUGAUUUAUUUUAUAUUUAUUUUGAAUAUUUUGAUAUAAAAAUAAUAAAAUAUUCUUACCAUACAACAAACCACGUCGGUGUUAAAUAAAUUGUAGACGUUGUAAAUUGUAAUAGACUACUAAGUCGUUAAAAUGACGUCGUUAAAAUGAGAAACCAUGGCGGCUAUUUAACUAUACGACGUAAAAUAUAUAUUUUACGACUUAACCGCAGUCGUUACAUAAACGUCGUCGAUUAUACCCUGAACCCUUAAGAAAUUGAAGAUAUUGUAAACCAUUAACGACUCAAUUGUUCAAAGAACGUCGUCUAACUAUUUUUUUACGUCGUAUUUGUUUAAAACACGCAACAACAAAAUACGACGGUUAUUGACUUUAUUAGGUCGUUGGAAAAGUAUUACACGUCGGUUAAGCAAUUUGUAUGUUUGUUUUUUUUUUAAUUUAAGAAAACCUCAACAAAUUUUUACAUUACAUAUUAUAGAGAAAAUUGGUACAUUAUACAUAAAUAUCAAGUGUUCAAUAAUUGCCCUGUUUAAUAAUUUGGAAAACAAACUCUGCCCAUUCAUUCCGGACUUCAUCAAUGGCUUCUUGGGGGUAUGAAGCUUCCUGGUUUCCCUUGGCAUACUGCAUAAACAAUGACUAUUAGGGUUUAUAAAUAAAAAGAAAUUCAAUCACAGAAGACGAUAUUUUUCAUAACCGACGUAGUAUAUCCAUUCAACGACGUUAAUUUUACACGACCGUCGUUGAUAAUACAAAAAACGACGUGAAAUGUAUGAAGGUAAUUUCUUCUUACCUUAUUCUCAAACCCCAAGGAAGGAUCCAUGAUGAUGUCCCUCAUGAAGCGCAUUACAUAAUACCCGCAUUCGACAUUGCUGGGUUGCUUUGGUGUGCCUGAGAGAGUUUUCCAAAUUACAUUUUUACGUCCUGCUCGGGCUAUGUGGGUAUUAUAUAUUUUUAAAGCACUGUUCACGAUGUUUUUGGCCUCUUCAUCGACCACACGAUUUCCUGGCAGAGGAUCCAGAAAAUAGACGGUUUCUCUCUUUGCUCUUACAAUCAGCAAAAUCCAAUGACGGCUGCACAAAAUUAAUAUAAAAACGACGGUUAUUUACAAAAACGACGUAUUAUAGUAUUUCAUACGACGAAAUAAAGUAGAUAACGACGACAUUAUAUAUUUAUCACGACGAUAAAUAAAUACCGACGUGGUUAGUAGUUUCAAACGACUAAAUAAAAUAAAACACCGACGUGGUUAGUUUAUAAGCUGUCAUUUAUUGAAAAUCAUAAAAACAAAAUCCUAAGGAGACUAACCCUGGAUUGUAAGGCAUCAUGAAAAUCUGUUCACCGUCUGUCUUCUGAAGUCGAGCUGCUACCAGUCGUGAUCUUUCAGUUAUUGUGCCAGAGUUGGCACUAACUGUAGCAGGGUCAAUAAAGCCAACCAUGCUGCACAUAUUGGCUUGUUUCAAAACAUCGUGUAAGUACCUAAAUACAUAAAAUAAUAUAAACAAGUCAGCAAAAACAAACAUGACGGUUAUGUAUAAAAAAACGACGUAUUAUAAUAUUUCACACGACGUACUGAAAUAGAUAAGGACGUUAUAAUAUAUUUAUCACGACGGUAGUUAGUUAAGACGACACAAUAUAUAAACCAACGAGUUAUUAUCUUAGAAGUACAAACCUCAUAUAUACAGCCAAUACAGUAGCUCCAAUUUCUUCCAUGCCUGCAAAUUGUGUAAUAUCUUCAGGCAGGAGGAAGGUAUCGCGCUCACCACCAAACACCUCCUUAUCAAUUGUAAAUUGGAGUGUCUUAUCCUCAGGCAGGAGUGUCGUUUCCACAAAACGACAAAGGGUUUUUAAAGAAGAUGGCGCCUCCAUAUUUGAAUAAGCACCAACUUCAAUAACCUGUUUAAAGAAAUAAAAAAAAUGACGUGGUAAUUCAAUAAAGACGACGGUUUAAGUAAUAAAACGUCGUCUUAAAAGUAUUUAAACGACGGUGAAAAAACUGUCGUGGUAAUUCAAUAAAGACGACGGUUUUAUGAAUAAAGCGUCGUCUGAAACCAUUUAAACGACGGUGCAAAAACCGUCGUUUAAAUAUUUUAUUACGUCUUAAAAAAAUUCCGCCGUCUAAGUUUUAAACAAACGACGGAUUAAAUAAAAAUAUCGACGUCUGAAAUUUUGAAAAACAAAUAAAAAAGGCAAAGUUAUGUGAACAUACCUUGUCGUCAUGCUUUUCUUCAUCUUCUUUCUCCUUUUCUUCUUCCUUCUCUUCAUCUCUUUUUUCUUCUUCCUUCUCUUCAUCUGGCUGAUGUUUCCCCAUUUUGGCUGUAUCAUCCUCCAAAUGUAGGGAUCUCACAUCACCUCCAGAGCAGCUAGCUUUGUCAGACAUUGGAUUUUUGGGGCUUUGGCUAAUUCUUGGUUUAAGCAUGCUUGGAUCAAAAUUGGGAAUUAAUUGGGAAAGCUGACUCAGGAAAUGCUCCCUCUCAGCCUCUACCAAUUGUUUUGUCCUAGCCUCCAUCCUUAAGGCCUCUUCCCUUGCCUUAGCCUCCAUCUUUUUAGUCUCUUCUUGAAGGAGAACUCUUAAACUCUCCUUCAAACGGUCGUCAAAGCUCACCCUCUGUGGUUUGGGCAAAUUGAAAUAUUGCCUUGGGGAAACACCAGCACCAACUCCCCUCACCCUGCCUGGAUGCUCGGGGCCCAAAGCCAUGGUCAGCACAUCAUUGCUGCCAUCUACUCUGACUUUGCCUUCCGAGACUUGUUUCUGCAAUUCAUCCUAAAACAAAGAUAAACAAAAAAACACACGACGGUUAUUUAUGUACAAACGACGUAUUAUAUAAUUUCACACGACGCAAUAACGUAUAAACCGACGUUAUUAUAACUUAUCACGACGGUAGUUAUACCGACGUGGUUAUUUAUUUAAAACGACGAAAUGAAUAAACAACCGACGUCUUAUGCUAUAAUUAAAGAUAACAGAGUAGUGAUUCCUAUUUAGACCGUUAACGACGUUUUUAAAAAAUUUUCGACGUGGUAAUAUCAUUCACACGACGCGAAAAUGAACCACCGACGUCUUAUGCUGUAAUUACAGAAAACAUAGUAGUGAUUCCUAUUUAGACCUUUAACGACGUUUUUAAAAACUUUUCGACGUGGUAAUAUCAUUCACACGACGAAAAAUAUAACAUACGACGUAAUAAGAAUAAUUCACAGUUUAAUAAAAAUUUAAAACAGAGUGAUAGUAGGCUUACAAUUAAUUUUGCUUUCUCUGCCACCUUUGGAUCAGGGAUGUUACCAUGUUUGUCCUGUCUAGCUCUCUUCCAUAAGGUAGAUCGAUCAAUUUCUACCCCAGGCAUGGUUUCCUCCAAUUGAUCCUCCAAUCCAGCAUAUCCUUUUCGAGACAAUCGAUGAUUGUACUCGAGUUUCUCCCUAAUCUGUGCAUGUUGAGAAUGCACAGACUCAAAAUCUUUGGAUAGCCUUGAAGCUACAAAGGCAUCCCAUUGUGCUUUCUCUAUGAAUUUAUAUGUUUCAGGGGGUUGGCUUAAUUUCUCCCUGUCAUUGGUGUAUGGAAGGAUAUAAUGCCUCGUUAGUGUAGACUUGAAAUCCUUCCAUUUCUUGGAAGCAGAAGCUAAAACAGAGGUCUUGCCCCCUUGGCCUACGACAAAAGCCAUGUCAACUGCUUCCCAAAUCUGCUCCUUUAUAUCCUUGGGGAUUUGGGACCAUUUCUUGUCCACAAGUGGGAUCCUGGAGCGUGCCAACACACCAAUAUACGACUGCAUCUCAAUAUGUGCUUGGCCAACACCUUUCCCCCUUUUAUUGUACUCAACAAUUGGCCUCAGUUUCUGAAGCUUUCUCUUCACAACACGAGGCAUUGUGCUCAUACCUCGACCAGUCUUUGAAUCAUCUGAGAUUGUUGUCUGGCUGGUUUGUUCUGUCUCAGCAGAUGAUGAAGCAAACUUCAUCUUCUUCGAAGACUUCAUCUCCUUCGAAGACUUAUCUUGAGGAGCUACCAUUCCAAGCUUCUUGGAGCCAGAAUCCUUAGUUUGUUGUUGAGAAACCAUUUUAACAGACAAAACUGCAAGUGAAAAUAUUUCAGGAAAACAUUAAGAACACAAACGACGGUAUUAAAAAAAUACGACGUAUGAUAUGAUUUUAGACGACGCAAUGAAAUAAUCUCAGACGUAAUAAGUAUGAUAUGAUUUUAGACGACGCAAUGAAAUAAUCUCAGACGUAAUAAAUGUUUAAAACCAUUAUUUAUAUAACGUCGUGGUAUAUAUGUUCACACGACGUCAAUAGUAAUACACCGUCGUGGUAAACUAUUAUUUAUAUUUUAUCGUCUAUAUUAGAUACCAACCCUAGUUUCUUUUUCUUUAUAUUUUAUCAAAUAAGGGAAAAACAAAAACCAUUGUUCAGCGAAAUCAAACCUGCAAUUAAACAAGCAUAUAAAAAAAGACUAUUAUUUUAAAAACAACUUUGUCAAUUUUCAGACGACGCUAGAACAACUUACGAACCGUCGUGGUCUACCGUCGUCUUAUUUAGUUGAGGUAGUUGUCUUCAAAGUUGGAAACUUUCCCUCUUUGUCUGUAUAUUUUAUCAAACUUGGAAAGAAGUAAAAUGAUUUUGGCCAGAAAAAAGGUAAAAAGAUUUUUCAAACAAAAAACGUAUGAGCAUGCAAAACAGUAACCAAAAUAGUGAAAAUGAAAGCUUACCUUUUGCGUGCAAUGAAAGCAAGAGGAAGAUGAUCGAUGUUUAAGUUCAGAGACGACGAAGAAGACGAGAGGAAGACGAUGAGAAACUCUGACAAUGCUCUGACAAGGAAAAAAGACGAAAAGGUUUCUCUGGGAGAUUGAAAUUUUUAAUCGGGUUUGGAAACAGUGCAUGUGUAAGUCGAAAAGUUGCUUACAUAUAAAACCAUUUCAAAAAAAUAAUACGGCGGUUACAUUUAACUACGUCGUUUUUAACUAAAACGACGCAAUAUUUUUCAUUCGACGUGGAAUCAUUUCAUUUAACGUCGUUAGGUUUAAUAUAACCGACGUGGAUUUUAAUUUUUAAAUUAUGAAUAGAAUUUUUUUUCCCGUGACCUUUCAGUUUAUUUUUCAAUUACAGUGCGUUAUAAAUAGAGUUUUUUUUCCGGAGGAAAUUUAAAACGAAGGAAAUUAAUAUUCUGCAAUAUGUAAAGUUUCUUUUUUGGAUGACAGAUUUAAAUAAAAUAAGAAUAUAAAAACAACAAAUGUGUAAGUCAAGUAGACGAAAAGUUGCUUACAUAUAAAACCAUUUCAAAAAAAUAAUAUGGCGGUUACAUAUAACUACGACGUAUAAAUUACAAAAUACGACGGUACAUUUAACUUCGGACGUGGUAAAUAAAUACGACAGUAGUUUGUAGGUACCGUCGUAGUAAACUCAAAAAUUAAAGUACAUAAGUAAUAACUCGCGUCAUGGUAUAUUAUUUAACACGUCGUUUUUAUUAAUUUACCGACGUGGAUUUCUGUAAUAUACGUCGAUCAUACCGACGUUGAUUUUACAAUUUAAACGGCGGUUUUUUUGUAAGGACCGCCGUUGGUUUUAAAAAUUUAUUCUAUAAAUUUGUCGCUUUCAUUCAUUUUCGGUUUACAUUUAAGGUUCCAAGUUCUUCCUCUCUCAGUCUCUCAUGUCUCAAAGAUAAUAAUUUGGAUGUUUUCUCAAAGAGAAAUUGAGCUUACUCGCAUCAAAUAUAUGUCCACAAGAAGAAGCUUGUCAACUAGCCUUCUCACUUCCUUGAUCAAGCCUGAUAGGACACUUAGUGCUUCUGAAUACUCCUUGCUUUCCAUCAAAAGAGAUGCAAGCCUGGCCUCCACUCGCUGUCGAAGGAAAGUUCGCUUCUCAGGGAAAUCUGAAGAUCAGAUGUGCCUGAUCCUCUGCUUGAUUUUCUUGCCUAAGAAGAUCCGUCGGAUUUAUUGUGAUAGCCUCUUCCUUUAUCCGUAGAGCUUCAGAAGAAGAAGAUGGGUUUCAAGAAUGCGAUAAAGAAUAGAAAUGGCUUCAGAUGGCCUCUAAAGCAUGAGCAAUUGAAUCAGUAGUUUCUGGGAGAUAUGAUGAAGACAUUGUCAAUGCUUUGAACUACACAAGUCCUGCAGAAAGAUAUGUUAAAGAAACUGAAACAACGGCGGUUUUCUGUUCUACCGUCGUCUUUUCUCGUCGUCUAUAUUAAGUUACGAUGGCGGUAGAUUUAUAAUUACCGACGUAGAUUAUUUUGUUAAACGUCGUUAAGUGUACUACAACCGACGUGGAUUUUAAUUUUAAAUUAUAAAUGGAGUUUUUUUUCCCGUAUUCUUUCAGUUUUAGUUUUCAAUUCCAAAGCGUGAUAAAUAGAUUUUUCUUUCCCGAGGAAAUUUAAAAUGAGGGAAAUUAAUGUUCUAGAAUUUGUAAACUAACACGACGCAAUAUUUGCAAAUCUGUGUCAUCUGUUAAGAUUAUGAUGUGGAACAGAGUUCCAUCUGGUAAGAUUUCGUAACCCUUGGGAUCUCAGACAAAACUGAUUAUGUCGGCGGUGUUCUAUAUAAACCGUCGUGGUUAUUUCAAUUCUUGUCAUUAAGUAGAUCUACCGACGUAGGAUAAGAAAAUCAAAGAAAAAAAUUGUUAACAAAAAUUCUUAUUAAGACGACCGUUAAAAUUAAAGGUACGACGUAUAAAAUGAAUAAAUACGACGAUAAAUUUUAUUGUACGAUUUAAAGAUAACGUAGUAGAACUAUACGAGAAUGACGUCGAUAUAUUUAUAUUUUCCGUCGUUGUAAAUUAAUUUAAUACGGCGAUAUUUUGUAUUUUAAAGCCGUGGAUUUGUUUGUAAUUAUACGGCGUCUUAUACGAAAACCUCGUCGUGUUAUUUUAUGAGUAAAAACGGCAGUUUUUAUUGAAAUCGUCGUCUUUACUUUCUACGUCGGUCGAUUCAUAACUUCUGCCGUUCUUUGUUGGCAUUGAUUUUACACUGAGGAAAUCUGUUUCAAAUAGACGUCGGUUGUUUAAUUAUGUACGUCGUUGUUUUUGAACAGCCAUUUGAAACUCCAUUUUUUAGUUGUCUAAGGUUGUAUUACACGACGGUGUUUUUAGAACCGUCGUCUUUUUAUAAACCACGACGGUUUUCACUUAGACCGUCGUUGUUUUCUGGUCGUCUUUUUCACUUUUUGUAGUAGUGCACGUGAGCGAGAAAAGUGCUGUGAAGAACGAGGAGUGGCGGCAUAAGCAUGAAACGGUUCCGUAGGUCCAGAGGAAUUGGAUCGGAGUUUGCGCUUCAGAAGAGCAGCUUCACGACCGAGAAGGUAACCGUGAAGUUCAUCAGAGGAAACUUUUUCCCGACGAGUUUCAAUAGAAGUGACGAAGGAAUCGUACUCUUCAGAGAGACCGGCAAGAAUGUAAGCCACCAAAUCAUCAUCAGUUAGAGGAUGACCAGCAUCACCCAAGCCAUCAGCAAUUUCCUUCAUCUGUUGCAGAUAGGAAACCAUAGACAGAUCCCCUUUGACAAGAUUCUGAAGACGCUGACGAAGAUGAUGAACAUUUGCACGAGAGACUCCAGCAAAACGUUUUUCCAACAUCUCCCAGAGAUCACGAGAAUACUCAAUGCCAACCGUAUGAGAUAGCAAAUCCGUCGAGAGAGUAGAGAUGAUCCAGAUCAUGAGUGAUUGAUCCUUAUCAUACCACAGAUCGAAGGCGGGAUUAUCAACAAUGCAACCAGCAUCGUUAACAAUUGUCUUCGACGGCCGCAGAUCAGCACCGGUAAGAAGGCCAAGGAGCUUGUAUUUGCGAAGAACAGGAAGAAAAAGAUUCUUCCACAACAAAUAAUUGCCAGCUUGAAGCUUGAUCGGAACCAUGCCUGCGAUGUUUUGAACAGUAACAGUCGCAAAAGCAGGGAUUGAAGACGAUGUGAGAGAGACAGAAGCCGCAGAAGAAGAAGAAUUGGUCUCAGAAGCCAUGGAAAUCAGAGAAUUAGAGCGGAAGAAACUGUUUGGUUGAUGAGAAAAGCACUGUUUGGUAGGUGAGAAAAUCACAGGUUGGAAGAAAAGGGAGAGAGGAUCGAAUAGGCGUAUGAUACCAUAAAGGAAUUUAUGAUUCUCAUUAAUUAAUUGAGAAAAGAUUACAAAAGAAUAUAUAACACCUGUCUACUCUAUACAACAGAUAAAGCCACCUGUACAGGCUGUUACAACAGCUCUAACUAAUUACUUACAAGAGUAACUAAUAACAAACUAAUCUAAUCAGCUAACUACUCUCUUUAGUAUUUACCCCUAAAAUUUGGUUACAUUUAACAGAAAAUGUAACGGUUGGAUCAAAUGAGCGAUUAAAAUAGAGUUUAUGUGCCAUUUGGACUAAUAAUUUAAUUUAGGGACCAAAAUAUAAAUCGCAUACAAGUUUGAAGACCAUUUUCGCAAUUUACCCAUACUAUUUUGUCCUACGUAUAUGGAUCACAAUAUUUAUCAAUAUGCAUAGUUCAGGUUAGGAAACGACAAAAAGUUGAUAUGACUAGGAGCUUAAAAAAUUAAUGAAGAGUGGAUGCAUUAACAAGGGUGGACCAUGUAGAUGUGGACAUCAAAAAUAAAAACAAAAACAAAAUUGAAUAUAUGAAAUGUGACGGACGUGGUGUUCAUUUUUAGUUUUUCUAAUAAUAUCUUACGGAAAUCAUAGUCUAAAAUACUUUAAGUUAUUCUAACAUACGAAAAGAUUAAUGGGUCUAGUCUAGUGAAAAAGAGUAUUAACUUACAGAUCAGUGGUUUCAUAUUCAAACCCUUAUAACACCUUGAUAGUGUGUGUGUGAAAAACUCCAUCUCUUUUGUAGUUUACAUUAUCGCUUAUAUUGCAAAAUUAUAUAUAUACAAAAGAGAGUAUUAAUUAGUUAUUAUUGUUUGUUAAUUCAUGAAAAUGAAUGGUGACGAUGAAUAGGUAGGACCAAGGGUGAAGAAGGACAGGGAGAGAUUUCCACCAAAUAACGUACUUCUGGUGUUAGCAGGAGCCGGGUUGCUGUGGAUGGGAUGGGCAGGUUUCAACGGGGGAGAUCCGUACGCGGCAAACACGGACUCAUCCAUGGCCGUCCUCAACACCAACAUCUGCGCCGCCACGAGCUUCUUGGUUUGGACUUGGCUCGAUGUCAUCUUCUUUGAGAAGCCUUCCGUCAUUGGAGCUGUCCAAGGAAUGAUCAUUGGCCUCGUCUGCAUUACUCCUGCUGCAGGUACGUAUUACGUAAGUUCUCAAGUUGACUUUUUUCCAGAGUUAAGCAAAGUUGAAUUAUAUGCCUAUGGGUUUAAUCUAGUGAAAAAGGAACUUGAUUUGUAAAACAAUGAGAGUAUAUGUGAGAAAACUCCCCUCCUUUUCAAAAUUUGACCCAAAAAAAUACAAAGCAAAGUUGACUUAUAUUUAUCAUCCCAAUUAAUAAAAACAAAAUUAAUAUACUUACUUACUCGUCACAAAACACAUUGCCUUUCAUUAAUUAAUCCAGAAAAAUUAAGUUUAUUUGACUUUUGACUACUUAUAUUUACGUUCUCUCACAGACCACGUUCUAGUUCUAUUUAGUAUCCUACUUGGAUCCAAUUUUAUAAACUCAAAAACAAAUUUUGAAGUUUAAAACCCCAAAAACCCGUUUGAUAUGCCCCUUUUUAAAAACUCAAACUCAAGAAAAAUUCAAAAACACUCCUUUAUUAAAAACAAAAAAAGUGAGGUUUUAUAGUUUUUUUCUCUCUCCUCCCUCUCUCUCCUUCCUCUCCCGUCACUCCUUCUCUCUCCUCCCUCUCCCUGUCUCUUUCUCUCUCCUUCCACUCGUCUCUCUCUCUCUCUCUCUCUCUCUCUCUCUCUCUCUCUCUCUCUCCCUCCUUUUCUUUUGGAGAUUUCAAUUUGGGAAUUUAGGGUUUCUAAUUUUAAUUUUAAUUUUUUUAGAUCUUAAAAAUAGUUUGGAGUUCAAUACCAAAAAAGUUUUUAAAUCUUAAAAUCACCAUUUGAAAACUCAUAUUUUUAAAAAGAAUCAUAAUUUUUGAAUUUAUUUUUUUGAGUAGGAUACCAAACAAGGCCAAUUUCCUAAAAAAAUUCUCAUAUGGUUCUCUAACGUUUUCUCUAAAUAUAUUUGCAUCUCUUUAUAUAUAUUAUUUAGCCAGUUUUUAACAGGAGAGGUGACUCAUGGCAUGUUGUGUUGACCGUGCACAAUCAUUUAAUUAACCAUAUUAACUAGCUAGCUUUUAUUUUAGUUUUGUUUGUUCAUAGACUGAUACAAUAUUAUUGUUUAAAUAUGUAAAUUAUUUAGGUCUUGUUCAAGGAUGGGCCGCUAUAGUGAUGGGAGUUAUGUCAGGCAGUGUGCCAUGGUUCACCAUGAUGAUAGUGGACAAGAGGUGGAAACUGCUAUCCGCAGUUGACGACACCCUUGGUGUACUUCACACCCACGCCGUGGCCGGGUUUCUUGGCGGCGUUUUAACGGGGCUUUUCGCUGAGCCUGAACUAUGUGCACCUAUUUAUCAUUGGAUGGAAUAUUGUGGUCACCUACAUUAUUUGCCUAGUCUUACGGUGUAUAGUUCCGUUGCGCAUGCCGGAGGAACAGUUACUGAUUGGGGAUGACGCAGUGCAUGGAGAAGAGGCAUAUGCAUUGUGGGGUGAUGGGGAGAAGUAUGAUGUUACUAGGCAUGAGCUUUACUCCGACGAUACGUCACACGCUCAAAAAUAUCCAUCCAGUGGUGCCACUCAGGUGGUCUAACUCAAAGUUAUAUAUUAUUUAUGUUAAUAAUCUGUUCCAAAAAGAAAAAAGAAAAAAAAAAGGCCAAAAAUGAAAAGAAGAAAAAACGCAGUACGAAAAAUAGGUGUUAUUGUCAAUUAUUAUCUUAUUUUCUGGUGAUCUUUUCAAUGUUCACUAGUAAAAAAAACCCCUUGCGCGACCAAAUUUUGCGCGACGAAAAAUUAUUCGUCGCUCAAAGUUACUUUGCGCGACGAAACUUGAAAUUUCGUCGCUCAAAGUCUUGCGCGACCAAAUUUUGCGCGACGAAAAAUAAUUCGUCGCGCAAAAUCACUUCGCGCGACAAACUUUUGCGCGACGACAAUACAUCGUCGCUCAAAGUCUUGCGCGACCAAUUUUGCGCGACGAAAAAUAAUUCGUCGCUCAAAGUGACUUUGCGCGACGAAAAGUAAACUUCGUCGUGCAAAGUCCUUACAAAAAUAAAUAGAAUAAAAAAAUUAUUUUUUAAAAUCUUUGCAUGACGUAAUCCAAACAUUUUGUCACCUAAACCAAUUUAUUUUUGUUUUUUAUUUUGUAUGCAUAACACUUAAGAAAUUAAACGGUAUAUAUAUUUAUUAAGUAGCUUUAAACUUAUUAUUUUAGAUCGGAUCGGAUUUUUAUUAGAAAAAUAUAUUAUUGUUGUUCGGAUUGGGUUUUUGUUAGAAAAUAUAUAUUUUAAAUUGACGAUCGAAUUAGUUCAUUGUAUUCAUAUCGGGUCAAGGAGUGUAGCAGUAAAAAAUCAUCAAAAUCGGAGUUAAAAUAACCAUUAAAUCGUGAUUUUUCAUUACAACCAUCGAAAAGUUUUGUCCCCUUACUUGAUCUCUGAAUGUUUAUUUUUUCCGAUUUUUUUCGUAUAUGAUCUCGAAGUAUAAACAAACAAGUUUGACGGUUGGAUCGUUGAAACUAGUUUUUUUUUGUUCACUAACAAUUAGGAGUUUAUUUAUACUUUCGUAAGUAUAACAUAAGAUUUUGUGGUAUCCACUAGUGUAAAUAUUUUAAAUUGAAGAUCAAAUUCAGUCAUUGUAUUCAUAUAGGGUCAAGGAGUGUAGCUAUAAAAAAUCAUCAAAAUCGGAGUUAAAAUAACCAUUAAAUCAUGAUUUUUCAUUUAUAACCGUCAAAAAUUUUUGUCCCAUUACUUGAUCAAUGAAUGUUUAUUUUUUCCGAUUUUUGGCAUAUAUGAUCUCGAAGUAUAAACAAACAAGUUUGACGGUUGGAUCGUUGAAACUAGUUUCGUAGAAUGUGUAUGCCAUCAAAACAAUAUAUUCACUAACAAUUAAGAGUUUAUUUAUAUUUUCGUUAAAUAUAACAUAAGAUUUUGUGGUAUCCACUAGUGCAAAUGUUUUAAAUUGAAGAUCAAAUUCAGUCAUUGUAUUCAUAUAGGGUCAAGGAGUGUAGCUGUAAAAAAAUCAUCAAAAUCGGAGUUAAAAUAACCGUUAAAUCGUGAUUUUUCAUUUAUAACUAUCGAAAAGUUUUGUCCCGUUACUAGAUCUCUGAAUGUUUGUUUUUUGUGAUUUUUGGGGUAUACGAUCUUGAAGUAUAUACAAACAAGUCUUAUGGUUGGAUCGUUGAAUGGUGUGUGUAUAUAUAUAUAUUUAUAUACAUAUAUUUAUUAAGUAGUUUUAAAUUUAUUUAUUUUGUACGUAUAACACUUAAGAAAUUGAAUAGUAUAUACAUUUAUUAAGUAGCUUUCACCUUAAUUAUAUUUUAAAUCAUAAAAUAAAUUUUUUUAUUUUUUAUUAUUCAUAACAAUUAUUUUUAUAAAUAUUGUGCUACGAACCAAUUUUUCGUAUCUCAAAAGUUUGUGCGACCAACAGUUCAUCGUGCAAAACUCAAAAAAUUUGGGCGAGUACCAAAAAUGGGACGCGGGUUUUUAAAAUUAAAAAAAAAACUUUAGACUUUGCGCGACCAAUAUUUUUUGUCGCUCAAAACUUUGCGCGACCAAUAUAUAUUUUUCGUCGCGCAAAAAUUUUGGGCGGGUAUCAAAAAUGGGACGCGGGAAUUUUUUUAUAUAAUUGUUUUAGACUUUGCGCGACCAAUAUGUAUUUUUCGUCGCGCAAAAAUUUAAAAAUUUUGGCGGGUACCAAAAAUGGGAUGCGGGAAUUUUUUUUAAAAAAAAUAAUUUUUUUAGACUUUGCGCGACCAAUAAUCCUAUAUUCGUCGCGCAAAAGUUUGCGAGACCAAUAUGUUUCGUCGCGCAAAACUUUGAGCGACCAAUAUAUAUUUUUCGUCGCGCAAAAAUUUGGGAGGGUACCAAAAAUGGGACGCGGGAAUUUUUUAUAUAUAAUUGUUUUAGACUUUGCGCGACCAAUAAGUAUUUUUCGUCACGCAAAAAUUUAAAAAUUUUGGCGGGUACCAAAAAUGGGAUGCGGGAAUUUUUUUUUAAAAAAAAUAAGUUUUUUAGACUUUGCGCGACCAAUAUUCCUCUAUUCGUCGCGCAAAACUUUGCGAGACCAAUAUGUUUCGUCGCGCAAAACUUUGCGCGACCAACCAUAUUUUCGUCGCGCAAAGUGAUACGAUUUUUAAAACUGAAAUAACUCCUCCACCAUUUUCUCAAUUUCUUUCUCUACUCUUACCUCUCCUCUCUCUUUCCCUUUCCCCAAAUCCCACCCUUUCUCUCACACUAACUCCUCUCACUUAAUCUCUCAUCUCUAUCUUCACUAUCUCUCACUCUCACUCACUCUCUCAUCUAUCUUUUCACUAUCUCUCACUCUCUCAUCUCUCUAUCACUAUCUUUUCUAAUUCUCUCACACUCACUUCUCCCUCUCAUUCUCACUCACUCUCAAUCUUGCCAAAAGGUAUAUUCUCUCCAAAUUUUAAAUUUUUUUCAUUAAUAUGUGUUUUUGGAGUUAGUUUUGAGUUUGUGGGGGGUUUGGGGUUGAGUAAAGGGGAGAGAUUGGAGUUUGGGUUGGAUUUGUGGUAUAACAAUUUUAGGGGAGAUUGUGCAUUCUUUUUGUUGUUGUUGUUGUUAUUUGACUAUAUUUGUUUUUUUGUAGGGAAUCAUCGAGACUUUGACGGCUAAAGUUGAGGAUUAGGAAGCUAUCAAAACAUAUCCUCCGCCACUACCACCACAAUACGCUUGUAUUAGGAUUUUAUUAUUGUACUUUGUUAAUUUAUAUGUACAUUUUGAAUAUAUAUUUAUAUUUAUUGGAUAAUUUGAUCACUAUUUUUCAUAUGUAAUUUUAUUUUGAAUAUGUCAAUUUAAAUUAAAGUAAUUAAGAAAAAUCUUACAAUUAAAUUAAAUUUAAAAAGUAAAAAUUUGAAAAAAUUAAUAUCAAUUUAAAUUAAAGUAAUUUUAAAAAGAAAUCACACAAUUAAAUUAAAUUUAAAAAGUAAAAAUUUGAAAAAAUUCAUAUAAAUAAAUUCAUACUAAAGAAAAAAUAUUUCGUAGCGCAAACUAUUAAAUUAGUUUAUUUCAAAUUAAAAAAAUUUAAAACAAAAAAUAUUUCGUCGCGCAAAUAUUUGCGCGACGUUACUAUUUGUCGCGUAAAACUCUAAAAAUUUGGGCGGGUACUAAAAAUUUGACGCGGGAAUUUUUUUAAGACUUUGCGCGACCAAUGUAUUUCGUCGCGCAAACAGUUGCGCGACCAAUGUAUUUCGUCGCGCAAAACUUUGCGCUACCAAUAUUUUUCGUCGCGCAAAGUCACUUUGCGUUCGUCGCGCAAAGUUACUUUGCGCGACCAAUAUUUGUUCGUCGCGCAAAGUAACUUUGCGCGACCAAUGAAAAAACUUCGUCGCGCAAAGUCUUUCUUCACGAUCUUUACUCGACGGAUUCUGCGCGACGAAGUUUUUGUGGCGCUGAAAUUUGUGCGACCACAAUUUAUUUUGCGCGACGAAAUUAACUUCGUCGCACAAAGUGUAAAAUGUAGUAGUGGUUUUAUGUAAACUGCCUAUUGCCUCCGGUAAUUAUUAUGCACUUUAUUCAGCAAAAUUUGGAACACCAAACCAUUUUUAAUAUGUUUAAGAUUAUUAGCCCCUUUUUUUAAUUUACAAAAUAUAAUCACUAGAGCCCUCUCGAAUAGUGUUACCCUUACUUGAACCCUAGCAUUAGUACUUGGAUCUUUAUUAGUAACUACAAAGGCUCCAUUUGGUGGAGAUAGACUUUCAUGCAACAGGAAUAACACUUUUUGUUAUCUUCGAUCAAUAGAGCAAUAACAUGCGGGAUAAUUCUUCCACGUGUCAUUGCAUUAUUGACCGAGAAUAGCUAAACAAUGAAUCCUCGUUACAAGAAAUUUGUUUUUUGCAUUUGGUGGAUGGAUAAAAACACUGGAUUGGAUCCAUAAUCAUACUCCUGUGUUUAGUGGCCCAAGUCCACUUGGAUUGGAUUACUUCUAAAUUCUAUUCCUGUCAAACUCAAUUUUAGCAGGAUUAGGAAUCCCCCCAAAACUAGGGGUGGACAUUCAAACUGGAAAACCGAAAAACUGAGCUGACAAAAAACUGCAAUUUUGUACAGUUCUAGUUCUGAUUCUUGUUGUGAAAAAGCUUGACUGGGUCAAACCAGACUGACCACGUAUUUUUAAAAUUUUUAAUAUAUAUUUAACCCCAUUACUAAAUUUGUAAGCCUAUAACUAAUCUUUCUCUAAAUCACCUAUAUUUUUUAGGCCCAAUCACGUCCCUUUGCAUUAAAUUAGGUCACUUGUGAAUUUUUAAAAUUCAAAAAAAUAAUAAUUUAAACAAAGGUAUACUAGUGAUUUGCCCCUGAACUUGUACCUAAUUUUCGAUUAACCCUCUAUCCUUUUUUUUCGAAAAUUAAGGAUAUGAACUUUUUUUUCAGCCAAUUUCCCCCCUAUCGUCUAAAUUCUCAACAUUUCAUCCAAUUUUCAGUUAAAUUAUUUAAAAAAAUUACUUUUUUUGAAAAAUUUGAAGUAAAAGAGUAAACCUAAUGCCAACCCCUUCCAUCUCCUCCCUUCCUUCUCCCAUUCUCCCAUGACCACCAUCCUUUACUCCCAGACCAAUCCCCCACCCCCACACCCUUCAAUCCACAGACCCCUCCCUCCUCCUCUCCCUGUUCACCCGUUUUGGUUUCUACUCCUGUGAUGGAAGGGCAAAGUUCCCCAUUGCCUUGAAAACCAUUGACUGGUCAGCAAGCCAACUUUCUUUGGUAUGCGAGCGUGCCACUGCUAGCAAUGAAAAAUCCUAGCAGACUUCUUUGAAACAGAUAACUUGCGCCCCAAGUUACUAAUUUGUAAACAAACGAUUAUGAAUUUGGGAGAAGAAUAUCUCCCAAGUAAGUUCUUUUCCUACCUCAGGCUGGUGAGGACUUCAUAAUUUAUCACAGUAUAAAAUUGGUAGUUCUGGCCAGAAUAGAUGAUAAUAAAGUGGACUGUUUUAGGCAGAACUGCCUUUUACAAAUUUAAGAAGGAAAAACCAACUCUAAAAAGACAAAAAGAUGGUUGGAAUCCCAUUUCUGCCUGGGUAGAAACUUCUAAUCCAGGCCGGACUGAGCUGUUAACAACUUCUACUGCUUAGCUUUAGCUGUAAAUCGAUACCAAGGUUCAAUUUUGGCAGAGCUUUAAUAUACUUCAAGCCUUGGGAGGCUUUUGAACGGGCAGAACUGCGGUCUCUUUAGUCUGAAGGGGUAGAAAUGGCUAGUCUUGAGGAUUUAAUGAGCUGGAACUACACUGUAAAAUUUGUUGAGGUUUUCAUAUUUGUGAAAACUUAAACUCUGCUUGUCUUGGCUUUUGCUGAACCAAAUUUGUAACGAGAGGAGUCUCGUAUUGGAUGACUUAUUUCUCUGAGUUUGAACUUGGAAGUUCUGAUCUACGGCUGGCUUCUUUUGUGGUUCAAAUGAGCUUUUGGUUGCCCCAAUUUGUUUUGAAGGUUCUCAGUGAUCAAGUGAUCAUUUUGAGUUUUUUUUUUUGCCUUUGGUUGAUGUUUUUUUAUUUAUUUUUAUUUUGAUCGUCUUUUGAUUGUCUAACUUCUCCUAUAUUUAUAAGAAAUGCUUUGAAGUAGGGUUUCUUUCUUUUAAUAAUGGGUGGCAAAAAUUCUCAAAAAGAUCUUUCAUUUUUCUAUACAAAGAAGAAGAAGUUUUUAUCAAUUGCUGGCAGAUAGGCUUUCGAUAGUCAGUUCUUUUUAAGACCAAUCACUUCUCUGUUUUUUUGAAAGAGAACCUAACCCCUCUUUAAUUCCAACUGCCCCUUUGUGAGAGCUCAAACUGUUAAUGUAUGCAUUUUGAGUUAUUUCUUUUGGCUUCCCUUGACAAUUUUGUAAUAGGAUUUUUAUUGUUUUUAUCAAGCUCAAGCUUAGAUUAAGAAUAGCUUCUCUAGGUGUUCUUAACUAACAACUAUCCUAUGGAGAUUCAAGCAAUUUGACAAAGGUAAGUAUGCAUUGCAUAUCAUGGCAUUAAAACUGUUUUCAUAAAAUGAUGACUAGUCAUCUAUUUCUCGUAUGACUAGUCAUCCUUGCUCUGUAGGAUUUCUAGCUGGAUAACAAAUCUUUUUGUCCUAUUCUCCUUUCUCUCUCUGCUGCCAUGUGGGUAUUCUGACCUAAGGGAAUUUUUGUCUUUAAAAGGCUAUCAAUUCCCUCAUUUGCAGCCGUCACUCUUGGGGGAUAGGUUUUGGAAAGUUUCAUAGCAAACUUUCGCUUCUUCUUCCUCAAGAGUAACCUUCAUAUUUUAUGACAUCUAUGAGUUUUUCCGAAAUGAAUUCUACCUCCUGAAAAACUGCAUGUGUCUUUGAAUCUCAUCUAGCUGCAUAAAUCACUCUCAUUUAUAUCUAGGUUUGAUUCAAGACUAAUUUCUUCAAGAGAAUGGUUUCUUGAGGAAAUUGGUCAUUCUUCUUUGAAUCCAAAUUCUGGUUUCGUUUUUGAGUUGGAGCUUGAAAGCUAGUGCCAUGGGAUGAACGAGCUGAGAAGGAGCUGCCAUUGCCAUGAUGAACUCAGCUUCAAGCUUUGCUAAGUUGGAGAAGAAGAUUGCACAAAGGAGGUAUUGCUCAUCUUCCUAAAUAGAUCUAGGUUUUGCUUGAGCUUGUUUGUGUUCCUUUGUAAGAAUCUUUUUCUACUUAGUGGAUUGCCUGGUCGGUUGAUGACCCCCAGUUUUUCCCAAUGGUGGGUUUCUGGGUGAACAGUUUCUGGUUUCCAUCUCUGUAAAUUUUCUGGGUUUGUGUUCUUGGUAGUUGACUAGUCAUCUGUAUCUUCAGUUUGCUGUUUACUUGUUCUUGGUAGUUGACUUGUCAUCUGUAUCUGCUGUUUGCUGCUUACUUGAUUAAGAUGAUUUCACACACUUUCACCAUAGUUGUUGCUAGCACAAGGGACGCCUAGAUUGACGGGUCCUUCUGAGUGCUUAGGUUGUAACUAGUAAUCUUCUAGUGUUGCAGGUACCUUGUGGCAUGAUUUGUAUGCAAUCUUGAUUGUGAUUGUUUCUGACUAUCAGUUGACUAGUCAUAAGUGUGCUUGGUCAAGUUCUAAAGUGUGUGAAGGUUAUUGUGUUUUGGUUGUGUCGUUAAAUUUACCCCUCGUCACCUAAGUACCAUUUUCAAUUGGUAUCAGAGCACCAGCUCUUAACAUAAAUAGAGAGAUCCUUUGGGUGCUAGUUGGUAUUAGGUGUGCAAACAUAAAAAUGGAUCAAAUUGCUCCUUGCAUUCAUGAUGAGCUUGCCUUGUUUGUUAAGAAUUAUAGAAGGGUUGUCAAAGAUAAAACCAAAGUCACUAGGAAUUGUCAGAUUCUUCCUAGUUCGUCUACAUGUGUGUCUCAAGACAAUGUUUUUAAGGAGAUGAAUGUUUUGGACUCUUAUGGCUUUAGGGAGGACAAAAGUUUGAAAGGUCUUGUAAAGUGCUAUCUAUGUGGUGGUGCUGGUCACAUUGAUGUGGAAUGUGCAAAUAACCACAAGACAAAGUUUAAUGGGAGAGAAGAGUCAAUUAGUGCACAAUGGAGUGAUAAUGGUAGUGAUGAUUCCAAUAACUAUAUCACUUCAUCUUAUGAAGAGGCAAAUAAUUUUGCCCUUGUUGGUUCUGUUCAUAACUCUAGCCUUGCUAGAGUUCAUGUAGUUAAGGAAGAAUCUGUGUCUAGAGAUGAUAUGCACGAUGACCAGUCAUAUAGAGAACAAGAUGACCAGUCAUACAAGGAACAAGAUGACCAGUCAUACAGAGAACUAUGUGAAAAGUAUGAUAUGCUUUUCAAUGAAACCUGUAAUUUCAAAGAACAUAAUCUCAUGAUGGAAGAAAAGGUUAAGAAACUUGAUGAACUGAAUGAAACUCUCAAAAUGACCAAAAAGAAGUUGAGUGAUAGCUUGUAUGAGAAUGAAGUUGACAUGUAUGAAUUGUAUCAUAAAGUUAGCACUCUUGAAAAAGAAAAUUCUGAUUUGACUAAGAAGUUGAAUGUCCUUGAAAAUGACAAAUCCCUGUUUCUUCAUAGACUGAUUUUAUUUGAGUUUGAAAAGUCAUUUGUUGAGCAUGAAAACGUAGUCGUGCAUGAUAAGUUUGUGGUUGAAAAUUCUGAUUUGCAAUGCAUGUUAUUUGAGAAAGACAUUGAGGUUCAAUACUUGUUUGAGAUGAUAAAAUCACUUGAAAACAACAUGGUUAAAAAAUCUGAAUCUUUUGAUGCUUUACAAUUUGAAAAUAUAAGAUUGGAACAUGAACUUAAGUUGGAAAAAGAAAAGAUUCAAGGUUUAACCAUUGGUGCUGGAAAGAUUGAUAAAAUGCUCAAUUUUGGAAAAUUGUUCGGUGAUAAAAGAGGUUUAGGAUAUAUAAAUGAGUCUUCUACACCUUCAUCAUUUGAGACAAUCUUUGUCAAAGAUGUGUCAACUCAAGAAGCUCUAAAAUUUGUUCAUGAUCUCAACUUGGGUUUUGAUUCCAUGAAUAUUGUUUCUAAGGGAAAGCUGCCUCUUUCACAAUCCAAAUUUGUGCCUACCUGCCACCAUUGUGGUGUGAAAGGACACAUUCGACCUAGGUGUCAUAUCCUUAGGAUUGAGUCUCAAGUUUCCAAAGAAAGUGAGUUUAAGACUCAUGUGUCAUCUUUUAAGGGGUAUGCGACUGUAAAGUCUGUGGUUUGUACAAGAAAUAAACAUUCUUCACUUGCAAAAUUUAGUUUCCUACAACCAAAAAGGUUCAUUCCUAUAUGCCAUCAUUGUGGCACAUUAGGACACAUUAGACCAAAGUGUUUUGAUUUUAGGAAUUUUGAGCAAAAGCCUUUUGUUCAUUUCAAGAAAGUAAAUGAUGACUCACUUCAAACUCAAGUGAAUGAUCUUCUUUAUAAAGUUGUCAAAAUUCCUAAGGUGAUCUCUUUGCCUCAUAAAGUCUCAAAAGUGAAGCAAGUUUGGAUCAAGAAGGAAGACCAUGUUCUUCCUCAUGUUGGUGACUAGUUUCUUUAUUUUAUGUAUCUAGACCAUUCUCUUAUUUGUGUGUGCUUCAUGGAGUCUAGAUACAUUGUCAUGCAUUUGCACCUUGUUCUUUUGUUUUAUUAUUUUUAAAUGUGGUCAUUGCAUGCAUAUCUUUCAAUCAUCUCUCUCACAGUGCUUUAAAUCUUGGGUGAUCAACAAAAUUUCAAGUUCUUUUGAACUUAUUCACAUUUAUCUUGUUGGUCUUGUCCAAACUUUUUCCCUUGGUGGCAAGGAGUACAUUCUAGCCAUUGUAGAUGACUUCUUUGGAUGUAUUUGGGUCUCAUUCUUGCUUGAAAAAUCAGAAAUCUUUCAAAGGUUUAAAUCUGUCUACCAUCUUUUACAAAAAGUGCAGAUGACUAGUCAUUUGCCUCUUGUUAGAUUUAAAACAGAUCAAGGUUCUGAGUUUGAGAAUUCUCAGCUUCUGAAAUUUUGUGAGGUGAUGAGAAUUAAGCAUGAGUUCUUUGCACCUAUUCCUCAGCAAAAUGGUGUUGAAAAAAAAAAAAAAUAUAUAUAUAUAGAGUUCUUGUUGAGAUGGCUAGGGUGAUGCUCAAUAGCAAAAAUUCUGCUAAACAUUUUUUUGGGUUUACAUCUCAAACAAGGUGUUUUUGAGGUAUGGUGCCAAACAAAUUCCCUAUGUGCUUUGGAAAGGUAAGAAACCUAAUGUGUCUUAUUUUAGAGUCUGUGGUAGCACAUGUUUUAUCUUAAGAGAUUGGGAACACCUUGCUAUGUUUGACUCUAAAAGUGGCAAAGGAAUUUUUCUUGGGUAUUCCACUUCAAGCCGAGCCUAUAGAGUAUAUAAUUAUAGGACCGGAACCAUCAUGUCAAUAUUGAUGACUUUGCUGCCUUUACUGAGAUAGCAUUAGAUGAGGAUGAUCUUUUAUCUUCUAUUCUUGAGGGAGAAUCUCCAGGUCUGGAUCUACUGGUUGACCUGUCAACCUUUAGCAAAUUGGUUGACCAGUCAACUCUUGACAAUUCUGUUCUAGUUGACCUGUCAACUUGUCAUAAUCAACCUCAGAAUCUCAGCUCAUCUGUCCCUGUUGAAAACUCUCUAUAGAAGCAAGAUAGGAAACCUUCUCUACUUGACUGCAAGUAGACCUGACAUUUCCUAUAAUGUAGGAGUUUUGUGCUAGGUUCCAAAGUGAUCCCAAAGAGUCUCAUUUGUUUGUUGUCAAAAGAAUCAUAAACUAUGUGAGUAGAACUUUUGAGUUUGGGUUGUUGUAUACUUAUGACACUUGUGUCAAUCUUAUUGGGUAUAGUGAUGCUGAUUGGGCAGGUUGCAGUGACAGUAGGAAAAGCACUUCCAGGAUGGUCUUUUAUGUAAGCAACAACCUAGUUGCUUGGCAUAGUAAAAAACAGAAAUCUAUCUCUUUAUCCAUUGCUGAAGCAGAGUAUGUUGCAGCUGGGAGUUGCUGCACUCAACUCCUUUGGAUGAGACAAAUGUUGGAAGACUAUGGUUUUGCUCAAUCAUGCUUUCUAAUCUAUUGUGACAACAUGAGUGGUAUAGAUAUUUCUAAAAAUCCUGUUCAACACUCUAGGACUAAGCAUAUAUACAUUAGGCACCAUUUUAUUAGAGAUCUUGUGGAAGACAAAAUUCUAUCUUUGGAAUUUGUUCCCUCUAAGAAACAGCUAGCAGAUAUACUCACCAAGGCCUUGGACUUUCAGAAACAUGUCACACUUAGAUAGUCCAUUGGCCUUUGCUCAAUUGAUUGAUUAGCUUGUCUGUUCCUUAUCUUCAGCACAUUGCAAAACUGUUGACUAGUCAUCUUCGUUUUAGUUGACUAGUUAAAUAUAAAUUUUUGUUUACUUGGUGUGCAAAUGUCAAAAACAUCUGUUUCUUCUGAUCUCUGAUAGUGUGAAGUUUGAAUCAUUUUAUGCUUUGCCUGAUUUGUGCAUAAUUCCCCCCUUCUAGUUUGGAGCCAUUAGAUGAAAUUUUUUUGGUGUUUUUAUGUCUUCUUGGUGAGACAAGUGUUGUGAUCCAUUGUGGACAGUCAUUGUUAUAAUAUCCUAUCUUAUCUCACUCUCUUAGGCAAUUUGUUUAUAAAUUUUUAAAAAAAAAAAAAGAAAAAAAAAAAAGGGAAGUGUGACCAAUGUAGUCACGACUCUAGGAAGGUAUAAGGUGAUAUGAUUGAAGAAUCUAGAGCAAGAGCCGCAAAAUUGGGCCACUCAUGCACUUAAGUCUGGGAUGUGCAAAUAUCAAACAUAAAAAAUGGCCAGAUUGAGUGAUGAAAAUCAAAUAGGUUGAGUCUAUGCUUUGAGUUUGUCUUGAAAGUUCAUUAUAUACUUGUCUCUCCAAGAGCGAUAUUUCUUCAUCUCUUGUGUUUUUCUUUUGGCUCUGAACCUCCUCUGUCCAUCUUGACUUAUCUCUGAGCAUGAAAUCUAAUUCAUAUUCUAUCUAUCAGAGUUAGUUGAAUUAUUUUGUUUGCACAUGUGGUUAUCUUCUCUCUCUCUUACUUACUGUGCUUGAAGACUUGGACUAGGCUAUAGUAGCUAAUACAUCGUUGAUCACUUGAUAUAUUUGCUAGUUCAUGUUUGUGUUUUUAAAACCAAAAUCAUGUCUUCUUCAGGGUCAAUACUAAAUUUGCUGCUUGCUAUGAUAUUGCUUGAGUUCACUAGUCAACAUAUGCUCAUGCUGAUUGUGGUUGACUAGUCGUCUGCUUAAUAUGGAUCUUAUGCCUUUUGGUGAAAUUAAUUUUCACUCUCUAAGAACCAAAACCAUUGGUUAUGACACAAAGCACAAGGGCUCACUUGUCUUCUCCUUAUCUCAUUUACACCUUCUGUUCGAACAUUGGUAUUGUGUUUAUGUAUGAUCAUGUUUAGAUGACGCCACUUUGGUCUAUGCCCAGUCAUCUUAAUAAGGUGUGUUCCCACAUUCAAUGAUUUAGCCUAACAUAAUUCUUGAAAUCCUUAAGAGUCUACCUUGCUAUAUGAGUUUUUGGAUUGUUGGCUAAUUUAUUUUGUUGGGGGAGUUUCUUUGAGAUGCAUGUGUUUUGGCAACAUUCUUGCUGGUUGUUUUUAUCAUUUUCAUACAUCAAUGUUUCCUUCCUAAGCCUUAUCUCUAUUGAUUUGCUCUCUUUUGUUCUUGGCUGUGUCUAUGAGGUUGUUGGUCUUUUGAUGCCACCUCAAAUUUAGACAUGCGUGACUAGUGCAUUUCAUAGUCCACUCUCUUCUCCUUGUGCUUUUUUUGGAAGCUAUGUUGUGUUUUUCUAGACAACCUAGAGACUUAUUUCUUGUAUUCUUCCUCACAUGUCCUCAAUUUUGUGCAAAAAUUUAGGGUUCAUCUUGCAUGGUGCUUUCUUCAAAUUUGACAUUGAUUGAUGCCUUAAAUUUUGAUAUUUUGGUGCUUUGUCUUGAUUUUGCACUAUGGUGUGUAAAGAAAAAUUCAUUGGUUGUCCCUUGUUUUGAUAAAUAUGUUGCUUAAACUCUGUCUUUUUAGGGGAGUUUCUUUAUGUGUAAUGUGUACACAUUGAGCCACUUGAUUUUAAUUGCUUUAGGUAUGAUUCCUUGCAACUUGUGCUCCAUUUCUUAUUCUUUUUAGCCUGAUGCAUUUUUGUGUUUGUUGGCUAUUUAUGGAAAGUUUGCUGAAUCAGUACGUCAAAGGUUGUUGGCUAUUUAUGGAAAGUUUGCUGAAUCAGUACGUCAAAGGUUAAUUCUUUUAUGCUAUAUGAUACUCAGGGGGAGUAACAAAUGUUGUUUGUGCUUUGUAAUCAAACUGUGUCAUGUGCAUAUUGUUCAAAUCUGAUUAUGUGACUUGUGUUUAAUUCACUUGAUUACUGUUUCUCUAUAUUUGCCUUUUUGCUCUUUCCUUAUCAACAAGGGGGAGAACACUCUCAACCCCAUAUUGCACAUAUUCUCUUUCCUUAUCAACAAGGGGGAGAACACUCUCAACCCCAUAUUGCACAUAUUCACAUAUUGCAUAUUGCUUCAAAUUUCUGUGAUAUAAUAUGCUCGUCUUGUGCCUGGGAGUUUGGUCGUUGUUUUGCAGGUACUUCAUUUAAUCAUCUCCCUAGGUUCGAUUUUGGGUUGAGUGUAUUUAGAGAGUGUGUUGUCAAGGAAAGCCAAAAAGGGGGAGAUUGUUAAUGUAUGCAUUUUGAGUUAUUUCUUUUGGCUUCCCUUGACAAUUUUGUAAUAGGAUUUUUAUUGUUUUUAUCAAGCUCAAGCUUAGAUUAAGAAUAGCUUCUCUAGGUGUUCUUAACUAACAACUAUCCUAUGGAGAUUCAAGCAAUUUGACAAAGGUAAGUAUGCAUUGCAUAUCAUGGCAUUAAAACUGUUUUCAUAAAAUGAUGACUAGUCAUCUAUUUCUCGUAUGACUAGUCAUCCUUGCUCUGUAGGAUUUCCAGCUGGAUAACAAACCUUUUUGUCCUAUUCUCCUUUCUCUCUCUGCUGCCAUGUGGGUAUUCUGACCUAAGGGAAUUUUUGUCUUUAAAAGGCUAUCAAUUCCCUCAUUUGCAGCCGUCACUCUUGGGGGAUAGGUUUUGGAAAGUUUCAUAGCAAACUUUCGCUUCUUCUUCCUCAAGAGUAACCUUCAUAUUUUAUGACAUCUAUGAGUUUUUCCGAAAUGAAUUCUACCUCCUGAAAAACUGCAUGUGUCUUUGAAUCUCAUCUAGCUGCAUAAAUCACUCUCAUUUAUAUCUAGGUUUGAUUCAAGACUAAUUUCUUCAAGAGAAUGGUUUCUUGAGGAAAUUGGUCAUUCUUCUUUGAAUCCAAAUUCUGGUUUCGUUUUUGAGUUGGAGCUUGAAAGCUAGUGCCAUGGGAUGAACGAGCUGAGAAGGAGCUGCCAUUGCCAUGAUGAACUCAGCUUCAAGCUUUGCUAAGUUGGAGAAGAAGAUUGCACAAAGGAGGUAUUGCUCAUCUUCCUAAAUAGAUCUAGGUUUUGCUUGAGCUUGUUUGUGUUCCUUUGUAAGAAUCUUUUUCUACUUAGUGGAUUGCCUGGUCGGUUGAUGACCCCCAGUUUUUCCCAAUGGUGGGUUUCUGGGUGAACAGUUUCUGGUUUCCAUCUCUGUAAAUUUUCUGGGUUUGUGUUCUUGGUAGUUGACUAGUCAUCUGUAUCUUCAGUUUGCUGUUUACUUGUUCUUGGUAGUUGACUUGUCAUCUGUAUCUGCUGUUUGCUGCUUACUUGAUUAAGAUGAUUUCACACACUUUCACCAUAGUUGUUGCUAGCACAAGGGACGCCUAGAUUGACGGGUCCUUCUGAGUGCUUAGGUUGUCACUAGUAAUCUUCUAGUGUUGCAGGUACCUUGUGGCAUGAUUUGUAUGCAAUCUUGAUUGUGAUUGUUUCUGACUAUCAGUUGACUAGUCAUAAGUGUGCUUGGUCAAGUUCUAAAGUGUGUGAAGGUUAUUGUGUUUUGGUUGUGUCGUUAAAUUUACCCCUCGUCACCUAAGUACCAUUUUCACAAACCGUGAUGUUCAGUUUGCUUUUCCAGUUUGAACAACUCCCUGUUUUCCUGCUUAUCUUUUUUUGGGAAAUUUAGCCUGUGUAUCCCUUGAAAGAUGGUGCUUUCUUUGGAUUAGAAACAAUAUCUAUGAAUAUAUAAAAGGGUUUUGAUCUUUGUGGUGGCAGAGAUUUCAGAGACAUCCUUUCUUUCUGCCUCCCUCUGUCAACUCUCUUAUCAACCUAGUUGAUUUUGUUUGACUUUUCUAAGUCAGAGAAAAACAAUCACGUGGGUCUGUUUUCUUUUGAGUUUCUACUUUUUACUUUGAUCAUGCCAAGCCCAAUUUAGUUUCUUCGAAACCUAAGCUUGAGAUAGGUUCUAGGCCGGGCUUUUGUUGGAUUUUGGACCUUUGGUUCAUGUUUAUUCUCAAAGUCCAGACUUCUCGGGCCCAGCGUUGUUGUCUUUGUUAUUUUGGGCUUUGUAGCGUUUGGGCUGGGUGACAAGAUUUUGGCCCAAACACUCCCUUUUUGUUCUUUCAACCACAGACUCAUCACCACCAUCCUCAACAGACCUUCCGCCGUCGCCACCUCCUCUCUCUCUCUCUCUCUCUCUCUCUCUCUCUCUCUCUCUCUCUCUCUCUCUCUCUCUCUCUCUCUCUCUCUCUCCACACACACACUCCCUCAAUUUCCCACCCCAUCUGUUAAUUUCAAUAUCUCCACACUCGAAAAGCUCACAGUCGAUCCAAGCCUUUCAAUGCCUCCCAUCUCAAGCUUUUUCCAAAUUCACACAAAACCCAUCAACCAAAACAUCAAAAAAUUCAAUCUUAAACACUUGGAUUUGGAAAAAAGAUCAAAAUCAAAUAAAAUCUAAUAGAAUUUAAAUCCAUGCCACUUGGAUAGCAUUUGGGGUGGGAGGUUGUGGGGAAGGAGAAAAAAGAGAAGGGAGGGUUGGGGUGGGGUGGAAGGGCCAUUGGAAGUUAUAUGGAGAGAGGGAGCGUAGAGGGGCCAGAAAAAAUAGAUGGAGAGGGUAGGGGUGAGGGAGAGAGUGAUUGGUUGGAUGGGCCUCUCUCUUAUUAAAAUAUUUUUUCUUUCAUUUUAUAUUUCAUAUUAUUGUAUUUGUGUAUUUAAUUAUUUUAACAUAUAAAAUGACCAUUUUGCCCUCAUAUUUAAUGGCAAAUUGGAUGAAAUGUUGCAGAUUUAGACGACAGUGGGGAAAUUGGCCAAAAAAAGAAGUUCAUAUCCUUAAUUUUCUAUAUUAAAAAAAAAAACAAGACGGGGGGUCAAUUGAAACCAAAGUACAAGUUCUGGGGGCAAAUCACUAGUAUACCCAAAAAACAAAAAUUUUAGUCCCAAUUAUGGGCAAAUUAGACCGCAUUGGAAUGAAUUUAUUUUUAUUUUUAUCAAAACCAAACCAAAUCAGACCAAAUAAAUAGUGCUAGUUCCGGUUUGGGGUGAGAACCAGAUCGUGCUUACCCCUAACAAAAACUAAGGGAUAACCUCGGAUAUGCUACGAUCGAGUGCAACCCAACUCCGACAGAUUAGGUUGCAGUCGUCUCCUCCAAUCUUCAUCCCCAACAUUGAGCCUCCAUCACCUCGACGAUAACUCAGCCAUCUCCGACAAACUUGAGCAAUUUCUAGCAAAACCCACCCAUCUCUUGCCCAAACCAUUUCAUCACUGAUCAUAUUUCUCCUAUGAACUUCUUCAUCAUAAGUGAUCAUUUCAUCACUGAUUUCUCAACAUCUUGUGUUUUUGUUAGAUUGUAUGUGAGUUUUGAUUAUUAAAUUCUUUGACAAUAUUUGAGUAGUUUAUAGGUUAGGAUAAAGCUUGAAUUCACCGGAAAAUUUUCAUUUUUUCUAUAAAUAUUUGACAUACAAUAUUGGAUUUUUUUUUCAUUUUCUCUUUUACAUUUCCUGGGUUUUUGUAAUGUUUGAAAUCUGUGUGUGUCUGGGACUGCAAUUGGGUAUAUUCUUUGAAGGCCCAAUUUUGUCUUUUACAAAUUUACAACUGCUAUUAAAUUUCUAAUAUCCAUUUAAGCAAUUAACGGAGCGGAGAUGAUAAAAUUUGUUUAAAUUUAUAUUGAUUAUAAAUUUAUAUAGAUUAUGGUUAUUUAUAGUUUAUUAUUUGGAUUUAUAAUUGGGAUAUUUGUAGAAAUGUCACCUGAAAUUCUACCUUAGUUUCAAUUUGUUAACUGAAAAAAAAAUUUAAGAGAAAUGUCACUUGAAUUUUUCAAAAUCUAUCAUUUGUCACUUGACUUUAACAUCAUCCAAUUUUCCAUCUAUUUUGAAGGGUAAUUUAGUCUUUUUAUUUUCAAUGGUAUUUUAAAAAUAGAAAAUUCAUUAUAAAAAAAAUUAUAUAUCUUUUAAAUAAUUAAAAAGAAAAAGAAAAAAUUGUGAAAAAAAACUUCUCUCUUCUCCCUCUUUAUCUUCCACACCCACCGUCACUACUCUAUUUAAAUACAAUUUAAAAUAAAUAAAUAAAUAAUUUUUUUUAAAACAUAAAAAUCAAAAAUCAAAAAAAUGAAAGACACCACCUCCAAUCCUCCAAUCCCAACCGCCAGCCACCAUUGUUCUCUCUUCUCUUUCUCCCCAACAACAACCCACCACCCCAACUCUGAUCCAUCUCACCCCUUAUUAUAUAUCUCUCUCUUCCUCUCACAAGAACAAACCCUGCCCCACCAUCCCUAGUUGCUCACGCUAGAUUUUCCAACCCAUCUCCACCCCAAUCUCUGCCCAUUCGAGGGUCACCCCACUUCUCUGUCUCCAUCUCUCCCAUUUGGCCAUGCCCAUCCUUCCCACCUCUCCGUUGCUGGGUCCUUCCUUCCCCCAACAACCCCCUUCCUUUUUUCAAGUUUUUUUCCUUUCACUAAUUAUUUAUUUAUUUAUUUAUUUUUUGUCUGAUCAGUUUUUAAAAUUUGCCAAUAUGUUAAAAAUGGAAAACUUAGGUUUUUACAUUUAACCCCCUAUCCAUUUUUACAUUUAAGCUUUUUUUUUUAAAUAACAAUUUUUUUCAUUUUUAAAAUACCCUUGAAAAUGAAAAGACUAAAAUACACUUCAAAAUAGAUGGAAAAUUGGAUGAUGUUAGAGUCAGAUGACAAAUUUUAGAUUUUGAAAAAUUCAGGUGACAUUUCUCUUAAAUUUAUUUCUCAUGUGACAAAUUGAAACUAAGGUUUAAGUUCAGGUGACAUUUCUACAAAUAUCUCUUUAUAAUUUUUAUGAUUUUUAUUUUAUGAGAAUUUGACUUUUUAUCUCCAGGUAUUGGAAAAUUACUGUUUUUAUUUAUUUUAUUACAAAAUUGUUAUUUUUUAUGUAGAAAAGUUCAAAAUUAAAAUGGCAUGUUUAACUUAAUCCAGUUUGACACCAAACAUAGGAUUUGAUUGGUGUUAUCCACUCCAAUCCAAUGCAAUUCAAUCCUACUUCACAAUCCAAUUCAAUUCCGGUCCCCAAACAGACUAAAAGAUUCAAAAGAACUACACAAUUAAACCUUAUUAAUUCCCUUCAAGUAGUGCUUGAACCUUACUUGAAUCUCUUAAUUAGUACCAAUGUUUACAAAGAGGGAUUCAAUUAAUCUGUAAAUAGACAUCAGUUGAAUCCAAAGUCAAAUUCAAAAGAUAUUUAACCCCAAUUUAUAGACCUUAACUAUGUACAAAUGGUUCAGCCCUAAGGAAAGAGAGAAAAUCCUAAGGAACCCCUUGGGGUCAGUGGCCUCCCUCCCUCCCCUCUCCACUAGUUCUUCCCUACUCUCCUAUCCUCCCCUCCUCUCCCCUCUCCUCUCAUCUCCUUACCUCCCUAUUCCCCUCGAUACUUCUUUGUUUUUUUUUUUUUUUUUUUUUUGUGGUGUGAAAUCAACUGUUGUGAAACGAUGUAGUCGUUAUGAUAGUUGUCAUCUUUCAACCCACGUACAUGAGAAUUUGGCUCCAUUUGUCAUCCUUCAACAUGGUUUGGAGCCACAAGAUGGGAAAAAUGUCGGGCUGCAUCGCGUUUGGGUUUAACCGGUGAAGCUGUGGCUCUCUAUCAGCUGUCGAGGAUGUGGAGCGAUGGCCUUGCUUCUUAAUUUGUUUUUGUCUAAUAAUUUCCAUGUUUCCAUGAACUGUAUAGCAAUUUGGUGUGUGUGUGUGUUUAUUUAUUUAUGUUUAGGAGGUUUUAUUUCUUUUUAGCUUUUACGGAUCUCUCAUUUUUGCUGAUGCGCAGCGAAUUUGUAUUAGAGGUUCGAGUAGGUGUGCUUUUGGUUGCUGAGUCAGGGAUUAUAGUAAUUUUUUGGAGAAGAUUCGUGUUGUUGUUGCAUUUAGUCACUGGAGAAGAUUUACCAAUAUUCAGAACCAUAAUUGCUUUGUACUUUUUUCAUAAAAAAAUUAUUAUCGAAUAUUCAGAAGGCAUUUAAUUCCCUUUUUCUUGAACCGUUCGUCAUCUAUGUUGCACGGGUAUGUUGAUAUGAUACGAUAAGAUUCACCGAUAAGGCAAAAUUCCAAAAAACUAGGAUAGGGGUACAGCAUCGAUACGGCGAUUAAAAUAAUAUAUAUUUAAAAAUAAUAUAAAUAGAAAAAAUUAAUAUUACAUCCAUCAUGUCAUAAUCAUCCAUCAUAAGUGCAAAACAUAAAACUAAACACAAAAUACAAGUCUCCAUAAACAAAACACAAAAUACAAGUCUUCAUAGGAUUGUUCAAAUCAUAAAAAAUAUAUAUAUAAAAAGCAAUACAAAAACAAAAUUUCUAACUUCAUUCAUCAUUGUCAUCACAGGUAAAUAUGAUUGCUUCUAAUUCCUUCUUCCUAUUUCUUCUUCUUUUAUAGUUAUUCUCUCCCAAAUAAAAUGAAGACCUAGCUUCUAUCAAGAAGAAGAGGCUGAGUGUUUACAAAUUGAGUUUUUAAAAUUAACAUUAUCAGAAGACAAUAGGAGUAUAUAUCGACAUAUCGGAUACGAGUAUCAGAGUAUCAGAUACGAGCACACCCCUCUAGCUAAGAAUAUCGGUGCAACAUAGUUGGUCAUUAAGGUCUACAAGAAUCGAUUAAAUGUCUUUCCAACGAUCAAGUUUUUUCUUGUUUUUGGAAAUACUUAAUAGUGUUGUUUUUACAGCCAAGUUAUUUUAGUUAUGUGAGACAAAUUGUAUGGAAAAGUGAGAAGUAGAGAAAGACAAUAGAAAUUGUUCUUAAAAGUAUCUUUUGUGCUUCAUAAAGCACCUGUACUGCUAAUUACCAUAAUAAGUGUAUAGGUUACAAAACAUAGAAAUUGUGGAGAUUAUAAACUUCUGUAAAAGAAAACGACACGAUUUUAAUUAGCGUGUUUAUGUGUUUUUUUUUCUUUAAAGAAACUAUUUUCUAACCUUAAAAAGAUCCAAAUAUACCACUAGAAGUAGGUUUUUUGGGGGAUAGAUGCUUUAUUAAAAAUAGAGUAAUGCUACACUUACCACAUUUUUAUCCCACAUUUCUAUACCACGUGAUGUGGCAUACCCAUAUUAUAUGCCACAUGAAUUAAAUCAAUAAAAUGUAUUUUAAUUAAGACAAUUAGAAAAACAAAUACUAGAAUAAAUUAUAAAAGAACAGAAAAUAUUAAAUAAUUUCAAUUGAUGCGGCUGUGUACCUUAGUUGUCACAUAAGAUGGUAUAAAGAUGUGAUAUACAAAUGUGGUAAGAGUAGCAAUAUUCUUAAAGAUAAUAAGCACCAUAAAAGUUUACAAAAGAUAGCACUGAAAAGUUUAUAAAAUAAGAGAAAGCCAAAUUCACGAGUUCCUCAAGAGUACAUUUUACGAAUUAAAGACAAAGGAAGUUUUGCAAAUGAUCAAUACACCAGUAGAUUAGUUAAAUAUAAGGUGCUUACAAAACAAAAAAAUCAGGGCAAUCAUCAAGCUCAGUAGACCUUCCAAAUUCACCAUGUCUCUGUCAAGGCAGUGAUGAAAAUAAUCAAAAUUUCAGUUAUUGGAACUUCCGUAGGCUGACACUUGAUGAUUUACAUCACUCUAAUUGCUUCAAUAGGGUCCCUGAAAUACAUAGUUGAUCAAUUAAUUUGCUUCUUGCAAUCAUUUCUCAAUUCGGGAAUUAAAUUUUUUGAGAAACUAAAGCAUGCAAAUUAAACAAAACAACAAACCACGUGUAAAUUAAUUUAGGGAGAUUCACUAAAUUAGGCAGAUCAAAGCACCUUUCAUACUCAUUUGAAAAAUCCUCUUCAUAGAAAAAUCAUGAUAUCAUAAAUGCGAACAAUUACUUACAGAUUUAGCGAGUGACCAUUGUUGGAAGAUUUUCAAGGAAACAAAUAUGAUCAUUGUUGGAAUUCAUAAAUAAGUAGGUAAAUAGGAAAUGCGGAUGUUUGGGAUCUUAGCAGAAAUCUUGGCCCACUCUCCAUUGCCUUCUGCGGAUGUUUGGGAGCAAGAGAAAAGCUUUGCAGAUACAAAAGAAAAGCUUUGCACUGCGCCGGUUCUAGCCCUUCCAAACUUUGAGAAAGUUUUCGAAGUUGAAUGUGAUGCCAGCGGUGUGGGAGUCGGAGCUGUGCUUUCAUAAGACAAGCGGCCAGUUGCGUUCUUCUCUGAAAAAUUGAGCGAUGCACGUCAAAAGUGGAGUACUUAUGACCAAGAGUUCUAUGCGGUUGUUCGAGCUUUGAAGCAAUGGGAGCACUAUCUUAUCCAGAAGGAAUUUGUUCUGUUUACAGAUCAUCAAGCGUUGAAGUAUAUUACCAGCCAGAAAAAUAUUGAUAAGAUGCAUGCUAGAUGGGUGACUUUUUUGUAGAAAUUUUCGUUCGUUAUCAAGCAUAAUUCCGGCAAGACAAAUCGUGUGGCGGAUGCGCUGAGUCGAAGAGCUUCAUUGUUAGUCACGCUGACUCAAGAAGUUGUGGGGUUUGAAUGUCUGAAGGAAUUAUAUGAAGGUGAUGAUGAUUUCCGGGAAAUUUGGACUAAGUGCACCAAUCAAGAGCCGAUGGCAGAUUACUUCCUUAAUGAAGGUUAUUUGUUCAAAGGCAACCAGUUAUGUAUUCCAGUUUCCUCUUUAAGGGAGAAGCUCAUUCGGGACUUGCAUGGUGGAGGGUUGAGUGGCCACCUAGGCUGUGAUAAAACAAUUGCAGGGAUGGAGGAGACAUUUUACUGGCCACAGCUCAAACGAGAUGUUGGAACUAUUGUGCGCAAGUGCUACACUUGUCAAACUUCGAAGGGGCAGGUACAAAACACUGGAUUAUAUGUGCCAUUACCAGUUCCUAACGAUAUUUGGCAGGAUCUUGCUAUGGAUUUUGUCCUCGGAUUGCCCCGAACACAAAGGGGAGUGGACUCUGUAUUUGUGGUGGUUGAUCGGUUCUCAAAAAUGGCGCAUUUCAUAGCCUGCAAAAAGACUGAUGAUGCAUCAAAUAUAGCCAAACUGUUUUUCAGGGAGGUUGUUCGCUUGCAUGGGAUUCCUACAUCCAUUACAUCCGAUCGUGACACCAAGUUCUUGAGCCAUUUUUGGAUCACCUUGUGGAGGCUGUUUGGGACUAUUUUGAAUCGUAGCAGCACUGCCCAUCCCCAGACCGAUGGCCAGACUGAGGUUACAAACCGGACAUUGGGCAAUAUGGUACGCAGCGUCUGUGGAGAGAAGCCAAAAUAAUGGGAUUAUGCACUACCGCAGGUGGAGUUUGCAUAUAACAGUGCAGUCCAUAGUGCCACUGGGAAGUCUCCAUUUUCCAUUGUUUAUACUGCUAUACCUAAUCAUGUUGUAGAUUUGGUGAAACUGCCUAGAGGCCAGCAAACCAGUGUGGCAGCGAAAAAUUUGGCAGAGGAAGUAGUUGCCGUUCGAGAUGAAGUCAAGCAGAAACUUGAGCAAACUAAUGCUAAGUACAAAGCUUCUGCAGAUAGGCAUAGGCGAGUUAAAGUGUUUCGGGAAGGCGAUUCUGUGAUGAUAUUUCUGAGGAAGGAGAGGUUUCCAGUUGACACAUAUAGCAAGCUUAAACCAAAAAAAUAUGGUCCUUACAAAGUGCUCAAACGGAUCAAUGAUAAUGCCUAUGUUAUUGAGUUACCAGAUUCCAUGGGAAUUCCCAAUAUUUUUAAUGUUGCAGAUUUAUAUGAGUUCCGUGAAGAUGAGGUCCUUUAUCCAGAUCAUAACUCGGGGUCGAGUUCUUCAGCGGUGGAGGGGACUGAUGUAGAACAGAUGGCAGAUUUUAUCGCGGUUGAGCUAGAAAAAGGACGUAGCGGGAAUUUGCAGAUUUAUCUUCCGAGCUCCGAUUAGGACGCAAAAUACCAUUUCGGAAAGGGAACGACGCCACGAGUCAAACUCACAGCUUUGCUGUGAUGUAUGAUGGAUUUUGGCAUUCUGAGGUCGUUUGGCCUUCCAAAACUGCUUUCAAAGUUCGUAGUUAAUUAUCCGAAUAAAUUCUGUUUUCAGUUUCGGAGUUACGUAGUUAAGCCUCCGAAUUAAUUCUGUUUUUUCAGUUUUAAUGUAAUAACUCCCCUGGCAGUUCAAGGGUUGAGAAUUGUGUAUUUAGACAGGUUUGUCUGUCAUUUUUCAUUAUCUCAUAUUUUAAUACAAUUAUCCCAAGAGAAUUCCUCUUAAUUUCUGGUGGAAUCUAGAUAUCUUGUUACUUAAAGUUUCGCUUGAAACCUUUGUUGCUUGUGCUGCGUCACUAUUGCUCGUUUUCUUUCUCUCCAUUAGUCAACGUCUACUGGCCUGGUAAUUAUUGAUUAAAUAGUGCAUUAAUUCCUUGUAAUUAUAAAAUAGUGGCUUUAAGUUCUUUCGUUAUCUUCUUUGGAUUUAACAGUGGCUAAACUCAAAACCACCGUUACACUAGAAUCAAUAGGAUCAGAAUCUUUCCAAAUCACCGUUACACUAGAAUCAAUAGGAUCGAAUAUAUAUAUAUAUAUAUAUUCUUUAAAGAAUUAAUAGGAUCAAAUUGUUGAGAUUCAAUUACAAGAUCCCCUGAAAAGGUGGAAGAAGAAACAAAAAGUCCUCCCUUAGGUUACUUGAAUUAAAACUGGCUUCUUAAUUAUUCAAAAGUAUCUGUGGAUGAAUCAAUGCAGACUACUUAGACUUCACAUUUCAUGCCUUAAGACUUCGUGCAUAGUGAUCACAUAUUUUCUAUUCGCAAACUAUCUUUUAGAGUAAAGUCUACUAGGUUGGAAUAUUAUUAUUUUAAUUGGGUUGCAAAGUUAUAAUAUUAACGAUGAUGACCUACAAAUAGAUUUAUUUUAUAUGUUGUCCCAUUUUUAAAUACUAUUUUGUCCUAUGUAUAUGGAUCACAAUCUUUAUCAAUAUGUAUAGUUCGGGUUAGGAAACGACAAAAAGUUGAUAUGACUAGGAGCUUAAAGAAUUAAUGAAGCGUGGAUGCAUUAACAAGGGUGGACGGACGUUGUGUUUCAUUUUUAGUUUUUCUAAUAACAUCUUACGGAAAUCAUAGUCUAAAUUACUUUAAGUUAUUCUAACAUAGGAAAAGGUUAAUGGGUCUAGCCUAGUGGAAAAAAGUAUUAACUUACAGAUAAGUGGUCUCAGAUUCAAACCCGCAUAACACCUUGAUAGUGUGUGUGUGAAAAACUCCCUCUCUUUUGUAGUUUACAUUAGCGCUUAUAUUGCAAAAUUAUAUAUAUAUAUAUAUACACACAAAAGAGAGUAUUAAUUAGUUAUUAUUGUUUGUUAAUUCAUGAAAAUGAAAUGGUGAUGAUGAAUAGGUAGGACCAAGGGUGAAGAAGGACAGGGAGAGAUUUCCACCAAACAACGUACUUCUGGUUUUAGCAGGAGCUGGGUUGCUGUGGAUGGGGUGGGCAGGUUUCAACGGGGGAUCCGUACGCGGCAAACACGGACUCAUCCAUGGCCGUCCUCAACACCAACAUCUGCGCCGCCACGAGCUUCUUGGUUUGGACUUGGCUCGAUGUCAUCUUCUUUGAGAAGCCUUCCGUCAUUGGAGCUGUCCAAGGAAUGAUCACUGGCCUCGUCUGCAUUACUCCUGCUGCAGGUACGUAUUACGUAAGUUCUCAAGUUGACUUUUUUCCAGAGUUAAGCAAAGUUGAAUUAUAUGCCUGUGGGUUUAAUCUAGUGAAAAAAGAACUUGAUUUGCAAAACAAUGAGAGUAUAUGUGAGAAAACUCCCCGCUUUUCAAACUUUGACCCAAAAAAAAACAAAGCAAAGUUGACUUAUAUUUAUCAUCCCAAUUAAUAAAAACAAAAUUAAUAUACUUACUUACUCAUCACAAAACGCAGUGCCUUCCUUUAAUUAAUCCAGAAAAAUUAAGUUUAUUUGACUUUUGACUACUUAUAUUUACGUUCUCUCACAGAACACGUUCUAGUUCUAUUUGGUAUCCUACUUGGAUCCAAUUUUAUAAACUCAAAAACAAAUUUGAAGUUUAAAACCACAAAAACCCGUUUGAAAUGCCCCUUUUUAAAAACUCAAACUCAAGAAAAAUUCAAAAGCACCCCUUUAGUAAAAACAAAAAAAAUGAGGUUUUAUAGUUUUUUUCUCUCUCCUCCCUCUCUCUCCUUCCUCUCCCGUCACUCCUUCUCUCUCCUCCCUCUCCUUGUCUCUUUCUCUCUCCUUCCACUCCUCUCUCUCUCUCUCUCUCUCUCUCUCUCUCUCCCCCCUUUUAUUUUGGAGGUUUCAAUUUGGGAAUUUAGGGUUUCUGAUUUUAAUUUCAAUUUUUUUAGAUCUAAAAAAUAGUUUGGAGUUCAAUACCAAAAAAGUUUUUAAAUCUUAAAAUCACCAUUUGAAAACUCAUAUUUUAAAAAAGAAUCAUAGUUUUUGAAUUUUUUUAUUUUUUUUGAGUAGAAUACCAAAUAAAGCCAAUUUCCGAAAAAAAUUCUCAUAUGGUUCUCUAACGUUUUCUCUAAAUAUAUUUGCAUCUCUUUUUCUUUUUUUCUAUAUAUUAUUUAGCCAGUUUUUAACAGGAGUGGUGACUCAUCAUGGCAUGUUGUGUUGACCAUGCACAAUCAUUUAAUUAACCAUAUUAACUAGCUAGCUUUUAUUUUAGUUUUGUUUGUUCAUAGACUGAUACAAUAUUAUUGUUUAAAUAUGUAAAUUAUUUUGGUUCAAGGAUGGGCCGCUAUAGUGAUGGGAGUUAUGUCAGGCAGUGUGCCCUGGUUCACCAUGAUGAUAAUGGACAAGAGGUGGAAACUGCUAUCCGCAGUUGACGACACCCUUGGUGUAGUUCACACCCACGCCGUGGCCGGGUUUCUUGGUGGCGUUUUAACGGGGCUUUUCGCUGAGCCUGAACUAUGUGCACUCUUUUUGCCCGUCACAAACUCACGCGGAGGCGUGUACGGAGGCUCAGGAGGAAUGCAAAUCCUCAAACAAAUUGUGGGAGCCCUAUUUAUCAUUAUUUGCCUAGUCUUACGGUGUAUAGUUCCGUUGCGCAUGCCGGAGGAACAGUUGCUGAUUGGGGAUGACGCAGUGCAUGGAGAAGAGGCAUAUGCAUUGUGGGGUGAUGGGGAGAAGUAUGAUGUUACUAGGCAUGAGCUUUGCUCCGAUGAUACGUCACACGCUCAAAAAUAUCCAUCCAGUGGUGCCACUCAGGUGGUCUAACUCAAAGUUAUAUAUUAUUUAUGUUAAUAAUCUGUUCCAAAAAAAAAAAAGAAAAAAAAAAAGGCCAAAAAUGAAAAGAAGAAAAAACGAAGUACGAAAAAUAGGUGUUAUUGUCAAUUAUUAUCUUAUUUUCUGGUGAUCUUUUCAAUGUUUUAUGUAAACUGCCUAUUGCUUCCGGUAAUUAUUAUGCACUUUAUUCAGCAAAAUUUGGAACACCAAACCAUUUUUAACAUGUUUAAGAUUAUUAGCCCCUUUUUUUAAUUUACAAAAUAUAAUCACUAGAGCCCUCUCGAAUAGUGUUACCCUUAGUUGAACCCUAGCAUUAGAACUUGGAUCUUUAUUAGUAACUACAAAGGCUCCAUUUGGUGGAGAGAGACUUUCAUGCAACAUGAAUAACACUUUUUGUUAUCUUCGAUCAAUAGAGCAAUAACAUGCAGGAUAAUUCUUCCACGUGUCAUUGCAUUAUUGACCGAGAAUAGCUAAACAAUGAUAUCCUUGUUACAAGAAAUUUGUUUGUUGUAUUUGGUGGAUGGAUAAAAACACUGGAUUGGAUCCAUAAUCAUACUCCUAUGUUUAGUGGCCCAAGUCCACUUGGAUUGGAUUACUUCUAAAUUCUAUUCCUGUCAAACUCAAUUUUAGUAGGAUUAGGAAUCCCCCCAAAACUAGGGGUGGACAUUCAAAUUGGAAAACCGAAAAAUUGAGCCGACAAAAAACCGCAAUUUUGUACAGUUUUAGUUCUGAUUAUUGUAGUGAAAAAGCUUAACUGGGUCAAACCAGACCGACCACGUAUUUUUAAAAAAUUUAAUAAAUAUUUAACCCCAUUACUAAAUUUGUAAGGCUAUAACUAAUCUUUCUCUAAAUCACCUAUAUUUUUUAGGCCCAAUCACCUUCCUUUGCAUUAAAUUAGGUCACUUGUGAAUUUUUAAAAUUUAAAAAAAAAAAUUAAAAAACAAGGGUAUACUAGUGAUUUGCCCCUGAACUUGUACCUAAUUUUCGAUUAACCCUCUAUCUUUUUUUUUUCGAAAAUUAAGGAUAUGAACUUUUUUUUUUCCGCCAAUUUCCCCCCUAUCGUCUAAAUUCUCAACAUUUCAUCCAAUUUUCAGUUAAAUCAUUUAAAAAAAAUUACUUUUUUAGAAAAAAUUGAAGAAAAAGAGUAAACCUAAUGCCAACCCCUUCCAUCUCCUCCCUUCCUCCUCCCAUUCUCCCAUGACCACCAUCCUUUACUCCCAGACCAAUCCCCCACCCCCCCACACCCUUCAAUCCACAGACCCCUCCCUCCUCCUCUCCCUUUUUGUUCUUUCAACCACAGACUCAUCACCACCAUCCCCAACAGACCUUCCUCCCUUUCCGCCGUCGCCGCCUCCUUUCUCUCUCUCUCUCUCCCCACACACACACUCCCUCAAUUUCCCACCCCAUCUGUCAAUUUCAAUACCUCCACACUCGAAAAGCUCACAGUCGAUCCAAGCCUUUCAAUGCCUCCCAUCUCAAGCUUUUUCCAAAUUCACACAAAACCCAUCAACCAAAACAUCAAAAAAUUCAAUCUUAAACACUUGGAUUUGGAAAAAAGAUCAAAAUCAAAUAAAAUCUAAUAUAAUUUAAAUCCAUGCCAUCGGAUAGCAUUUGGGGUGGGAGGUUGUGGGGAAGAAGAAAAAACAUAAGGGAGGGUUGGGGUGGGGUGGAAGGGCCAUUGGAAGUCAUAUGGAGAGAGGGAGAGUAGAGGGGCAAGAAAAAAUAGAUGGAGAGGGUGGGGGUGAGGGAGAGAGUGAUUGGUUGGAUGUGCCUCUCUCUUAUUAAAAUAUGUUUUCUUUCAUUUUAGAUUUCAUAUUAUUGUAUUUGUGUAUUUAAUUAUUUUAACAUAUAAAAUGACCAUUUUGCCCUCAUAUUUAAUGGCAAAUUGGAUGAAAUGUUGCAGAUCUAGACGGCAGGGGGGGAAAUUGGCGAAAAAAAGAAGUUCAUAUCCUUAAUUUUCUAUAUAAAAAAAACAGGACAGGGGGUCAAUUGAAACCAAAGUACAAGUUCUGGGGGCAAAUCACUAGUAUACCCAAAAAACAAAAAUUUCAGUCCAAAACCAACUUAUGGGCAAAUCAGACCGCACUGGAAUGAAUAAUUUUUUUUUUUUUUUUAUCAAAAUCAAACCAAACCAGACCAAAUAAAUAGUGCUAGUUUCGGUUUGGGGUGAGAACCAAAUCGUGUUCACCCCUAACAAAAACUAAUAGAUAAACUCGGAUAUGCUACGAUCGAGUGCAACCCAACCCCGACAAAUUAGGUUGCAGUCGUCUCCUCCAAUCUUCAUCCCCAACAUUGAGCCUCCAUCACCUCGACGAUAACUCAGCCGUCUCCGACAAACUUGAGCAAUUUCCAGCAAAACCCACCCAUUUCUUGCCCAAACCAUUUCAUCAUUGAUCAUAUUUCUCCUAUGAACUUCUUCAUCAUAAGUGAUCAUUUCAUCACUGAGAUUCUCAACAUCUUGUGUUUUUGUUAGAUUGUAUGUGAGUUUUGAUUAUUAAAUUCUUUGACAAUAUUUGAGUAGUUUAUAGGUUAGGAUAAAGCUUGAAUUCACUGAAAAAAUUUCAUUUUUUCUAUAAAUAUUUGACAUACAAUAUUGGAUUUUUUUUCAUUUUCUGUUUUACAUUUCUUGGGUUUUUGUAAUGUUAGAAAUCUAUGUGUGUCUGGGACUGCAAUUGGGUAUAUUCUUUGAAGGCCCAAUUUUGUCUUUUAUAAAUUUACAACUGCUAUUAAAUUUCUAAUAUCCAUUUAAGCAAUUAACGGAGCAGAGAUGAUUAAAUUUGUUUAAAUUUAUAUUGAUUAUGAUUAUUUAUAAAUUUAUAUACAUUAUGGUUAUUUAUAGUUUAUUUUUUGGAUUUAUGAUUUUUAUUUUAUGAGAAUUUUACUUUUUAUCUCCAGGUAUUGGAAAAUUACUGUUUUUUUUAAUUUUAUUACAAAAUUGUUAUUUUUCAUGUAGACAAGUUCAAACUUAAAAUGGCAUGUUUAACUUAAUCUAGUUUGACACCAAACAUAGGAUUUGAUUGGUGUUAUCCACUCCAAUCCAAUGCAAUUCAAUCCUACUUCAUAAUCCAAUUCAAUUCCGAUCCCCAAACAGACCCCAAAAGUUCAAAAAAACUACACAGUUAAACCUUAUUAAUUCCCUUCAAGUAGUGCUUGAACCUUACUUGAAUCUCUUAAUUAGUACCAAUGUUUACAACGAGGGAUUCAAUUAAUGUGUAAAUAGACAUCAGUUGAAUUCUGUAGGGGCUUUUUUCUUCCGGCAGCUUAAACGGGCUGGGCUGCCGUAAAUGGCAGAUUGAUGAAAUUGUCCCCUUUGUCUGAGUUCGAAAAUCAAGCCCCAAAAGCGCUUCGAAAGGGCAGUAGAGCCUUAGGAAGCGUUCUGGUUACCUUCACCAACUAAAACAACAGCAACUUACAGAUGAUUUCUUGAUGCUUACAGAUAAAUUUUCUAGCUUCGCAUGAGAGGCUUGUGGCAUGGAAGCAAAAUCAGCAUGAGUUUAGCACCAAAGAGGAAAAUAUGGCUUUCUAGGGAGAAAGGGGAGUGUUAAGGUGAGGAAGAAGAGGUUUGCAAGCAGAUUUGGCUGAGAAGAGAGAAAGAAAGAACCACAUUCUUCCGGCAGCUUGACAGAAAUUCUGUCAGAUGUGAAAAUGGUCUGCCAGAAGAAGAAAAUGGAGAAGAGGGGUGAAUAGUGCACGAGAUUGCUGGGUUUUUGCAGGCAAGAGAGGAAGCUUGCUCUCUAGGUAUGUGUUCUUUAGCUAAUGAUGAAGUAGUGGGGUGCUAGGUAGUUUCCGGCAGCUCGACGAAAACUCUGUCAAGCUUUGGAAAAGUUUACCAAAAGGGAAAAUGGGAAGAGAUGGAAGGAUGAGCUCGAAAUUGCAGAUGUUUCAGAGGUGAGAGAUAAAGCUUGCUCUCCAGAUCUGAGUUGGAUUUUUAUUAGGUAGAAAAGGCCCCUUUUAUAGCUGCUGGAAGCCAUCUUUUCCAAGAAACCCUAAUGGUUUCUAUCUAAUUUGGCCAAGCUUUUUCCUUCCUUUCUCCUCCCCUUCUUUGACUUAUCUUAUUCUAGCAAAAUCUUCUCUGUUUAUUUGCACAAAAUCAGGAAUUUUGGGAGCUCAAGGCCCCCUUUUGCCGCAGCUGUUCCAGUGGGAGACUUCCAUUCCAAGCCAUCUCCUUCCUUUCUUUCUUUCUUUUUCCAUGGUCAGGUCUGACGGGGGAAGGAAUUGGGGUAUGUAUGAUGGUUCGAAAGGUGCUUCUAGCAGCUCGCAGGCUAAUAUUCAUUGGUUCCUUGAAUGUUUCUUGCUUGGAACUUGCUCCCCCCAUGUGCUGGAGCUUCCCAGCAGCUUUUCAGACUUUCCUUCGUGACUUUAUUCUUCAGCCAAGUGCUGGAGCUUUGCAACUCUUCUAUUGUAAUUGUAUGGGCCAAGUUGAUUUAUUGAGUAAGUGGGCUUUCUUUAUCAAAUAUUUGGGCUUUUUGGUUGAGUCAAUAGGCUAUUUUGGUUGGGUUAUUUUUCUUUGGAGUGAUGGGCUAUUCUUUUCUUUCUUGUGCUUACCCACAUGUUUGGGCCUAUGAAAUGGGCUUGAGUCCCGACACUACUACAUUUUACACUUUGUGCGACGAAGAGAAUUUCAUCGCGCAAAAUACAUUAUAGUCGCACAAAUUUCAGCGCGAUAGAAACUUCGUCGCGCAGAAUCCAUCGCGCAAAGGUUUGCGCGACGAAAAAUAUUUGUCGCGCAAAGUUUUGCACGACGAAACACAUUGGUCGAGCAAAGUUUUGCGCGACAAAAAACAUUGGUCGCGCAAAGUCUUAAAAAAAUUUAUAAAAAAUAAAAAAUUCCUGCGUCCUAUUUUUGGUACCCACCCAAAUUUUUAGAGUUUUGAGGGACGAAUACUAACGUCGCGCAAAUAUUUGCGCGACGAAAUAUUUUUUGUGUUUAAAAUUUUUUUAAUUAAAAUAAACUAAUUUAAUAGUUUGCGCUACGAAAUAUUUUGUCGCGCAAAGUUUUUGACUUUUUGUUUUAUUAUUUCUUUAAUAUUAAUUUAUUUGAAUUUUUACUUUUUAAAUUUAAUUUAAUUGUAUGAUUUUUUUAAAAUCACUUUAAUUUAAAUUGAUAUUAAUUUAAUUACAUUAAUUUUUUCAAAUUUUUACUUUUUAAAUUUAAUUUAAUUGUAGGAUUUUUUUUAAUUACUUUAAUUUAAAUUGACAUAUUCAAAAUAAAAUUACAUAUGAAAAAUAGUGAUCAAAUUAUCCAAUAAAUAUAUAUAUAAUAUUCAAAAUGUACACAUAAAUUAACAAAGUACAAUAAUAAAAUCCUAAUACAAGCGUAUUGUGGUGGUAGUGGCGGAUGAUAUGUUUUGAUAGCUUCCUAAUCCUCAACUUUAGCCAUCAAAGUCUUGAUGAUUACCUACAAAAAAACAAAUAACAACAACAACAACAAAAAAAAGAAGGCAUAAUCUCCCCUAAAAUUGUUAUACCACAAAUCCAACCCAAACUCCAAUAUCUCCCCUUUACUCAACACCAAACCCCACACAAACUCAAAACUAACUCCAAAAACACAUAUUAAUGAAAAAAAUUUAAAAUUUGGAGAGAAUAUACCUUUUGGAAAGAUUGAGAGUGAGUGAGAAUGAGAGGGAGAAGUGAGUGUGAGAGAAUUAGAUAAGAUAGUGAUAGAGAGAUGAGAGAGUGAGAGAUAGUGAAAAGAUAGAUGAGAGAGUGAGUGAGAGUGAGAGAUAGUGAAGAGAGAGAUGAGAGAUUAAGUGAGAGGAGUGAGUGUGAGAGAAAGGGUGGGAUUUGGGGAGAGGGAAAGAGAGAGGAGAGGUAAGAGUAGAGAAAGACAUUGAGAAAAUGGUGGAGGAGUUAUUUCGGUUUUAAAAAUCGUAUCACUUUGCGCGACAAAAAAUAUUGGAAUAUUGGUCGCCCAAACUUUUGCGCGACGAAACAUAUUGGUCGCGCAAAGUCUAAAAAAAAUUUUUUUUUUUUUUUAAAAAAUUUCCCGCAUCCCAUUUUUGGUACCAGCCAAAAUUUUUAAAUUUUUGCACGACGAAAAAUACAUAUUGGUCGCGCAAAGUCUAAACAAAUUCCCGCGUCCCAUUUUUGGUACCCGCCCAAAUUUUUGCGCGACGAAAAAUAUAUAUUGGUCGGGCAAAGUCUAAAGUUUUUUUUUUAUUUUAAAAACCCGCAUCCCAUUUUUGGUACUCGCCCAAAUUUUUUGAGUUUUGCACGACGAACUGUUGGUCGCGCAAACUUUUGAGAGAUGAAAAAUUGGUUCGUAGCACAAUAUUUAUAAAAAUAAUUGUUAUGAAUAAUAAAAAAUAAAAAAAUUUUAUUUUAUGAUUUAAAAUAUAAUUAAGGUGAAAGCUACUUAAUAAAUAUAUAUACUAUUCAAUUUCUUAAGUGUUAUACGUACAAAAUAAAUAAAUUUAAAGCUACUUAAUAAAUAUAUAUAUACACACACCAUUCAACGAUCCAACCAUAAGACUUUUUUGUAUAUACUUCAAGAUCGUAUACCCCAAAAAUCGCAAAAAAUAAACAUUCAGAGAUCUAGUAACGGGACAAAACUUUUAUAUGGUUAUAAAUGAAAAAUCACGAUUUAACGGUUAUUUUAACUCCGAUUUUGAUGAUUUUUUUACAGCUACACUUGUUGACCCUAUAUGAAUACAAUGACUGAAUUUGAUCUUCAAUUUAAAAUAUUUACACUAGUGGAUACCACAAAAUCUUAUGUUAUAUUUAAAGAAAGUAUAAAUAAACUCUUAAUUGUUAGUGAAUAUAUUAUUUUGAUGGCAUAUGCAUUCUACGAAACUAGUUUCAACGAUCCAACCGUCAAACUUGUUUGUUUAUACUUCGAGAUCAUAUACGCCAAAAAUCAGAAAAAAGAAACAUUCAGAGAUCAAGUAACGGGACAAAACUUUUCGACGGUUAUAAAUGAAAAAUCAUGAUUUAACGGUUAUUUUAACUCCGAUUUUGAUGAUUUUUUACAGCUACACUCCUUGACCCUAUAUGAAUACAAUGACUGAAUGUGAUCUUCAAUUUAAAAUAUUUACACUAGUGGAUACCACAAAAUCUUAUGUUAUAUUUAACGAAAGUAUAAAUAAACUCUUAAUUGUUAGUGAAUAUAUUGUUUUGAUGGCAUACGCAUUCUACGAAACUAGUUUCAACGAUCCAACCGUCAAACUUGUUUGUUUAUACUUCGAGAUCAUAUACGCCAAAAAUCGGAAAAAAUAAACAUUCAGAGAUCAAGUAACGGGACAAAACUUUUCGACGAUUAUAAAUGAAAAAUCAUGAUUUAACGGUUAUUUUAACUCCGAUUUUGAUGAUUUUUUACAGCUACACUCCUUGACCCUAUAUGAAUACAAUGACUGAAUUUGAUCUUCAAUUUAAAAUAUUUACACUAGUGGAUACCACAAAAUCUUAUGUUAUAUUUAACGAAAGUAUAAAUAAACUCUUAAUUGUUAGUGAAUAUAUUGUUUUGAUGGCAUAUGCAUUCUACGAAACUAGUUUCAACGAUCCAACCGUCAAACUUGUUUGUUUAUACUUCGAGAUCAUAUACGCCAAAAAUCGAAAAAAAUAAACAUUCAGAGAUCAAGUAACGGGACAAAACUUUUCGACGGUUAUAAAGCAAAAAUCAUGAUUUAAUGUUUAUUUUAACUCCGAUUUUGAUGAUUUUUUACAGCUACACUCCUUGACCCUAUAUGAAUACAAUGACUGAAUUUAAUCUUCAAUUUAAAAUAUUUACACUAGUGGAUACCACAAAAUCUUAUGUUAUAUUUAACGAAAGUAUAAAUAAACUCUUAAUUGUUAGUGAAUAUAUUGUUUUGAUGACAUAUGCAUUCAACAAAACUAGUUUCAACGAUCCAAUUGUCAAACUUGUUUGUUUAUACUUCGAGAUCAUAUACGCCAAAAAUCGGAAAAAAUAAACAUUCAGAGAUCAAGUAAUGGGACAAAACUUUUCGACGGUAAUAAUGAAAAAUCAUGAUUUAACGGUUAUUUUAACUCCGAUUUUGAUAAUUUUUUACAGCUACACUCCUUGACCCUAUAUGAAUACAAUGAACUAAUUCGAUCGUCAAUUUAAAAUAUAUAUUUUCUAACAAAAACCCAAUCUGAACAACAAUAAUAUAUUUUUCUAACAAAAAUCCGAUCCGAUCUAAAAUAAUAAAUUUAAAGCUACUUAAUAAAUAUAUAUACUGUUUUAUUUCUUAAGUGUUAUGCAUACAAAAUAAAAAACAAAAAUAAAUUAGUUUAGGCGACGAAAUGUUUGGAUUACGUCAUACAAAGAUUUUAAAAAUAAUUUUUUAUUUUUAUUUAUUUUUAUAAGGACUUUGCGCAACGAAGUUUACUGUUUCGUCGCGCAAAGUCACUUUGAGUGACGAAUUAUUUUUCGUCGCGCAAGACUUUGAGCGACAAUGUAUUGUCGUCGCGCAAAAGUUUGUCGCGCGAAGUGACUUUGCGCGACGAAUUAUUUUUCGUUGCGCAAAAUUUGGUCGUACAAGACUUUGAGCGACGAAGUUUCGAGUUUCGUCGCGCAAAGUGACUUUGAGCGACGAAUUGUUUUUCGUCGCGCAAAAUUUGGUCGCGCAAGAGGUUUUUUUUAACUAGUGCGAGGCUCCCAAGCAACCCGGGACUUCCAUUUCUUGGCCCAUCAAUGGGCCUCAUGAUAAUUUAUUACCAUCCAUACCACAACCCACUCAAGCAAGCCCCGGGCAUCUUGCGUGGCUUGAGCCCACUUAAGCUUGUAGCGUGGCAUAUUGCUUAUUUGCUUGGCGUGGCAUGUGUGCAAAGUGUACAUGACGAACUUUCGAGUGCCCAAAUUGGGUUUCUUCUUGAUAAGGUAUCGCAUUGGGCCGAUAAUUUAUUUGGACCUAAGCGUGGAUUUUUUGGGCCUCAACAAAUCCAAAGUCAAAUUCAAAAGAUAUUUAACCCCAAUUUAUAGACCUUGACUAUGUAUGUAAUAACCCAAAACAAAAAUUCUUAUUUAAUUAGUAAUUUAUUUGGAGAAAAGACAAUUUUGCCCUCGGAAUAUUUUAUUAAGAAAAAGGUGACUUUUUAAUCGAGAAGGAAUUUGGCAAUUCCGCUUACGCAGUUGCGUAGAGCACGACGAAACGAGUCCGUAGACACAGAGUGGACUCGAAUCGAAGUUGUAACGAAGAAAAUACGGUCAAAAUACCGCGAAGGGUAAAACGGUAAUUUGAAAAAAGUCAGUUUUUAUCUCUUCUCUCUCUCUCUUCUCCUCAGCUUUUUCUCUCCUCUCUCUCUCUCUCCUCCCGCGCGACCAGCCGCGCGCCUCCUUCCCUUCCAGCUCGUCCCGCCGCCACCACAGGCCGGCUCGAUCUCCGGCGUGGGUACCAACGGAACCACCUCAGCCCCGCCGUCCUUCCCCGACCCGUCGCCUCCCUUGGGCCGCCCAGAACUGGCCGGAAAAUCGUGAUUUCUGACCGGUUUUCACCCGAACUUCUCUCCUUUCGUUCUCCUUCGUUUCUCAACCAAAUCGUUCGAGUAAGGUAUGGAUUCUCACCUAUUUUUCGUGCUCUAACUGAUGGUUGGCUGGGUUUGAUCGAUUUUGGCUGUAGAACACUCGAUUUUCGAAUUGAAAAUUGGCCGAACUUCGGCCGCCGUGAUCGGCCAUUUCCGGCCACUUUUUGGGGUAUGUCCAAGAACAAAAGUGACUCCAAAUGGGGUGUUUUACCUAGGAUAGGAGUUUGGAGUCUUCGUUUUGAGUUUUUCCGGCGAGCCGCUAUCGCUUUGGACACCCAAGCUGCCGGCGCGUGUGGCAGCGCAUGGGUGAGGGUAGUGAAGUGACUCUGUCUAGUUUUGCGAUUCUCGUGUUGUCACGAGUGCGUAGGAUUUCGCGGAUCUCAAUUUGGAGUCCGUUUGAGCCCCGAACGAAUUUUCCAUAUUGCCCGAUUCCUGGGUGUAGUGUCGUCGAACCGUUGGAUCGCGCUCAAUUUUGGAUAUGUUGUUCCAGAUAAUUUCAUAAUCGUGUAGGAUUAAAACGGAUUGUGAAUCGGAGUCCCGGAUACUCCGAAAUCGUGAACCCUGGGGCUAGGGUUUGGAAAUUUUAUGAUUUCACGAUCGUGGUCAAUCCGAUCGUUAGUUUCAGACCAAACUUGCAGGACAUGGUUCCUGAAAUGUGAGGAACUUAAAGGAACUCUCAGAUUAGUCAUUGGAGGUCGUGGACCCCACGGGGUUUCGUAUUGACCAAUAUGAAAGUUUAUCGCUUAGUGAAGUCUUGAGUCCUUUCAGACGAUUUUUAAACAUCUGAAAUGCCUAAGUGGGCAGAAACAUGACUUUAAAGUUAGUGCACGUACUUCUAAAAGUCGGGGGUCAGAGUUUUACUUAUAAAACUUUUACCGAGCAGUUUUAUUAAUUAAUUAUUCAUAAUGGUUUACCCAGGCACCCGGGACCAGUCAGGCCCGCAAGAGAGACCUUCAGGAGGUCUAGCUAGCUCGGACCAGGAGUGAGUGGACUUUUCUUUUCUAAAUGAUAUUUAUAAUUAAAUUUUAUAUUUGAUCUUGAAUAAGUGUUAUUACAUAUUUUCUGAGCAUGAACUGCAUCGUGAAAUAUCUUUAUUUUUAUAAUACUUAGUUGAGCAGCAGACUUGAGAUCUUUGAUACAUAAAUAGUAACUUAGCUCAGAUUUAUCAGAUUUCGAAGAAUUAUCAGAUUUUUCUAAAUUAGAACCACCAUGUACCCGCUUGUUUUUAGUGAUUACCCUCAGACAGACCGAUGUCUACGGACAUCCAGUCUGUUUACAGUUCUGUCAGUGCACUUGACAUUGCCUCAUGAGUUUCGAGGACGCUCGUACCGUGAGUGCCAGGAUUUGCGGCUCGGCUGACUCUGUGUCCCCGAGACCUGCCAGGAUUUGCGGCUCGGAUUGACUUGGUGUCCCGAGACCUGCCAGGAUUUGCGGCUCGAGUUGACUUGGUGUCCCGAGACCUGCCAGGAUUUGCGGCUCGAGUUGACUUUGUGUCAUCGAAACCUGCCAGGAUUGCGGAUCAGGCUGAUUAUGGUCCCCUGAAUCCUGCCAGCGGAUCAGGCUGACUAUAGUCCCCUGAAUCCUGCCAGUUUGCGGCUCGGAUAGACUUUGUGUCGCCGAGACCUGCCAGGGGAAUUGACGGAAUUACAGGGGUACAUCCGAGUGGUAGUUUUAUAUAAUUGCAGUGCCUUUAUGCAAGGUUUGAGUACACUACUUUUGUGCAAGUUUGAUUUCAGUGUUUUUAUGCAGGCUUUGAUUUCAGUGCUUUUAUGCGAAUGUUGAUUAUAGUGAUUUUAUGCGAGUUUUCUCGUUAUUGAGCAUGUUUUACAUCUGCGUAUAUAUAUAUAUAUAUAUUUAUGUGAAUACGUUGUAUUUGAAUAUAGUCGAACAUUCAGAUUUUAUAUCUAUUUUUCUAUAGUGGGGGUUAUUAUGUUCACAUAUUGUUUUCUGGAACCCUAUUUUUGUCCACUCACAUUUUCAAAUGUUUUGCGCUCCCAGGAUGUAGCGUGCACAGGAAAUCCAUCACCGGGCCAUCUUGCCUUCCGCACUUCUUGUUACAAAAGUGUGGGUUUGUAAAAAGAUUAACUUAUCUGUAAGCUAUUAGACUUGCUCUGAUAUAUUGCCCUAGAGUGAGAAUAGACCUCAUGGCUCGUAUAUUGAAGUUCUGGCAGUUGGUGUGAAGUUUGUUGGCUUGUUUAACAGGUGGAAGUUUUUGGGUUUGGACAAAUUAUAGGGGAGACUCUGCCGAAUUUUCGGCAGGGGUAGAAGGAAAGUUUUAAACGUCUUUGUAACAGGAAGGGUAAAAAGGUCAUUUGUGCCCGACAUUCGCCAGGUGUCGGACACGCACAGGGUCCGGCCCGAAUUCCAAAGUGGAAUUAGGAUCGGGUCCUGUCAAUGUACAAAUGGUUCAGCCCUAAGGAAAGAGAGAAAAUCCUAAGGAACCCCUUGGGGUCAGUGGCCUCCCUCCCUCCCCUCUCCACUAGUUCUUCCCCUCUACUCUCCUAUCCUCCCCUCCCCUCCCCUCUCCUCUUAUCUCCUUACCUCCCUAUUCCCUUCGAUACUUCUUUGUUAUUAUUUUUUUUGUGGUGUGAAAUCAACCGUUGUGAAACGAUGUAGUCGUCAUAAUAGUUGUCAUCUUUCAACCUACGUACAUGAGAAUUUGGCUCCAUUUUUCAUCCUUCGACAUGGUUUGGAGCCACAAUAUGGGAAAAAUGUCGAGCUGCAUCGCGUUUGGGUUUAACCGGUGACGCUAUGGCUCUCUUCUGGCUGUCGAGGAUGUGGAGCGGUGGCCUUGCUUCUUAAUUUGUUUUUGUCUAAUAAUUUCCAUGUUUCCAUGAACUGUAUAGCAGUUUGAUGUGUGUGUGUGUUUAUUUAUUUAUGUUUAGGAGGUUUUAUUUCUUUUUAGCUUUUACAGAUCUGGCAUUUUUGCUGAUGCGCAACGAAUUUGUAUUACAGGUUCGAGUAGGUGUGCUUUUGGUUGCUGAGUCGAGGAUUAUAGUAAUUUUGUGGAGAAGAUUCGUGUUGUUGCGUUUAGUCACUAGAGAAGAUUUACCAAUAUUCAGAACCAUAAUUGCUUUGUACUUUUUUCAUAAAAAAAUUAUUAUCGAAUAUUCAGAAGGCAUUUAAUUCCCUUUUUCUUGAACCGUUGGUCAUCUAUGUUGCACGGGUAUGCUGAUAUGAUACGAUACGAUUAACUGAUAAGGCAAAAUUCCAAAAAACUAGGAUACGAGUACAGCAUUGAUACGGCGAUUAAAAUAAUAUAUAUUUAAAAAUAAUAUAAAUAGAAAAAAUUAAUAUUACAUCCAUCAUGUCAUAAUCAUCCAUCAUAAGUGCAAAACAUAAAACUAAACACAAAACACAAGUUUCCAUAAACAAAACACAAAAUACAAGUUUUCAUAGGAUUGUUCAAAUCAUAAAAAUAUAAAUAUAAAAAGCAACACAAAAACAAAUUAAAACAUUGAGAAGCCACUUCUCAAAUUUCUAACUUCAUUCAUCAUUGUCAUCACAGGUAAAUAUGAUUGCUUCUAAUUCCUUCUUCCUAUUUCUUCUUUUUUUAUAGUUACUCUCCCAAAUAAAAUGAAGACCUAGCUUCUUAAUAAUGUUGUUUUUGUAGGCAAGUUAUUUUAGUUAUGUGAGACAAAUUGUAUAGAAAAGUGAGAAGUAGAGAAAGACAAUAGAAAUUGUUCUUAAAAGUAUCUUUUGUGCUUCAUAAAGCACCUGUACUGCUAAUUACCAUAAUAAGUGUAUAGGUUACAAAACAUAGAAAUUGUGGAGAUUAUGAACUUCUGUAAAAGAAAACGACACGAUUUUAAUUAGCGUGUUUAUGUGUUUUUUUUUUCUUUAAAGAAACUAUUUUCUAACCUUAAAAAGAUCCAAAUAUACCACUAAAAGUAGGUUUUUUUUGGGGGGGAAUAGAUGCUUUAUUAAAAAUAGAGUAAUGCUACACUUAUCACAUUUUUAUCCCACAUUUCUAUACCACAUGAUGUGGCAUACCCAUAUUAUAUGCCACAUCAAUUAAAUCAAUGAAGUGUAUUUUAAUUAAGACAAUUAGAAAAACAAAUACUAGAAUAAAUUAUAAAAGAAAAGAAAAUAUUAAAUAAUUUUAAUGGAUGUGGCUGUGUACCUCAACUGUCACAUAAGAUGGUAUAAAGAUGUGAUAUACAGAUGUGGUAAGAGUAGCAAUAUUCUUAAAGAUAAUAAGCACCAUAAGAGUUUAUAAAAGAUAACACUGAAAAUAACCAAUACUAUCCAAAACCCGAACAUGAAAGACAUAAACAAAUGCAUAAAAAAUUAAUACUAGCUUACUAAUAUUACUAUUAUUACUAUAGCCCCUUCACUCACGCCAGAGGAUGAGGAGAUGGAUAGGAACUCAAAGGAGCCAAUAAUUUAUUGGGCAAUUUCCAAGACCAUGGCCAAGCACAAAAAAUGAGACCAAUGCUGCAGGAAAGAAACAAAUGGAUAUUGGACCAAAGGCUUUUUGCACUAAUAAGUUCCAUAUCCAAGAGACCAAUGGGCCUCGUGAAGUAUAUUUAGAGCAAAGUUACAUUAAGGGAAGACAUUGCAUUUGCUCUGCAUCCGCUUGAAUAGCUUUGCGAUUGCCAACGAAUUGUUCAACUUCUUUCUUCACGUUCAAAACAAGUUACCUCUUCUUCUAUGAAUUAGUUAUUGAAGGCAAGGUUAACGAUAUUAACGACUUUUCUAGCUUAAGAACACACACCAAAUCAAAGUUACUCAAGGCAAACAAAACACAUCUUCUAGAGGAACAGAAAAACUGGGAACUGAUACACAAUAAAAUAAGAGAAAGCCAAAUUCACCAGUUCCUCAAGAGUACAUUUUACGAAUUAAUGACACAAAGGAAGUUUUGCAAAUGAUCAAUACACCAGUAGCUUAGUUAAAUAUAAGGUGCUUACAAAACAAAAAAAUCAGGGCAAUCAUCAAGCUCAGUAGACCUUCCAAAUUCACCAUGUCUCUGUCAAGGCAGUGAUGAAAAUAAUCAAAAUUUCAGUUAUUGGAACUUCUGCAGGCUGACACUUGAUGAUUUACAUCACUCUAAUUGCUUCAAUAGGGUCCCUGAAAUGAUGACACAUACAUAGUUGAUCAAUUAAUUUGCUUCUUGCAAUCAUUUCUCAAUUCGGGAAUUAAAUUUUUUGAGAAACAACUAAAGCAUGCAGAUUAAACAAAACAACAAACCACGUGUAAAUUAAUUUAGGGAGAUUCACUAAAUUAGGCAGAUCAAAGCACCUUUCAUACUCAUUUGAAAAAUCCUCUUCAUAGAAAAAUCAUGAUAUCAUAAAUGCGAACAAUUACUUACAG
rnacentral:lncRNA from 1 species